rnacentral:lncRNA from 1 species
AUGGGACGUGGGCCAUGGCUGGUUUGUUGCGAUAGCGUGUAAGACUCGCUUUACUUUAGUCAAUGAUCCGGACAAUCAUAUCCGGAUAGCCCAUGUUGGUUAUCCGGAUGUAUUGUGGAGCGGACGUAUUUAUGGAAGCCGUCCGGAUGCCUAUGCUUCGUAAGCGUCGUUUGCUCUUCCUUGAGGCAGUCCGGAUAUACAAGGUGCGCCAUGUGUGCUUUAUAAGAAGGUCCGGAUGAGGGUGACCCGGAUGACAAUGCGUGCCAUGGGUCACUGUAAGAUACGUGCCACGUGUCUCGGCCAGAUGCGUGGCACGUGUUCUCAGAGGGCGGGGUCCCUACACCCACCAUUGAUAACUGUGGAGAUCUGCCAAACUUAAUUGGAGAUGGUGAGGGGUUUUGAAAGUUGGAGUGAUGGAGUUGAGUUCAAAUUUUCAAGAGACAGACAUACUCUGCUUCACCUAUUAUAUAUUCAAUUUUUUUUGUCACCUUCUUUCCUCAGUUUUCUUCUAAUUUUCUCCUCUGUUUUUCUUACAAUUUUGGUAACUACAAUAACAUUUAAACCCAAUUUCUCAAUUAAAAUUAAAUUAAAUUAAAUUAAAAUUUAAAAUUUUUCUAUGUAAUUUAGAUGAAAAAUAAUUUAUCAUAUAUUAGUAAAAUUGUCAUUAAAAAAAGAAUGAGUAUGACUAAGAUAGACUAAGAUAAAUUGUUUUUUUCCCUCAUUUUGUUCUCUUAUUUUUGAAGUAAAUUUAGAAUUUAUUUAAUGAAUUCUUACUAACAAAAAAAAUCAAAUAAUAAAAAAAAAAUCACUUAAUUUGAUAAGAAAUGAAUUUAAAAUAAAUCUACAAACUUCCAAAAUGAAAUUAAAAUUGAGGUUUAAUUACAUGAUAUCAUAACUCAUCCAAUUGUCAAUAAAAUUAUAAUUAAUUUUUUUUUAUUAUAAAAUUUUAAGUUUAGCUCAUUAUAAUACAAUUAAAAAAAAUCAACUAUCAAUUAAAAUUGUAGAGAAUAAUUCAAAUUGGGCUAAAUAUCCACUAGAGUUAAUAAUUUUAAUUAAUUUUUAAAAAUCCAAAUUUAAGCGGUAAUUUUUUUCCCUAAAUUAAAAAACCAAAAAUUAAAGAAUUAAUUUGAAUAGUCAAAUAUACUUUCAAUCACAAAUGCAUAAAUUUAAAUGUAUGUGUCACAUAAAAACCACUAAGUAAUUAAUACAACUUAGUCUAGAAAAUUUUCAUUUCUGUUAGAUAUGGACUCCCUUAUUUGGAAUUUUCUCCUUCCUCUGUUUUGCUUGCAUUUCAUUUUUUGGGCAGCUGUAGCCAUUUGGUAACUACAAUUACACUUACACCCAAUUUCUCAUUUAAAAAAUUAAAAUAAAAUAAAAUUCAAUCUUAAAAAUUUUGUAUGCAAUUUAGGUGAGAAAUAAUUUAUCAUAUAUUAGUAAAAUUGUCAUUAAAAAAGAUUGAAUAUGACUAAGAUAAGUUGUUUUUUGUCCCCAUUUUGUUCUCUUAUUUUCAAGUAAAUUUAAAAUUUAUUUAAUGAAUUCUUACUAAAUAAAACAAAUCAAAUAUUAUAAAAAUCUCUUGGUUUGAUAAGAAAAGAAUUUAAAAUAUAUCCAGAAAGUUCCAAAAUCAAAACUGAGAUUUAACUACAUGAUAUCGUAGCUCAUCCAAUUCUCAAUAAAAUUAUAAUAAAAAAAAUUAUAUUAUAAGUGAAUUUAUUACAAAAUUUCCAAUUUAGUGAAAUUUCUAUAAUUAAAAUUCUAGACUAUAAUUCAAAUGCAUCUAAAUAUCCACUAGAGUUAAUAAUUUUAAUUAAUUUUGAAAAAUCAAAUGUUAGGUGGUGAUGUUUUUCUCUAAAUUAAAAAUCCAAAAAUUAAAGAAUUAAUCUAAAUAAUCAAACAUUGGAUUCAAUUACAAAUUCAUAAAUGUAUCACAUAAAAACCACUAAAUAAUUAAUACGACUUAAUCUAGAUAAUUUUCAACACUUUGUUAGUAAUCAAACAUAAUUAUUAUAAACUUUUGUUAUUAUAUUAAAUCUUGUUAUUUUGAAGCAUUUAGAAAUAUGUUAAAUUACUCUUUUUUUGUGCCCAACCCCCUCUUUCCUUAUAGGCGAGACGAAGGUUCUAUCCUCAUCAUGUGAAUCUGAAAAUUCUCUAAUCACACUUUAGGUAAAAAAAAACAAAAAAAAAAAAAGAAAAGUAAAGAGUGUUUUAUGGACCUAAUCUGUUUUUAGAAACUUUUUAUUUAAAAUAAAUAAAUAAAGCCUAAGGCUAUGUUUGGUUCCCGGAAAAUUUGAGGGAAAAUACGAGGGAAAGAAAAUACAAAAGAAAAGUAGAAGGAAAGAAAAAGUGAAGGAAAAUAAAAAAAUAGAUUAAAAUUUGAUAAAUUAUUUUUUUUGUUACUUCAAACUCAUUUUAUUUAUUUUAACUCAUCAAUAUAAAGAUUAAAUAAUUUAAAAAUACAUAAGUUUUUAAUUAGUUUUAAUUAUAUUUGAUUUUCUUUGAUAUUUUUCAUAGGACAACCAAACAUGAGAAAAUCAUUUUUCUUAGCAUUUUUUUUCUUUCCUUUGUACUUUCCGGGAACCAAACAUAGCCUAAAUUUCCAAUUUAGUGAUCGGGUUUAGUGCUUGAGGGAACAUAAGGCCGAGGAAGUGUGGGCCAUAGAAUUGGGCCUUCUUUCUAUAUUCUUAUUUUGGCAUUUCUUUACCCUACUUGAAUCCCAUCCCACAUCGAGCAGUCACGAAAGAAAUGAGAUGUUCAAAUUACAAGCUUCCUCGUGAUCAAGAAGUGGCAUCAAAGUUCCGGGGAAAUAGGGGGGGGGAACUCCAGGGGCCCAGGGGGAGGGGGGGGGGGAACGCCAGGGGAAUCAGGCAGACAUGAGUGAGUAACUCCCCGCCUCGCCGGAGCUGCUGACCGUGUUGAAUCCAUCCACAAUGACUGGCAGCAUAGCACAACAUCUCCACCCACACCUCACUCACCAUCUUCCAUUUCUCUCCCAUCUCCAUAUUCAGUGAUCUCAACUCCUUGGCAAGCCUACAUGCCUCGAAUAACACUGACUUGCUUUUAUCUCCUUUCACCUCUUUGGGCUCAACUUCUGUGUCAACUUCAAGCAACAAUCUGCAAGCUUCAUUUCUGUUAGAUAUGGACUCACUUCUUUGCUGGAAGAAUCUUUUGGUCUCUGAACAAGUGUCUCGGAAUCUAAACUCCCCUAUCCCUUUUGGCAGCAUAAAUGGACACAUGACUAGCAGAUACAACAUAUACUCAGACAAGCAUUUGCUUAUUUUGCAUCUUGAUUUAGGAUUGGGGUCAUCAUCAGAAUAGCUACAGAGAUCUGUUGCAAUAUGCCAAAGAAGGAUGCUGUGAUCAAAUUUCACGUCAACUAUACUCCAACCAAGUGUCUCAAUAACCCGCCUUUUUGUAAUCACAUAAUCACCUCUGUGUUUCAGUAGUGACCUGAGAUCCCUGACAUCAUUUGUCAUCUCUAGGAGCAAGCUGAAGAUCGGUUCCUUCAUGUCAUCCACCUUCUCCCAAGUCAUGUACCAGUACCUCUCUAAGAAAUUGUUCAUGUCAAGGAACCUGGGAACCUGAUUGAACUUGGUUUUGUCUCUGAGGCAAGAAUCAAUUAAAUUGUUCUGUGCCAUUCGUCUAGACCAUCUCUUGUCACUGGUUAUAACUGAUCUAAAAGAGGUAAUGGCUCGGUAAAUGGAAUCAGCCAGGGAGUUCGUCUUGCUGCUCAACCAGACAAUGCUCCAGUCGGACAAAAUCAGCUUAGUGAGGGCAUAAACCUCAAGAAAAAUAGCUCCAAAGAGUAAUAAGUAAGUAAUGUCGAUGUCAAUGUUUGAGAACUGGUGCUUAUCGAUGAAGAAGUGGAAGGCCGCUAAAGUAGAAAUAGUGAAGGAGAAGCUGGUGGAACGGAGCAGAAUGCCAAGUAGAGAAUAAAUCACUGUUGCCUUGGUGUAUAGCACAUCAUACAUAAAAUUGAGCUCCAUCUCCACCACUUUGAAGGCGUCUUCGGAUGACAUGUACCUGAUGAUGCCCUCACUGGUUUUUUGGUCAUCCAAGCUGAGGAUGAGGUCUGCAUAUAGAUGCUUGAAUUGGUUCUUGAAUAAGAAGUAAGCUUUGUCAAUAUAUUUUCUACUAGGAACAGUAAUGUCAUCACCAACGGUAGAUUGAAGUGGAUUUUCACCAGUCUUUUCUUUCCUGAUUCGCUCAGCCUGCGUGUCGUAAUUCCGUGAACUAUAUUUCUCCAUGAAAUGAGCAUAAUCAGGUCCAGGAUCAGGAACUAGAAGCAAAGAAUCUCUAAAGUGAUUCUUGCUUGCAGAUCUCAGAACCCAGGUCCUCUCUCCAUACUUGAUAAUUCCAGCCACAAACAUUGGAAUGGAUAGAAAUGUGAGUGGAGUUCCUGCCCAUGACCUCAGAAACACGUAGAAAGCCACUCCAACUUGGACAACUAGUCCAAGCAAGUGCCUUAACCACAACUCAUUAUCUUCUAAGGAGUAAGCCGUGAUAGUGUCCGGACCACCAAGGUGCAAGAGAAGGAAUGGCGCCCAAAAUGCCAUGAGGGUAUAGUUUGGAUCCAGAAGUUUCCCUUCCGAAUCUCCUUGGCUGUUUGAGAGGGUACCGAGGGAUACUGUCGCCACCCAGUCUGCGGACAAGUAGGCCGACCAAAUCAGGAUUCUGAUCCAAGGCGUGACUGUGUACUUUCGUCGGUUGCUAAAGAUGAUUAGGACGAUUUGUAGGAAAAGGCUUAGUAGAACCAUCAAGCGUAGCUCCCAUUCAUUCCAAAGUUUCCGCAUACUUUCUGGGAAUAUCUGCAUUGCUCUCGCGCCUGUUCUCUGUAAAAAGAUCAAACUGAAAACAACUAGACAUUCAAAAAUAUUAGAGCCAAAAAUAAAGAAUAAAAUAAUAAAUUUGUAAAAUAAAACUCUUAAAUUCAUACCAAUCAUUUUUCACUUUUAUUCAUUUGCCACUUGUAACUUUCCAACAUUUAUAACUCAACAUUAAAGUUUAACACUUAAUUUUUAAUCUUCAAUUUUAUUAAACACCUUAUAAAUAGCUUCACUUUUCACUUAAAAUUAGAAAGAUAGGUUGUUUCACCAUUUUUUUUAUACAUUUUUUUAUAAACUAUUUUUAAAUUAAAGAAUUAAAAAUGAUAAAACCGUUUCCUAAAAUCAUUGUCAAACACACUCUAAGUUAUUAACUUUUUAAAUUAAUUUAUCAAAUAUCAUCUUACAUUUAGCAUAGAAACUUUAAUUAUACUGUUCCCUAAAAUAAAAAUAAAAGUAUUAUGUCUGGUAACAAAAUCUGAACUUGUCCUACAUGAGUUAGAGCCAAAAAAAAAAUGAAGAAUAAAUUAUUAAUGGUUGAUAGGAACUACAUAUGAACUUAAAAGUAAGGAGGACUUCAAUAAAGGGCUGAUUUUGGCUCUCCUGGAAUCUGAGCAAAGUAUGUAGUUCAGGAAUUGUUGGUCACAGUACUCAUACUGUAAGGGCAUCACCAGCAACAACAAUAUGAUAUCAUUCUUUACUUCAUUAUAAUGCAAACAUAACUCUUUUCCUUUCAUUUAUUCCCAAUUUUGCUUUGUGCAGAAUCAUCUGAUCACUAGGGUGUACUCAUAAAGUCAUAUUAAUAAUUGUAAGGGAAGGGAGAAGCCCAGAGUGUAGGACUUGGUCACAAGUCAAGAAACACAUACUAAUUUCGCCUUUGAUUUCGUGGAACAGUGUUAUGGCUGUAAUUUUGAUGGGUUGAUUGCUAACCCAAAUUCAACCAGAAGUAAAAAACAAUUGAUCAAAAUCUAACCCAAUGUGACUUCUAACCCAAAGUAUUAAGCCAAAACCUAGCCAAGCCUCAUGUCUCUAAACCCGAUUAAGUUCAAGGUAGUCAAGUUUUGUUUCAGGUUAAUUGAGUUACAUAAUUCAAAAUCCAUCAAUAAUGUUUUUUUUUAUACAAAAUUUCUAUAUAUUUAUACGAAAAUUUAAAUAAUAAAAUACGACAAAAUUUAAAUAUGACAACAAAAAUGUAAAAACAAAUUUGUAUAUAUAUAUAUAUAUUUUUUAAAUGAAGAUAUAUAUUAUAUAAUAUUAAUUUGAUAUUUUUUCAUAAAAAUAUAAAAAAUGAAUAUUAUUGUAAAAGAUAAUAUACAUUAUAAAUAUUAAGAAAUAUUAAAUUGAGUUUAGAUUAGGUUCGCAUUGUUUGAGCCUUACCUUUGACCUGACUACAAACCAAAUUGAACUUAGUUUGAAAAAACUUAACGCAAGCCCAAUUACAAUAAUGAAAAUGAUUAUUCAAACCCGAUGAAAAUAUAAUGUUUUUUUGAGUUAUAUAAUUCAAAAUUCAUUUAUAAUAUUUUUUUAAAACAAAAUUUCUAUAUAUUUAUAUGAGAAAUUAAAUAGUAAAUAAGACAAAAUUUAUAUAUAACAACAAAAAAGUAAAAAUAAAUAUAUAUUAUAUAAUAUUAAUUUGAUAUUUAUUUCCUUAAAAAUCUAAAAAAUAAAUAAAUAUUACUAUAUAAAAUAAUUUACAUUAUAAAUAUUAUAGAAACAUAAAAUUGGGUUCAAAUUAGGUUUAUGUUGUUCAAACCUUAGUCUUAACCUAGGCACAAACCAAAAACAAAAUUUCAGAGAAGUUUGAGUUUACCAAAAUAGAAAAAUAUCAAAUUUUCCAUAAAGUAAUGAAGGAAAUCAAUGGACAAAAGAUCUUCUUUUGAAAAGAUGGGGGGCGGGGUGGGUGGGGGUGGGGGUGGGGGUGGGGGGAAAGAGCAAAAAAUAUAUACAAUUUAAGCUGUUAAACGAACUCAAUAUUCUCCGAGUCAAUCCAUGCAAUCCAACGUCUCAUGAAUUUUAAACAAUUUCUCAGAAGAAUAAACAAAUGAAGCAUAAGUAAAAAGAAGAAGAAGAAGAAGAAAGAAUCGGUUUGAAAGCAAAAUAAGAAGGGAAAUAUACCAAAGAGUAUGACGGUGGGGGCUCGGUUGGAGCUGUUCACAGAGUUCAGCUCAUGAAGGUGGAAGUAGUGUGCUGGUGAAAAGGUGAUGGCUGGAGAUGGAGGCCGACGGCAGUGAGAAUGGUGACUUUGUGACUCUUGAAUGGGUUGCAGUAGUGGUUUUAAACCAGAGAAAAAGGCAGAAAAGAAAAAGAAAACAGAAGAAGAGACAGAGGAGCGAGACUGAGAGAAUCGUCUUGUGGGCCGGCCGGAGCGUGUGGCUAUAGCAAUAAUUCAAAGAAAGGAAUCCAUUUCUUUUUCAUUUUCCUUUCUAUCUCUUUUUUGUCGCCAUUAAUCAAUUUUCUGUCAAUGACUGGCAACAGUGCUUCUCAAUUAUUCAACUAUGGAAACUUCCAAGAGUUAAGAGUAAUAGGAAGAAGAAUAGAUUCAGGCGAACUGAUGUAACAGUGGAGGCCAGUCAACAGCGGUGGGGUGUUGGGGAAUGAUGUGCAGUAGAGGCUCGGGAUGUUAAGUCUUGGAAUAAUGCGAUGUUGAAUGCAUAAAAAGGUUUUACCACCCUACAUUGAUAAUCAAUUCGCUUUAAAAUGAGCUUAGGAUGUGAUUCUCAAGUUACGGAUUCAAGUCACCAAAACCUCAUGUUCUAAUUUUUAAAUUUGUAAUAUCUUAAAGACUGAGCCCCAAAAUAAGCUUCAAGGUCAUAAAACGCUAGGUAUUAAACUCCAAGAUUUCAACCUUGGGAUGAAUUUGUUGUGAUUCUCAAAGAUGGUUAACUCAACAACCUCAUUGUAAGUUGCCUCAGGGAUAUUCAGCCAAGAAAGACGGAAGAAACGAAACCGAAUCCUCCAGCCAAUCUAGGAUGUGAUCUGAAGUGGGGUUAGGCUCGGGUUCUUCAAUGGUCAUUGUGGGGGAGAAAGAAUGGAUGAAGAAGAGAAAGGGUGUAGAACUGUUUGAUCAUUGACCAAGGAGGAAGAUAAAAGAGGGUGUGAAACACCAUUAAAAUAAUGAAAUGGGGGGUGAUGGUUUUUUGGAAGAGACGAUGGAGAGCAUAUUGAAGUUGGUGGGGGGUGGUGUGCAUUUGGAAGAUGUGAUGUUGUUAUUAAGGUUUUUUUAAAGCCUCUAUAAGAGAGUAGAAACAUGGGUUUCUUAGUUUUUUCUUUGGUGUAUUAACUUAUUCCUUUGCAUAUGUCAUGGUGAUGGAGACGUGCCAAGCUUGAUUGGAGAUGGUGAAGGGCGGCUUUGAAAGUUGGAGACAGUGAUGGGUUGGGUUGAGUUCGAAUUUUCAAAGAGACGGCAAUCUGCUUCACCAAUUAAAUAUGGGUUGUUAUAUGGUACCCACUCUUCAUUUUGGGGUACCUACCCACAUUUGACCCCAAUAAAAAUAUGACAUGUGUAAAGUACAUAUCACUAAAAAAUUUAUAAAAACUUAUCAAACCGGUAAAGAUGACUUGUUGGUGAGAAAUAAUCACAUGCAUUUCAUAUAUAUCUAAAUAUUACAAUUUUUUAUAAUUUAUUAUUAAAUAUCAAAUAUAAUUUGUUAUUUAAUGCAUUACCUAACCCUAUCUAAAAAAAGAAAAUCUUACCUACUACUCUUAUACUCUCAUUAUUCAUAUAUAAAAAAAAGGAUAGUAAUUUAAUAUGAAAAUUAAAUAAUUUCAACUACCAAAUUACAAAAUAUGUAAGAUGUAUUUUGAUGAAUCAAAUUUCAAGAUCAAGUUCAAAACUUUUUGACAGAGAAAAUUUAAAAUUUGUAUUAUAUGAAGAAGAUGAAGAAUUUCAAGUGAUUACAAGUGUCAAAGGUAAUAUUUGAUAUUUUUUUAUCCAAAUAUAAUUGUUGUAGGAAGAAAUGUGAUGUUAAAUAACGAUUUUAUAAUUUUUUAUGAGUUUAUUAUAAAAUUUUGUUAUCAAAUUGUUAUUAAUAUUUUUAUAUAAUUUUUUUUUUUGUUCAUAGAUUAAAUUUGAAGAUGAAGCUUUAUAUGUCUUGAAGGAUGUCAAGUGAUUACAAGUGUUAAAAGGUAACAUUUGAUUUUUUGUUUCCAUUUACAUAUAACUAUUAUAGGUAGAAAUGUCAUGUUAAAUGACAUUUAAAUAUGUAAUGAUUUAUAAUAUCUAGAUUUUUUAAUUUUUUUUUCUAAGUUAUUUUUAAUCAAAUUGAGAGCAUUUAGUAAUUUGUUAUGAAAUUGUCAUCAAUAUUUUGUAAGAGAGAAUACGAACUUUCUAAUGGAGGGUACGAACUUUCUAAGGGUGGGUACGAACUUUCUAAGGGUGGGUACGAACUUUCUAAGAGAGGGUACGAACUUUCUAAGAGAGGGUACGAACUUUCUAAGAGAGGGUACGAACUUUCUAAGGGUGGGUACGAACUUUCUAAGGGAGGGUACGAACUUUCUAAGUUAGGGUACGAACUUUCUAAGGGAGUGUACGAACUUUCUAAGGGAGGGUACAAACUUUCUAAGAGAGUGUACGAAAUUGGUACGAACUUUCUAAGAAUGGGUACGAACUUUAUAAGGGUGGGUACGAACUUUCUAAGAGAGGGUACGAACUUUCUAAGGAAAGGUACGAACUUUCUAAGAAAGGGUACUAACUUUCUAAGGGAGGGUACGAAAUUUCUAAUGGAGGGUACGAAAUUUCUAAUGGAGGGUACGAAAUUUCUAAGAGAGUGUACGAAAUUUCUAAGAGAUGGUACGAACUUUCUAAGGGAGGGUACGAACUUUCUAAGGGAGGGUACGAACUUUCUAAGACAUGGUACGAACUUUCUAAUGGAGGGUACGAACUUUCUAAUGGAAGGUACGAACUUUCUAAGAAUGGGUACGAACUUUCUAAGAGAGUGUACGAACUUUCUAAGAGAGGGUACUAGACAUUCAACUAAAGUAAUUAUAUUGCAUUUGUAUUGUACUUAUACUUUAUAACUGAAGUAAUGGUUCUUUUACACAACCUUCAAACUACUAGACAUUCAACUCAUCAUACCAAAAUAAUACUUAUACAAAAAGGUAACAAAUUCAUAACAAAAAUAUAGUGAUCUUAACUCUUUAACAAAUUCAUAAUAAAAGACAAGGUGGUCUCGUACAAAGGGGAUUUCAGUUUUCAAUGAAAAUCCAAAUAUUGUUCAUAAAUACACAAACAAAGUGGUCCCAAACAAGCAUAAAACAACUGAGAACAUUUUUUCUUCAACCAUGUCAAAAAGUCUUAACAACAAAACUAAAGUGCAAACCUUUUCAAUGGAAAUCAAUAAUAAUCAUAUCAAACAACCCACUCGAAAAAUAAAUUAAAAAUAAAAACACAUCUUCAAUAUGACCAAAAUAAUAUAAAAAAAAUUCAAAAUAAUAAAUUUAAAUAACAUUUUACACAAAAAAAAAUGUAAUUUCUUUCUCAAAACCUUCUUCAAUAUUUUAGAUCUAAUAUUUUACAGCUACAUUGUUAAAAUUAUUAACUUUUCAUUCAUUCAAUCCGAUUUUUAAAUUAUUUAUUUAUUUUUUUCCAUAAACUUACAUUUUUUUUUUGGUAUUAAAAAAAAAAAACUUACCUUUAAUGGAUUUCUUGCUAGAUUCACACAAAAAACAAGCUUUGUGUAAACAGUUGCAGAUAAUGACUUGAAGUGCUGGACCUUUUUCUUUUCCUUUUUUUCUUCUACAACACCGACAAGUUGCAGGUAGGUUAAAGAAAAAAACUCUUUUUUCUUUCCUGUUACUUUUCACUUUGCUUUGCUUUUCACUUAUUAAGGAUAAUUUUGGUAUUUAAACAAAAUAAGGCUUUUGGAUGAAUUAUCAUAAUUUCACCCUACCCUUCACAAUAAUUAUCAAAUUUACCCACCCUCAUCAGUCAUAUUUUUCCCCAGCCUACCCUUAAGGGUAAUUCUCCCUUUUUCAUAUCCUCUCUAAUUUUUUAGUGUUUUAAUUUUUAAAUUUUUUAGGAUAAUUUACAUUAUUUCCAAUUAAAAAAAAUUUUAAUGCUUAAUUUUUUUUAACAAUUCUAUCAAUAAUAACUCAAAAUAAUAUUAUUAAACUAUGUUAUUGUUAUUUCAAGUUAAAAAGUAAAUCUAAAAUUUUAAAAAUAUAAAUAAUUUAGGGUACGAAAAAUAUGAGAACAGUAUGAAAAAUGUGAUAAAUACAUGUUUGGUACUUUUAUCACAUUUUUCAUAUUGAUUUUUAGUUUUAAAAUUUUUGAAAUUACAAAUUUAUUUUUGAAAAUACUAUCAUUUGUAACUUAUAAGAGUAUUAGUAAUUUAUUUUAUUGUAAUUUAACUUUAAAAAUCUUAAAUUCAAAAAAUGUAAAAUUUGGAGAGUACGGAAAAAAAUUAGGACGAUCUAAUUACCUAAACUUUACAUAUGAUUACCAAAAUGUUGAAUUUUUAUUAAAAUACUUAUUUCAUAUUAAAAUAUUACCAUAUUCAUUUUUAUGUUGAAUUUAAAUGUUUAAUAAUUUUUUAAAAAUAAAAUAAUGUAAUUAUGAUAUAUGAUGAUUUUUUUUGUUAAUAAAUAUGUUUUCAAAUUUUAUAUCAUUUUAUUUUUUAUUUUUUUCCAAUUCUAUUUUUAUCUAAUAUUUAUUUUAUUUAAACCCAAUAUUGUUGAAAAUGGAGGAAGAAAGAAUGCCACAACCGGUUCUUCCCUUUACUGGUUAAGUGGAGUUUUUAUUUCAAAUUGAAAAUGGAUGGCCAAGAUGUAAUCUUGGACAUCCAAUGGCUUGAAAAGCUUUUUGGGUAGGUACCGAGGAGGUACCCUAGAAUUUUCCAUUAAAUAUUUAAGCUUUUGUCACUUGUCAGCUUCCUUCCCUGUUUUCUUGGAAUCUUCUCCUUCCUCUGUUUUGCUUGCAUUUCAUUUUUUCGGCAGUUGCAGUCAUCGAGUAACUACAAUAGCACUUACACCCACUUUCUCAUUUAAAAUAAAAUAAAAUUCAAUCUUAAAAAAUUUAUAUGCAAUUUAGAUCAAUGAGAAAUAAUUUAUCAUAUAUUAGUAAAAUUGUCAUUAAAAAGAUUGAAUAUAAUUAAGUGUUUUUUUUUUUUUUACUUAAUAUUAAUAUUAAGUAUUAAGUUAUUUGUUUUUAUAAUAUUUUAUUUUUAUUGAAUAUUAAAAAAUAAAUAAAUAAUCAACACAUUACUUUUUUCAUUUAGGGUUAAGCAAAAAAUAAAUAACUUAAAGUUUGAAAGCAAAUUAUUUUUAACAAAAAGUUAAAAAAACAAACACCCUCUUAAGUGAUAAGUUAUUUUUUGUCCUCAUUUGUUCUGUUAUUUUGGAAGUAAAUUUAGAAUUUAUUUAAUGAAUUCUUACUAAAUAAAACAAAUCAAAUAUUAUAAAAAUCAAUUGGUUUGAUAAGAAAUGAAUUUAAAAUAUAUCCACAAAGUUCCAAAAUCAAAAUCGAGAUUUAACUACAUGAUGUCGUGACUCAUCCAAUUCUCAAUCAAAUUAUAAUUCAGAAAAUUCUAUUAUAAAAAUCUAAAGAUUAAAGAAUUAAUCUAAAUAAUCAAACAUUCAAUUCAAUCACAAAUUCAUAAAUUGAAAAAUGUAUCACAUAAAAAUUCCUAAGUAAUUACUACAACUUAAUCUAGAAAAUUUUCAAUGCUUUGUUAGUAAUCAUACAUAAUUAAAAUAACCCUAACCACUAAUCAAUCAUAAAUUUCUUAACCAACUAUGUAAUUAAUUAUUAUAAAUUUGUGUUAUUAUACAAAUCUUGUUAUUUUGAAGCAUUUAAAAAUAUGUUAAAUUACUUUUUUUUUUCAAAUGAUUAGUUUUUGAAUAUUUUUAUUUGAAUUACAUAAAAUGAGAAGAUAUAUAAUCAUUAAAAUCUUAAUGGUUAUUUUUAGCAUAUAAAAAUAAAUAGAUUUAACAUUUAAUUUUCAAAUAUAUUAAAUUACUACUUUUUUUAAAUGAUUAGUUUUCAAAAUACCUUCAUUUUAGUUGUAUAAAAUAAGAAGAAAUAUAAUAUUAAUAUUAUGGGGUGUUUUUAGCAUAUAAAAAUAAACAAAUUUAACAUUUAAUAACAUUCAAAUAUUAAUAAAAUAAAAAAUCUUUAAUGCCUAACAAUAUUUAAAUAUGUAAAAAGUGUAAUUUUCAAAGAACACGAGGACUUUCCGAUACUUUCAAAGUUGGAUUGGUCAUUGAAUCAUAAAUGUUAUCCCAUCAUGUAGAAUAAAGUUGGAUUAGUCAUUGAAUCAUAAAUGUUAUCCCAUCAUGUAGAAUAAUAUCCAUUCGAUGUCAUAAAUAUAUGAUUUUAUAUUUUAUUAAAAUAAUUAUAAGAAAUUAUAUAUAUAUAUAUAUAUAUAUAUAUAUAUAUAUGUAAAAUUAUAAUUAUUAAACUUAAUAACAUUUCCUCUUUUUAUAUUUAAUAUCACUAGAUUAAAUCACGAUAAAAAUGAAUAUAAAUAUAUUAAAAAUAUUAUUAAAUAAAAUAUUUAUAAGAUUUAAGUGUAAAAAUAUAUUGAUGGAAAAAAAUUUAUUAUUUAAUUUUAUUUAAGCGUCAAAAGUUAUAUACUAGUUAUUUUAUACUUUUAAAAAUGUGGUACAACUUAUAGAUCAAUUUCACCUUCCAAUACUUGGAAUUUACUCGGUUAAGCCAAGGUGAGACAUAAGAAGGCAGACAUGAGUGAGUAGCUCCCCGCCUCGCCGGAGUUGCUGACGGUGGUGGAAUAGUUGACGGUGUUGAAUCCAUCCACAAUGACUAGCAGCAUAGCAUAACAUCUCCACCCACUUAUCAUCUCCCAUUUCUCUCCUGCAGCAUCUAUUUCCAAUGAUUCAAACAUUUUGGCAAGCCUACAUGCCUCAAAUAACACCGACUUGCUUUUAUCUUCUUUCGCAUCUCUGGGCUCAACUUCCGUGUCAACUUCAAGCAGCAAUCCGCAAGCUUCAUUUCUGUUAGAUAUGGAGUUGCUUCUUUCCUGAAAAAAUCUUUUGGCCUCUGAACAAAUGUCUCGGAACCGAAACUCCCCUAUCCCUUUUGGCAGCAUAAAUGGACACAUGACUAACAGAUACAACAUAUACUCAGACAAGCAUUUGCUUAUUUUGCAUCUUGACUUGAGAUUGGUAUCUGGGGAUUUGUCGACAUCACAAGGAUAACAGAGAUCUGUAGCGAUAUGCCAGAGGAGGAUGCUGUGAUCAAAUUCCACAUCAAUUAUACUCCAACGAAGCGUUUCAAAAAACCCUUUUUUUCUAGUCACAUUAUCACCUCUGUAUUUGAGUAGCUUCCUGCGAUCCCCGGCAUCAUUUGUCAUCUCUAGGAGCCAGUAGAAGAUGGGUUUCUUCAUGUCAUCCACCUUCUCCCAAGUCAUGUACCAGUACCUCUCCAAGAAUUUGUUCAUGUCAAAGAACCUGGGAACCGGAUUGAACUUGGUUUUGUCUCUGAGGCAAGAAUCAAUUAAAUUGUUUUGUGCCAUGCGUCUAGACCAUCUCUGGUCACUGGUUACAACUGAUUGAAAAGAGGCAAUGGCUCGGCAAAUGGAAUCAGCAACGGAGUUGCUCUUACUGCUCAACCAGACAAUGCUCCAGUCAGACAAAAUCAGCAUAAUGAUAGAGUAAAUCUCCAGAAAAAUAGCUCCAAAGAGUAACGCGUAAGUAAUGUUGAUGUCAAUGUUUGAGAACUCAUGCCUAUCGAUGAAGAAGCAGAAGGCCGCUAAGGUAGAAAUAGUGGACAAGAAGCUGACAGUGCGGAGAAUAAUGCCUAAUAGAGAAUAGGCCACUGUUGCCUUGGUGUAGAGCGCGUCAUACAAGAAACUAAGCUCCAUCUCUACCACUUUGAAGGCCUCUUCGAAGGAUAUGGACCUGAUGAUGCCCUCACUGGUUUUUUGGUCAUCCGGGCUGAGGAUGAGGUCUGCAUAAAGAUGGCUCUAUUGCUGCUUGAAUAAGAAGUAAGCUAUAUGAAGAUAUUUUCCACCAGGAAUUUCGAUCUCUACUUUUGUGAUUCUAUUAACCUGCCUUUCGUCUUUCCUUGAACUACAUCCCUUCAAGAAAUCAGCAUAAUCAGGUCCAGGAAGCAAAGAAUCUCUAAAGUGAUUCUUGCUUGCAAACCUGAGAACCCAGGUCCUCUCUCCAUACUUGAUAAUUCCAGCCACAAACAUUGGAAUGGACAGAAAUGUGAGUGGAGUCCCUGCCCAUGACCUCAGAAACACGUAAAAAGCCACUCCAGCUUGGAUAACUAGUCCAAGCGAGUGCCUUAACCACAACUCAUUUUCUUCUAUAGAGUAAGCUGUGACAGUAUCCGGACCACCAAGGUGCAAGAGAAGGAAUGGCGCCCAAAAUGCCAUGAGGGUAUAGUUUGGAUCCAGAAGUUUACCUUUAGAAUCUCCUUGGCUGUUGGCGAGGGUACCAAGGGAUAAUGUUGCCACCCAGUCUGCGCACAUGUACGCCGACCAAAUCAGGAUUCUGAUCCAAGGUGUGGCUGUGGACUUUCGUCGGUUGCUAAAGAUGAUGAGGACGAUUUCUAGGAAGAGGCUUAGUGGAACUAUCAAGCGUAGCUCCCAUUCAUUCCAAAGUUUCCGCACACUUUCUGGCAAUAUCUGCAUUGCUCUCGCUCCUCUUCUCUGUGAAAAUAGAGCCAAAAAUAGAAUAAAAGAAUAAAUUUGUAAAAUCAAAUUCUUAAAUCAAAUUCAUACCAAAAAUUUCACUUUUAUUCAUUUACCACUCGUAACUUCCCAAUAAUUUAUAACUCAACAUUAAAGUUUAGCACUUAAUUUUUAUUCUUUUAUUAAAGACCAUCUAAAUGAGCUUCACUUUUCACUUAAAAUUAGAAAGUUAGAGCAUGUUUUUUUAUAUUUGUUUUAAAUUAAAGAAUAAAAAAUGGAUUUUUAGAAUUUAUUAAAAUAAGGGUGUUUGAGAAGUUGUUCAAAAAAAAAAACUUAUUUAGAUAAAUAAUUUUUUAAAAUAAUUUUUUCUAUUUUGAUUUUAUAAAAACAUUGUAAAUUUAAUUUCUAUAAUAUUAAUUAAAUUUAAUUUAAGUCUUAUUAAAAAUAAAAUUAGUUCUAUAAUUAUAAAUAAAUUAAAAAAUAAAUCAUUUUUAGUAAAAACAUAUAUAAUAACAAUAUUAUAAUAAAAGCAUAAAUUUUAUUUUUCUUAUAAAAGAAUAUACUAUUUUAGUAUGUGUUAAAAAAAUUAUAUAGGUACUAACAUUUCCGUAAAAGUGUCAUUAAUUUCUUUUUUGUUAAAAGUUUACAAUAAUAAUAAUUUAACAAUAAUAAUAAUUUAACAAUAAAUUAUUAAUAAUAUUUUAUUUAAAAUUGAACAAUAAUAAUAAUUUAAUAAUAAAUUGUUAAUAAUAUUUUAUUUAAAAUGAAUAUAGAAUGAAGUUUAACUUUUUUAACAUGUAAAUAAACCAAAAUUUAUAUUACAUGUAUACAUUUAGUACUAAAUUACAAAUACAAUAUUCUAGAAUGCUUUGAUUUAAUAAGAUUUUUUUAAAUACAAAUUAUUAUUAAAAAUUUAAAAAUUCAUCAAAAGAAUUUAAAAUUUAAUAAAUUUUAUGUAUAAAGUAUAAUUUGAUUUGAAAAUUAUUUAAUUAAUGAAAAAUUAUUAUAAAGUUAAAGAAAAUUCAUAAAAACACAUAUAAUUCAAAAGAAUAUCAUAUUAAAAAAAAUUUGAUAUCUAUAUUGGAUCAUGGAGAGAAAAACAAUGAUAUCAUGUUCUUUUUUUUUUAAUUCUUCUAUAUUUUGAUUUUUAAAAGAAAACCAAAUGAAAACAACUUCUACUUAUCCACUAAAAACUAUUCUUUAUUUUACUUUGUUUUAAAAUCUGGAAAUAAAGAUAAUGGCCAAAUAGUCUUAUUAAUUUUUAAAAACACUUUUUUAUUUUUAAAAAUAGAAAUCAUUUUUUAAUCACAGACCAAAUAGACUUCAUAGUUUAUAAUUUCUAUAUUGUAAUAUUGCCUAAUAAAUUUUUAUUUUUAAAAGAAAACCAAAUGAAAACAACUUCUACUUAUUCACUAAAAACUAUUCUUUAUUUUACUUUGUUUUAAAAUCUGGAAAUAAAGAUAAUGGCCAAAUAGUCUUAUUAAUUUUUAAAAACACUUUUUUAUUUUUAAAAAUAGAAAUCAUUUUUUAAUCACAGACCAAAUAGACUUCAUAGUUUAUAAUUUCUAUAUUGUAAUAUUGCCUGAUAAAUUUUUAAUAUUGAAACUUGUAAUAGGCUUCAUUGAUAAAUAAUUUUUGUAGUUUUUAAUUUUGAAUAUGGCUUAGGGUCAAUGAUAAUUUUUUUACAUGUUGGAUUAAUAAUAUUUUUUCACAUAUUAGAUUAAUAAUAUUUUUUUUACAUGUUGGAUUAAUAAAUUUUUUUUUUACAUGUUGGAUUAAUAAUAUUUUUUUUACAUGUUGGAUUAAAAUAUUGUAGUAGAUAUUAAUUAUGUUUUUCUAAAGUGGGUUAUGCAUAAAUUUAUAAUAAAAUAUUUUUUAUUCAUAUUUGUAAUUCUAAGGACAAUUUGUAAAAUAAAUUGUUUUUAGACUUUUUUCUUUUCCCAGUUUUAUCAAAUAUUAAAUUGAAGGUAGGACUUAAAUGUCAUAAGAUACUUUUACAAUUCUUAGACCAUAUUUGGUAAAACUUAUUACUUAUUACUUAAUUAUUUAAGUUGAUUUGAAGUUAAAUUAUAUUUAAAUUUUGAUUUAACACUUAUUAUUUAAUUUUUACUUUAAACAUUAAAGUUGUUUGUUAAAAUUAGUUUAAAACUUAUUUUAAACCAUCAUAUUGACAUAUUUAUCCUUAUAAUAUAUAAUUAGGUAAAAAAAAAAAAGUCGAAUAAUAGUGAAAAUUGUGGAGUAGCAAAGCAAAAGAGAUCGUUGAAGUAAUUAUGAUAAAUACAGAUAAAAGAUAAAAUAAAAAUAUUGACUUAAAAAAAAGUUAUUUAUUUUUAUUUGUCACUUAAAAUUAUUUUUACUGUAAGUCAUAUCAUUAGGUUAUUUUACCCAAUAUACUUAAUUUACUUAAUAAUUUAAAUUAAACUAUUAAAUCAUUUUAAGUUAUUAAAUUGAUUUAUUAAACAUUCACUUACACUUAAUUCGUAUAUAUAUAUAUAUAUAUAUAUAUAUAUAUAUAUAUAUAUAUAUAUAUAUAUAUAUAUAUAUAUAUAUAUAUAUAUAUAUAUAUAUAUAUGGAAAAAGAAAAAAACAACAACAACGCGCUCUAUAUGGGAGAGUGCAAAAAAAUGAAAAAUAAAUAACUCGUGGGUGAGGGGAAAAGAAUAUCAUAUUACAACCACAAUAAUAUUUAUUUUUAUUAUUAAAAAAAUAAACAAAUAAAACCAUAGAGACUAGUGUCUUUGGUAAACCAUACAUGCACUUACAUGAAAGGAAAACGUGUAUGAGGGGGUGGUAUUGUCUCUCCUGGAACUCCUUUGUGUGACUCACAAGUGAGAGUCCUUUCUGUGUAUUUAUAAGGGAAAAUAAUGUUUGCGCGAGGGAUGGGGUGCGGGAGUUGUUGCUCACAGUGAGCCUCCCCCGCAACAACGUGAUAUAUAAUUCUUUACUUCUUUAUAAUAUNNNNNNNNNNNNNNNNNNNNNNNNNNNNNNNNNNNNNNNNNNNNNNNNNNNNNNNNNNNNNNNNNNNNNNNNNNNNNNNNNNNNNNNNNNNNNNNNNNNNCAUUCUAUGUUAUUAAAUUUAUAUAUUUAACACUCACUCACACACAUUUUGUAUAUAUAUAUAUAUAUAUAUAUAUAUAUAUAUAUAUAUAUAUAUAUAUAUAUAUAUAUAUAUAUAUAUAUAUAUAUAUAUAUAUAUAUAUGGGAAAAGAAAAUAACAACAACAACAAGCUCUACAUGGGAUAGUGCAAAAAAAUGAAGAAUAAAUAAUUCAUGGUUGAUGGGAAAAGAAUAUCAUAUUACAACAACAAUAAUAAUUAUUAUUAUUAUUAAUAAAAUAAACAAAUAAAACCAUAGAGACUAGUGACUUUGGUAAACCAUACAUGAACUUACAUGAAAGGAAAACUUGAAUGAAGGGCUGGUAUUGGCUCUCCUGGAACUCCUUUUUGUGACUCACAAUUGGGAGUCCUUUCAGUGUAUUUAUAAGGGAAAAUAAAGUUUGAGCAAGGGAUGGGGUGCAGGAGUUGUUGGUCACAGUGAGCAUCACCAGCAACAACAUGAUAUAUAAUUCUUUACUUCAUUAUAAUAUAAGCACAACACUUUUCAUUUCAUUUAUGCCCAAUUUUGCUUUGUGCAGAAUCAUCUGAUCACUGGGGUGUACUCACAAGGCACAUUAAUAAUUGUAAGGAAGAAGCCCAGAGUGUAGGACUUGGUCACAAGUCAAGAAACACAUGCUAAUUUGGCCUUUGAUUUUGUGGAGCAAUAUUAAGGUUGCAACUUUGACGGGUUUAAUUUGAAGUACUCAAUUCAAGUCUAAUCUAAUCUUAUUUUUCAAAGAUAAGUUGAGUUUAGUGCAGUUAAGGUUAGUCUCAGGUUAAUCAAAUUGCAUAAUUCAAAAUCCAUUUAUAAUGUUUUUUUAACAAAAUUUUUAUAUAUUUAUAUGAAAAUUUAAAUAAUAAAUAAGACAAAAUUUAAAGAUAACAACAAAAAUAAAAAUAACUUCAUAUUUUUUUUAAAUGAAAAGACAUUAUAUAAUAUUAAUUUGAUAAUUUUUUCUUAAAAAUCUAAAAAAUGAAUAUUGUCAUAGAAGAUAUUAUACAUUAUAAAAAUUAUAAAAACAUUAAAUUGAAUUUAAAUUAGGUUCAUAAAACAAAUUGAAUGCGAUUUGAAAAAACUUAAUCCAAAUCCAACCCCAAUAAUGAAAAUGAUUAUCCAAAUUUGUCCAAACGACAUGUUGGGUUUAGAUUGAGUCGGGCUAACCCGCCCAUAUUGCACCCCUAAGCACUAUCCAAUAAAUAAUGAACUCGUGCAUUCACUUGAAGAGUUCUUGAUCAUCAGUGAAAGAACAUUACUGUAUUCACUGUCUAUGGCUUAAGCUUGUUGCCAACAAGAAAAACACUCAUUAAUGUUCUUGUUUUUCAGAUCCUCCUUUGCUACAUUUUAAUUACUUUCUAACCAUUAUUUCUUAACCAUCAAAAAACUCACAAGACUAGACAAAGAAUUAGCACACAGAGAGAUGCAACAGAUUCUCCACGGCUAGCUCCUCUUUUUCUCCUUAGACUCAAUUCAUGUACCAUUGACCAACUCAAAGAUCAAAGAGCAAUAAUAAUUUGUUUUGUAAUUUGGUGAAUUUUUUUGGUUGAAAAGAAAUUUAUAUACAUUCAAAUUAUUUAAUAUUUAUAUGAAAGAGUUAAAAUAAUUAUAAUAAGUUUAAAAUAGUAUAUAAAAAUUAUUUUUUGAUUUUAAAUCUAUUUUUAUUUUUAAAAUUUUAUUUUCUUAUACUUUUUAACCUAGCAUGAAUGGAAAAUUUUCGACAAAGAAAUAGAAAAAUCAACCUCAAAAUUUCUCCUCAUGAUUUGGCUAGAAAUCCAAAUAAUGGUCUUGAAAAUUUCGUAAAAUUUAGCCAAAUACUAGAAAGAAAGCUGGUUGUCCAAAAGUCAUCUCUUGCAUCCAAAUUCAGCUUCUGAAUUCAAACCUGCAAAUAUGACAAAUCAAUACAACAACAUUCACGAAGUACGAUAAUUAUAUUCAAAUUAACAAAAUCUAAGAACAUUUGAUAUUCAAGCUUCAAUAAAUCUCAUAGUUUAAAAUUUCCUAAAUGUCAGUGUGCGAGUUCUUUUAAGAGAAUAAAAAAUUCUUUUUAAUAUUUUGAAGCCUAUUUUUUUAACAAAUAUGUAGUGUUUUAUAAAUUUUUAAAAACCAUUUUUAAAGAUUCAAAAAAAUUACUUUAAAUGAUAUUUAGGCCAUCAUUCAAUGGGUAAUUGUUCCAAAAAUCGCUUUGACCAAAAUCACUUCCAAAAUGGCUCCAUUGUCACCAAAUCCUAGUGGCUUGCUUAGAUCUUCAGACUAGGAUAAGAGCUAGGUAAAAUAUUAUGUGGAGCGAAUUGUAAAGAGUGUCAAUUAAGUUAUGACUUGAAUGGGAAGAUGCCAGCAGCCCAACUGGAAAAAGCCUCUAGGCCACAGUCAUGGAAGUAUAUGCUUGAAUACCUUGGGGCUAACGCUACCUUCAUUGACCCGGGCGGCUGUUGACUGCUGAUCUCUAGUCUCUACAGAUGGUUUAACCUCAAUUAGUCCCAUACAGGCAGGAAAAGCUUGGUCAGAAAUGUUUGAAGAUUAAUCUGACAAUAUGUGAGUGGAUAAUGUUAUGAUGUUUGGUUGUGGCCUUUCCCUGAUUGCUCCUUGAAUUAUGCCAUUGCCGCAGUUUCUACGACUAAUCAGCAUAAUUUUCCUUGUCGUUUCUUUUAUAACCGAUUCCCCUUUCUCCCUUCUGAAUUAUAUUCACUUUCUUAGCUCUAAUGGACAUUAGGCGCAUUUGGUGUAACCGGAGAAGUUUAUUUCUUAUAGUUUCUCGGGUCAAGGGCCCAACUUAAGUCUUCUAUUGCAUAGAAAAAUGACUUUCUCACAUUCGUUAUUAUCAAAAAUUGUAAAGAAAAUUAAAUAUAAUUAAGAUUAAUUAGAAACUUAUCAAAGAGUUAAAAUAUAUGAAAUAGGUCUAAAAUAACAUAUAAAAAUAAUUUAUUAACUUUUUUUCACGAGGUUGGUUUGAUAUCAUCGGAUGAACGUGAGUAGAUUUUAUUAGCAAUACUAGUACAUAGUAAUCUCACCCUGGAAAUCAAAUUUAGACUACGUAUACCAUUGAUCCAAAGAACCAAUAGCUUGACAGACCUAGUCAUGAGGUGAACGGACUGAAGUGAUUGCAAAGUAAAGGAGCUGCAUGGCCAAGCUUAGUUAGCUAGCCAGACCCCCCAAGAAGAGCCUUGAGCCUCUUCACUUCAUCAUCAUCAAGAAAGGUGGUCUUCUCUAUCAAUUCAGAAGGCAAGCUGCUUCUAAACAGCGCAUAGCUCAGGAUCUGCAGGCCGGGGUUCGAGCUACUGAAGCUAACCCAAAUGAGUGCCGGCGUCCGACCAGUGUUCACCUCGAAAUGCAGCAAGCCUUGAGGGAAAACCAUGAUAUCUCCCUCUUUGAGUGUCUUCGAGUAGACAGUAUUAUCUGAAGAGACGAAAGCAGCAAUGACAGAGCCCUUGGCCACAAGUAGCGUCUCCGAAGCACCAGGGUGGCUGUGCAUUGGAAUCGCACCGCCGGGGGCCAGGUCCACCCGAGCCAUGGAGAGACCAAGCCCAUUUAGGCCUGGGAAUUUAUCAGCAAAUGCUGUGUUUAUGGAAGCUUUGAUGAAGUUUGAGGUGUUUCCAGCCACACCUAGGCCUGAGUACACGAAGUCAUCUACUGUUACUUUUGCAGGCGUCUUGCAGGAGUAGCCUGCAGGACCUUGUGGGGCUUUCAGGUCCGCCACGCAGAAGUCUUGGACUGCUGCAUGAGAGGAGGACACAAGGAAAUAAAAGAAGAGAAGAACGUGAAGCAUUUUCACUGGUGACUUUGGUGUCUAAGGGCUGUGGUGGUCAGGCACAUAUGUAACAGUGGGGGGAGCUUUGGGUAUAAAUAGUAGCAGGCUUUGGUGCAAUUGAAGUAGUUAGAUCCAUGCUCAUAUAUACAAUGAGCAAAUGAUAACCAUUCGUUUCAUGCCAUGAAGCAUUUUAGUCCUUGGUGAGCCCCAUCUUUUGACAAAAGAGCGUGAAAUACUUUCCCUAUGGAAAACUCUCACUAGGAAGGUGGUGGGACUUUGUGGGCAUUUGGGAAGUCAAUUUAAUGAGGUAAUAUGAUCUAAUAACUUAAUUUAAGUUGAGUGGGAAUAUUUGAUAAAAUAAUUUAAUUUUAUAACUUAAAAGUAAAAAAUAUAUAUAUAUUAAUUAAGUAAAAUAAUUAACUUAAUCUGAAUCUUAAAUUUCUUUUACCUUAUAUGCAAGCAUAUAUUGAGUCUUUUUUACAUCUAUAAUCCCUUAUUAUAAUUCAUUUCCUAUUAUAAAUAUUUUGUAGUCUUUUGUGAGCCCCAUUUUUUGACAAAAGAAGACUAAAUACUUUUCUUAUGGAAAACCUCUAAAUGAUAGGGAAGUGAUGAGACUUUAUGGGUAUUUAGUACAUCAACUUAAUUAAUGAUUUAGCCCAAUUUAAUAAUCUAAUUUAAGUUAGUAAAUUAAUGCAGAACUUAAAAUUAAAAAUAACUUCAAGUAUUAAAUCAAAAUAAUUAAUUAAUUUAUAUAAUCUGAAUCUUAAAUUUCUUUUAUCCUAUUUAUCCUAGUGAAUGUUUCUUUUACAACCAUAACUUUAAUCUUCAACUCAUUUUUUAUAGUAAAUAUUUUAUAUGUUUAUUACACCUUCAAUACAAAUAUUUAAUAAAAAAUUAUUAUUUAAGAUUAAUGAAGGUUAAUAUUAAUUAUAAUUAUUGAGGGUAAAUAUUAAUUAAAAUUAAAUAUAUCAAUUAAAUAAUUUAGAUAAAAUAUAUAAAUAAACUUUAUCAAAUAACCUUAAUAUCAAAAAUAAAAGUUUCACAAGCUUAAAGUACAUUAGAAUAGAAUAUAUACUAUACAAUGAGCAAAUGAUAACCAUUCCUUCACGCUAGCUUUGAAGCAUUUUAGUCCUUGUUGAGCCCCAUUUUUCAAGAAAAGAACAUGAAAUACUUUUCUAUGGAAAACUCUCACUGAUUGUAACGUUGUGAGACUUUGCGAGUAUUUGAUAAGCCAAUAAAUUUAAAAAUAAUUUUAAUUAAUAAAUCAAAAUAAUUAACUUAAUAUACAUUGAUAGUCUCUUUUACAUCCAUGACCCCAUGGUACAACUUGUUGAGUAUAAAAAAAAUAAAAAUAAAUAAAAAAAUAAAAACAGAAAAUCAAGAAAGGGGUGAACUUUUAUUUUCCACUGUAUUUUGUUGUAUCUUCAUAUAUUACGGAUAAGAGGUUCGUUAAUCGUGUGGAGCAAAUUAUGCAGAGAGUCGAGCAAUGACUUUAGUUGGAAGAUACCACCAGCCCAUAUGGAAAAGCCUCUAGGCCACUGUCAUGGAAGUCUAUGUCUGGGUACCUUGAGGCCAAUGCUAUCUCCAUCAACCCACUUCUAGAAAUGUUUUUGGUCAAGGGUAUGUAUGUUAUGUUAACCAAAUCACACGCACGCACGAUUGGAAAAUAAAGAAAAAAAUAACAUUUCUAACGUGUUUCUGGGAUUAAUGUGACCCUUAUAUAUGUCUACAAAAUGCGCGUCAAUACUCAAAAAUUCAUUAAUUAAAAUAAAUGAGAAGAAUUAUAAUGACGAAGCUCUCAAAAAAAUAAUUUUCAAUUAUGAUUGUAUUCUUUAAAAACACGAAACUCUAAAACAUAAAAUGAUUUAAUAUAUAAUAAAGGAUAAGCUUGUCAUUCAUCACAUAAAAAAAUAAAAAUAAAAAUUCUAGCGGACAUCUUAAGUGAAGUGCAACACAAUCCCCACAAGCUUAAUGGAGAAAUCAACUCCCGACAUCUUAAGUGAAGUACAAUAAAAUUAAUUCAGACUUCACAAUGUAACACAUUAAUCUUCCCAAAAAACAAAAAACAAAACAAAAUUUGAUAUACCCCUCGUUGAUUUUUGAAUUAUGGCAAUAUAUAAGAAAGAAGAAAAACAGGUAACACUUAUGCUCCACAUUUGAUGUUGCAAAGCAAUAUACAAACAUUAUUACAAGGUAAUCUCACACUGGAAAACCAAAUAUAGAACUCCACACAUGCCAUUGAUCCAAAGAAUCAAUAGCUUGAAAGACUAAUUAAAGUGAUUACAUACUUAAUGGAGGGUGACAAGAAAUUAGUUCUUGCCAAGCUUAAUUACCCAGAACCGCCAAGAAGAGCCUUGAGUCUCUUCACUUCAUCAUCAUCAAGAAAAGUGGUCUUCUCUAUCAAUUCAGAAGGCAAGUUGUUGCUAAACAGCGCAUUGCUGAGGAUUUGGAUGCCAGGGUUCGAGCUACCGAAGCUAACCCAAAAAUGUGCCUGUGUCCGACCAGUGUUCACCUGGAAAUGCAGCAACCCUUGAGGGAAAACCAUGAUAUCUCCCUCCUUGAGUGUCUUCAAGUAGACGGUAUUAUCUGAAGAAAUGAAACCAGCAGUGAUAGAGCCCUUGGCUAUAAGAAUUGUCUCUGAAGCGCCGUGGUGAGUGUGCAUUGGAACCACACCGCCAGGGGCUAAGUCUGCUCGUGCCAUGGAGAGGCCAAGGCCAUUUAGGCCGGGGAAUUUAUCAACAAAUGCUGUGUUGAUGGCAGCAUUGAAGAGGCUUGAGGUGUUUCCAGGCUGACUUAAGCCUGAAUACACGAAAUCGUCUGCUGUUACUUCUGCAGGCGUCUUGCAGGAGUAGCCUGCAGGGCCUUGUGGGGCUGUCAAGUCCGCCACACAGAAAUCUUGGACUGCUGCAUGGGAGGAGGAGACAAGGAGGAAGGAAAACAAGGCAAGAAUGUGAAGCAUUUUGUCUGGUGAUUUUGGUAUCUGAAGGAUGUGGUACUCAGUACUUGAUUCAAUUCAAUUGCACCAAACCUUAAUUAUUAUUUAUAGUACGAAGCAUUUUAGUCUUGGGGGAGCACCAUUUUUGUAUCAGUCAAAGAAAGGGGACUACUUAUCGUGUGGAAAACCUCUUACUGAUCAGAAGUUGGUGGGACUUCAAAUUCAAAAUGGUCUUCCCUUCUGAUUAUUUUCAUGGAUAAAGAUGCAAACGAAUGCUUAGUCAUCGAUCUUCAUCAUUCCAAAGAAGACAUUUUUUUUUUGGAGAGUUGAUCAGGUAAUUAAGAUGACGACCAAGUCAUGGCAUAGCAUUAAUGUUGAAGAAGACAAACCAUUUGUCCAACUUGUGGGAUCACACGAAAGCUAGCAUUCUACGUUUAUCACAGAUUUGUUUGGUCAAGCAUGAUCUUGCAUGAGUGGCCUAUAAGGCUUGUGUGGGGGGCUGUCAACUCUAUAAUGCAGAAGUCCUGGAUUGCGGUAUGGGAGGAUGAUAGGAUGAAGAAAAGAGGAGACGAUGAUCGGGUUUUGGGUCAGCAAUGGCUUAAUUACUUAUUAAUUACUUAUUGCAGAAGUCCUGUCAUGCCUAAGGAGAAGAAGGGGUUAACAUUUGAGCCACUCAACCUUUCGACUUCACCUUCAAAUAUUUGGAUUUGUUCACUAAUUAAACCAAGACAUACCGUAGGAUCAAGCAAGUAUGAACAAGGAAUUCACCACCUCACGUAAACUACUGUCUUACCAUGUUGAAUUCACGCACACUACUACAUUCCAAUGAGAAUAUUCCUCAUCUUAUCUUAUCUUCUGUUUAGAUAAUUUAAAUGAUAAUAGAAAUGAAAUAAAAAAUAAUUUUGAUAAGAACGAAAUCUCAAUCAUAAGUGGGAUUUGAACUCAUCUCUAAUAAGAGAUAUUUUAGUUCUUUCGGUAUAAGAAAUAUAUAAUAUUUUAAAAUUACUAUUUUAUGAUUAUUUUUUUUCUUAAGCAAAUAUUAUUUUUCUUAAUUUUAUUAUUUAACAAAAAAAAACUCUUAAAUAAUGUUUUUUAAAUAAAAAUAAAUAAUUAUUUUAAACUGUGUAAAAGUAUUAUUUUCAUUUAUUAUCAAACAACAAAAUAUAAAUAAAUAAUCAUUAUAACCUCACAUUUCUAAAUGCAUCCAAAUACAAAAAUAAAAAUUAUCAAAUUCAUUCCUAUUUAAAAAAAAAUAGGAACGAAAAUAAAAUAUUCAUUUUCACGUGCCAAACAUAAUCUUACACUUAUCCUCAAAGAUUUUAUGGUGGUCAAAGAUGUCACCCUAUGAUUUUGAGCUUUAAGUUACUUGUACUCUUACAUGAAUAUAAGAUAAUUAAGAGAUGGAAGUAACAAAGUAAGGAAUGGUGUCCAAAACAAAAAAUUAGAAAAACGUGUUUGACAAUCAAGAAAUUAUUUUUAAUUUUUUAUUCUUAAAAUUAGAAAAUAAAAUAUUUUUAAAUUGUUUUCUAAGAACUAUUUUAAAAAAUAAUUAUGAAAACUUGUAAAAUAAUUAAAAAUAAAAUAGUAGAUAUAAAAUUUAUUUUUUUAAAAUAUUUUAAAAUAUUAAAAGUAGGUUAAAAACAUUUCAAGCAUCUAAAUAAACUUUUAUUUAAAAAUCAUCUAAAAAAUAAUUUUCUGUUGUUUACAACUACCUUUUAAAACUAUUUUGCAAAGCAUUAUCACACGAAGCCUAAAUCUGAGUUUAAGACCAAAAUAAUAUAUUUGUAAAAAAAAAUGAUAAGAAUAGUAUCCAUUUGAAAAUAUUUGUCAAAGUAGUCUUCUUUAUCCACGUAAGCAUCCACAUGGAUUUUAAGUGUAAAGAACCACCGUUGGUGACUGUGGUUUUAGAACUUACAAAAAUUUCCUUAAAACCACAGUUACAAACUGUGGUUUUACAAUUUCUCUUAGAACCACAGUUACUAACUACGGUUUUAAAAGAAGUUUCCUUAAAACCACGGUUACAAACUGUGGUUUUACAAUUUUCUAACUUUACAAUUAUUUUUAAUUCGUUCCCAUUUUAAUGGUGUUAUAAUUUUAAUAUUAUUUUUAAAAUAUUUUUUUUAUCAAAACAACCAUAAAACCACAGUUAGUAACUGUGGUUUUACUAAUGGUGUUGUAAUUCAAAUUAGUGAUGUUAUGUUAUUCACAUGUUUCCUUGAUAAUUUAAACAAAUAAAACUCAAAUGCAUCCUAAAGUCUAAAUGAAAGAAAUUCUAACUAAAUAAAUUAUUACAACCAUUACCUAUUUUUCUUUCAUAUAAUUAAAAAAUUAUACAUUUUAACCAAGACAUAAGUUCAAAUCAUACUUAAUAAUAAAUAACCUAAAAUCAUAAUCACUGGCAUUAAUUUUCAUAUGAAAAGAUAAAAUUUUAAAAUAAUAUAAACAAUUUCUUUAGUUAUUUUAAAAUUUAAAAAUAAUAUGAAUAAAUAAUUUUCUUUAGUUCAUAUGUGAAAAUAUUUGUAAAACAAAUAAAUAUUUUAUUUACUAUAAAUAUAUAAAUUUUUAUGGGAAUGCAUGUAGACCAAAUUAUUUUCUCAAAUUUUCAAGGAAAAUAUGAAAAAAUAAAGAUAAUAUAUAUAUAUAUAUAUAUAUAUAUAUAUAUAUAUAUAUAUAUAUAUAUAUAUAUAUAUAUAUAUUUUAAAACAGUCGUAACAAAAAAAUUUGUGAAAAGCAAAGUUCUAAAAUCCCAUACUUUUUUAUACAUGAGUCCCCUUAAAAAUAUUUGUGAAAAUUACAACAUAAUUGUAAUUUUGAUAAAAAAAUAUUUUAAAAAUAAUAUUAAAAUUACAACACCAUUAAAAUAUAUGCGGAUUGAAAAUAAUUGUAAAACCACAGUUACUAACUGUGGUUUUAUGGGUAUUUUGAUAAAAAAAUAUUUUAAAAAUAAUAUUAAAAUUACAACACCAUUAAAAUAGAUGUGGAUUGAAAAUAAUUGUAAAACCACAGUUACUAACUGUGGUUUUAUAGUUAUUUUGAUAAAAAUUAUUUUAAAAAUAAUAUUAAAAUUACAACACCAUUAGUAAAACCACAGUUACUAACUGUGGUUUUAUGGUUGUUUUGAUAAAAAAAAUAUUAAAAUUAUAACACCAUUAAAAUGAGGACGGAUUAAAAAUAAUUGUAAAACCACAGUUACUAACUGUGGUUUUAAGGGAAAUUGUAAAACCACAAUUUGUAACUGUGGUUUUAAGGAAACUUCUUUUAAAACCGCAGUUAGUAACUGUGGUUUUAAGAAAAUUUUUGUAAAUACUAAAACCACAGUCACCAACGGUGGUUCUUUACACUUAAAAUCCAUGUGGAUGCUUACGUGGAUAAAGAAGACUACUUUGACAAAUAUUUUCAAAUGGAUACUAUUCUUAUCAUUUUUUUUUACAAAUAUAUUAUUUUGGUCUUAAACUCCCUAAAUCUCCUUGGCUGUCGGAGAGGGUACCCGGUGAAACAGUUGCCACCCAAUCUGCUGACGAGUAUUAAACCAAACAAGGAUUCUGAUCCAGGGUUUAACUGUGUACUUUCGUCGGAUGCCAAAGUUGAUGACGACAAUUUGUAGGAAGAGGCUAAGUAUAACUGUCGCACGACCUCCCAUUCAUUCCAAAGCUUGAGCAUACUUUCUUGGAAAAUCUGCAUUACCCGCCUCGUCUCCAUGAAAAUCAAACUGCUGCCAAUUAAACAUUCAAAAAUAUUGGAGCCAAAAAUGAGGAACAAAAGAUGGUAUCUGGGAAAAGAAUAUCAUAUAUACUAAAAACUUAAAAACACCAGUUACUUGGAUGUCUAUGAGCUUACAUGUAAAUUGUAAACAGCAUUGUUGGCUCUCCUGGAACUGAUUUUUGAUGGCAUUCUGAUCUUAAUGUCUAACAAUUGUAACUCUUUAUGCCCAUUUAUAAGGGAAAAGCAGAGAGAGUGAGAAAUCAACAUCCAGUUAAGAUGGAAACGAAGUGUUACUUUGAAUCUUUAAAGAACAGAAAGUGACAGGAAUCUUGUAAAGAAAGUAGGUUAUAUUGGCAUACAAGUAAGGCAUCACCAGCAACAACAUAAUAAAGCAGAAGGCAUAUUUAUGAGGGAAAAGCAGAGGGACCGAAAACCGACAUCCAAGAAAGACGAGACCAUGAAGUGUUGCACUGAAUCUUUUAAAGAAUAGAGUUCUCCAGGAAUCUGAGAAUGGGAAGGAGUGAGGCCUUGGUCAUAAUAUAUGGCUUAGAGUAAAGGCCUGGACAGCAAGCCUCAUAAUUGGCAGAAGUGCAGAAACACAUAGAUAGUAGUUUUGCUUUUCAUUUUAUUCACAGUGUUCCUCUGAGCAUGCCGGCAGAAGAUUCAGGUGACUAAUUGAAUGUAUUUCUUUUCUAGUUAAAAGUACUGUUCUCUCUAAGCAACAUCAGAGGAGACAGAGACAGGACUUGAUGAUGCAAUGAAGAGUUGGGUAUUCUAAAAUUUGAAUAAUAUCUGAAUUUAGACACAUGUUACGAAUAGUAAGAGAGAUCUGUUGUACUAUCUUAAGAAUUGUGCUGUUCAUACUAAGAUUUUGAUGUCAAAAUCAUCUGAUAAUAUCGACUUAUAUUUUACUUUAUAUGGUCUAAUCUCUACAAAUGAUUCACCUCAAUAUCACAUUGGGCAUCUACCCUUGUAUAGGAUAGGGACUUUUCUCAAUAGUACAGUAAUUUAAAAAAGUUAUGCUUAAAUUAUUGUAGUAAAAGAAGUUAUUACAAAUAUAUGGUAGAGAGAGGAGAGAGGGUGAGAGAGAGGAGAGAGGAGAGAGGGUGGACGGUUCCAUGAAAAAAUAUAUAUAUAUAUAUAUUUUAAAAAAUUCUCAAAUUAAAAAAAAAAAAGACAAUUAUUCAAGGAAACUCGUCUCUUGAAGAGACGAGUUCCCAUUAAAAAAAAUACAUAUAUUUUUAAAAAAUUCACAAAUUAAAAAAAAAAAAAAUUGGAACUAAAGGGAACUCGUCUAAAGAGACGAGUUCCCAUGGGAAAAAAAAAUAUAUUAUUUUUUUAAAAUAUAUUUUUUAUUUAAAAAAAAUCCCAAAAAAAAAAAAUUCCUAAAGGGAACUCGUCUCUUCAAGAGACGAGUUCCCUUGGGAAAAAAUAUAUUUUUUAUUUUAAAAAAUCCCAAAUUAAAAAAAAAAAAAAACACAAUUCCAAAGGGAACUCGUCUCUUCAAGAGACGAGUUCCCAUGUAAAAAAAUAUAUAUUUUUUAAAAAUAUAUAUAUUAAAAAAAAAAAAAAAACAAUUCCUCAAAAUUGAACUCGUCUCUUCAAGAGACGAGUUCCCAUGUAAAAAAAAUAUUUUUUUUUAAAAAAUAUAUAUAUUUAAAAAAAAAUUUCCUAAAGGGAAUUCGUCUCUUGAAGAGACGAGUUCCCAUGUAAAAAAAAAUAAAUUUUUUUAUUUUUUUAUUAAAAAAAAAANNNNNNNNNNNNNNNNNNNNNNNNNNNNNNNNNNNNNNNNNNNNNNNNNNNNNNNNNNNNNNNNNNNNNNNNNNNNNNNNNNNNNNNNNNNNNNNNNNNNCCAAAUUAAAAAAAAAAAAAAAAAAAAAAAAAAAAAAAAAAAACACAAUUCCAAAGGGAACUCGUCUCUUCAAGAGACGAGUUCCGAUGUAAAAAAAAAAAAUAUUUUUUUUAAAUAUAUAUAUUAAAAAAAAAAAAAACAAUUCCUCAAAAUUCCUAAAGGGAAGUCUCUUCAAGAUACGAGUUCCCAUGUAAAAAAAAAAAAAUUUUAAAAAAUAUAUAUAUUUAAAAAAAAAAUUCCUAAAGUGAACUCGUCUCUAUAUUUAAAAAAAAAUAUAUAUUUUUUAUUUUAAAAAAUCCCAAAUUAAAAAAAAAAAAAAAAAAAAAAAAAACAUUUCCAAGGGGAACUCGUCUCUUGAAAAAACAAUUUCCCAGGUAAAAAAAAAUAUAAAAAUUUUUUAAAUAUAUAUAUUAAAAAAAAAAAAAAAAACAUUUCGUCAGGGGAACUCUUCAAUUCAAAAAAAAAGUCCCUUUGAAAAAAAAAUAUUUUUUUUAAAAAUAUAUAUUUUUAAAAAAAAAAUUUCNNNNNNNNNNNNNNNNNNNNNNNNNNNNNNNNNNNNNNNNNNNNNNNNNNNNNNNNNNNNNNNNNNNNNNNNNNNNNNNNNNNNNNNNNNNNNNNNNNNNUUUUUUUUUUUUAAAAAAAUUUUUUUUUUUUUUAAAAACCCCCCUUUUAAAAAAAAAAAAAAAAAAAAAAAAAAAAAAAAAAACCCAUUUCCAAAGGGAACUUGUCUCUUCAAGGGAGGAGUUCCGGGGUAAAAAAAAAAAAUUUUUUUUUUAAAUAUAUAUAUUAAAAAAAAAAAAAACAAUUCCUCAAAAUUCCUAAGGGGAAGUCUUUUCAAGGUCCGGGUUCCCAUGUAAAAAAAAAAAAAUUUUAAAAAAUAUAUAUAUUUAAAAAAAAAAUUCCUAAAGGGAACUCGUCUCUAUAUUUAAAAAAAAAUAUAUUUUUUUUUUUUUAAAAAAUCCCAAAUUAAAAAAAAAAAAAAAAAAAAAAAAAACAAUUCCAAAGGGAACUCGUCUCUUGAAGAGACGAGUUCCCAUGUAAAAAGAAAUAUAUAUAUUUUUUAAAUAUAUAUAUUAAAAAAAAAAAAAAAAACAAUUCGUCAAGGGAACUCGUCUAUUCAAGAGACAAGUUCCUAUGUAAAAAAAAUAUUUUUUUUUAAAAUAUAUAUAUUUUAAAAAAAAAUUUCCUAAAGGGAACUCGUCUCUUCAAGAGACGAGUUCCCAUGGGAAAAAAAUAAAAUAUAUUUUUUAUUUUAAAAAAAUCCAAAAUUUAAAAAAAAAAAAAAAAAUUCCUAAAGGUCGUCUCUUGAAGAGUCGAGUUACCAUGGAAAAAAAAUAUAUAUUUUUUUUAAAUAUAUUUUUUAUUUUAAAAAAAUGAAAAAAAAAUAUAUUUUUUUUAAAAUAUAUUUUUUAUUUAAAAAAAAUCCCAAAUUAUAAAAAAUAAAUAAAUAAAAAUUCCUAAAGGGAAAUCGUCUCUUGAAGAGACGAGAGACGAGUUCAAAAAAAAUAUUUUUUUUUUAAAUAUAUUUUUUAUUUAAAAAAAAUCCCAAAUUAAAAAAAAAAAAAAAAAAAAAAAAAAAACCAAUUCAUCAAGGGAACUCGUCUAUUCAAGAGACGAGUUCCUAUGGAAAAAAAAUAUAUUUUUUUUUAAAUAUAGUUUUUAUUUUAAAAAAAUCCCAAAUUAAAAAUAAAAAUAAAAAUAAAAAAAACAAUUCCUCAAGGUAACUCAUCUCUUGGAAAAAAAAUAUUUUUUUAAAAAAAAUAUAUUUUUUAUUUAAAAAAAAUUCCCAAAUAAAAGAAAAAAAAAACAAUUCCUCAAGUCAACUUUUCUCUUCAUAUAUAUAUUUUUUUUUUUAAAUUCCCAAAUAAAAAAAAAGAAAAAAAAAAUAAAGGAAUUUUUUUUAAAAAAAAAAAAAUAUAUAUAUAUAUAUAUAUAUAUAUAUUUUUUUUUAAAAAUUCCCAAAUUAAAAAAAAAAAAAAAACAAAAGAAUUUCCUCAAGGGAAAAAAAAUAUAUAUUUUUUAAAAAAAUAUAUAUAUUUUUUUAAAAAAAAUUUCCUCAAGGGAACUCGUCUCUUUAUGAAAAAAAUUAGUUUUAAAAAAAAAACAAUCUCAAAUUAAAAAUAUAUAUUUUCAAUGUCAUUAAAGCGGCUUUUUCUGCUUAAAAAUAAAAUUAUUUCAAACAAAAAUUAGAUUUUUAGGAGAUGAAAUUUUUCAAGGAAAAACAAAUAAAAUAAAAGAUAAAAAACAAUUGCAAAGAUUUUUAGGUUAUUUAAAUUAUAUUUCUGAUUACUUCAAAGAUUUCAGAAUGAACCCUUCUUAUAUUACUUAGAAAAAUAGACCUGCACACCUGCAUGGACUGAGCAUCAAAAGUCACAUCAAAAGUCAUGAAUAGUAGUGAAUAGUAGUAUUUGUCUACUUUCUACUACUUUGCAAGCAACGUGGAGGAUGGGAAAGUAAAGUGAAUUUUUCUCUUUUCAAGUCUUUGACAAAGAAAAUAAAUUCUCCCUCUGCAGACUUCAGUACCCAGCUGUCUCUACACGUGAUGGAUUUCAAACUUUUUCAAGAUUGCAGAUUCAAUAGAAUUUCAAGUCCGAAUCCUCGCCUAUAAAUAGAGCCUCAACUUUCUUCAUAAGCAGAGCAGAAAAAGAGCAAAAAAAAUUUAGAGAGUGCAAAAUUUUGAGAGUUCAAAAAAUUUUCUCUUGUAAUUUUCUUUUUUAGUCUGAGUCAUCCCUCCCUCUGCUGUAAACCAGCCCGUAAUCAUCAACUCUCUGUAAGGUAUGUUUUCAAUAAACAAAUUUUUCAUAUUCAAAUAUUUGUGUUAUUGUGUUUAAAUUUUUGCAAUAAAUUAUACAGUAUUAUAAAUUAAAUAUUUCUGUUGUUUUUAUAGUUGAAGAUUAUUAGACAGAAUUAAUUAUUACGUGCAUGAAUUAAUUAUUGUUUACGUGAAUUAAUUUAGACAGAAUUAAUUAUUACGUGCAUGAAUUAAUUAUUGUUUACAUGAAUUAAUUUAAAUAAAUUUAGUAAUGGUGGUUAGUGUGAAAUUAUUAAAAAAUUAAUAUUAUUUUUAAAUUAUUGAAAUAAUUCUUGUAAGAUAUUGAUAGCUAAAAAUUAAAAAUAAAUAAAAGUAGAAAUAAAACUAAAUUAUUAUUUGAUUUAUUUAAAUGGAUAUUUUAAUGUAUAAUAUAUAUAUAUAUAUAUCAAAGAAAUUUUCUAUAAUAUAACAUAGUAACAGUGAGUAUUAAAUGUAUAUAUAAUAUAUAUAUUUAAAUAUUUAAAUAUUACAUAAAUUUAAAUAUCUAUUUUAACAAAGAAAAGAAAUAUAUAAUUGUAAAAUGUUAGAAUAUAUAAUAAAAUAAAAUAAAUAAAUUUAUUAAUGGUUAUUAGUGUUAAAUUAUUUUUUUUCAUAUAAUAUUAUUUAAAAAAUAUUAAAUUAAAAGAAAUUUAAGUAGAACAUUAUCGAAAUUAUGAAUUUAUCUUCUAUAUUUUAUGAAAAAUAAUAUUAGUAUUAAAUUAUUGAAAUAAUUCUUCUCAGAUAUUGAGACCAAAAUAUAAAAAAUAAAUAAAACUAAAAUAUUAUUUGAUUUAUUUAAAUGGAUAUUUUAAUGUAUAAUAUAUCUAUAUAUAUAUAUAUAUAUAUAUUUUUAUAAUAUAAAAUAGUAACAGUGAGUAUGAAAGGUAUAUAAUAUAUAUUUAAAUGUUAAAAUAUUAUAUACAUUUAAAUAUCCAUUUUUAAAAGAGAAAAGAAAUAUAUAAUUGUAAAAUGUUAGAAUAUUAAAAUAUUAAAAAAUAUUUGAAUGAUGCAGGAAAUACAUUCUCAUGGAUCCUGGACCAGUAGAUAGUUCAGUUCUAUAUAACCAGGAAAUACACCGAUCUUCACUUAUAUGGAAAGGAAAUGAUCCCGGAGAGCUCCAUUGUCGACGUCGUGAAGCCAGUUUUUUUCAUAAUAGUGUUUUGGAUGCACGUAUCAUUCCAUAUUUGCAACAAUCUGGAUUCUACGGUGUUGCUCGAUUAGGUUUUAUUUCAUUGGAUUGGCAUCUUAUUACAGCAUUCAUAGAGAGAUGGCGUCCUGAGACCCACACUUUCCAUGUACCUCAGGGAGAGUGUACCAUCACACUUCAAGAUGUUAGCAUUAUUUUAGGCUUACCAAUUGAUGGUGUUGCAGUUACCGGUACCACGUGCUUAGAUUGGAGAGAGGUGUGUGCCACUCUAUUAGGAGUGGUGCCUGGAGAUAGAGAUAUAUCUGGACAAAGACUUCGUUUGAUGUGGUUGACAGAACAUUUUCCUUCAUUGCCACCUGAUGCUGAUGUGGAGUCCGUGAGAUGCUAUGCUAGGGCAUUCAUCUUACAGUUGAUUGGAGGUUUUCUUUUUGCGGAUAAAUCAAACAAUAGAGUACACUUAAUGUUUUUACCACUACUUCAGGAUUUUGGAGUUAUUGGUACUUACAGUUGGGGUAGUGCUUGCCUAGCUUGGCUAUAUCGAGAGAUGUGUCGAGCAUCCCGUAUUGAUGCACAUGAUGUAUCAGGUCCUCUGAUUUUGUUACAGUUAUGGAUAUGAGAUAGAUUUCCUUUUAUGGCACCUAUGCGCUUACAUCCGACACCACAUGAUGAAGUGCUGCCACAACCACCUUUAGGCAUGCGGUAUGUAUUCAACCAUAGUUAUAGCAUAUGUAAACACAUAUAUGCAUAAAUAAACAAUUACUAAAACCUUUAAUAUAUAUUCUUUUUGUAGUUGGAGAGAUGAAUUCCGUACUACUUCGACGCCUAUGCAUGUGCUAUCCCAGUAUAGAUAUCUACUUGAUCGACUUAUGCCAGAGCAAGUGAUAAAUUCAUUAUUUUGAAUAAUUUUUUUAAACGAUUUAUAAUGAAAUUAUUAUUAAAUAAUGUGAGUUAUAUUUCAAAUUUAAUUGCAGAUUAUAUGGGAGCCAUAUACUGAUGAUGUCAUCUCUGCACUCCCAGAUUACUGUACUAUUGCCUCGGACUUGUGGUUAACUAUUUCACUCCUUAUCUGUUUCCACAUAGUGGAGUGACAUAGACCUGAUCGUGUUUUGCGGCAAUUUGGGCUAGUACAACAUAUUCCCGAGCAAUGCGAUACAGAAUUGGGCUUACAUAGAUAUGAUUUGAGGGGUCGACAUGAUUUUGAUUGGAUGAGUAUUCAUCACCACUAUAUUCAAAGGUGGGAGGCUAGGUACAAUCAUCUUGCUAGAGCUGAGGCAACAUAUACUUCGUACGGGUAUAACCACCCAUAUAUGGUGUGGUAUCGUUCGAUCACUCGCCUUUUUUUGACUCCACAUGGAUUUUCGUGGGAGAUAGUGGUAAUUACAAUGUCUUUUUAUUUAUUACUAUAUUUUCUUCUUAUUACAAAAACAUUUAACUUUUUAUUCUUAAUUCUUACAGAACCGCAGUUUGCAACAAAUACAUUUAUGGACUUCUCCAGCUACACCGAAUAUCGGUCAUCGUGAUGCAAUUCAUCAAUUAUGUGCAACCACUUUAGAGGCUAUACACGAUGCUGAUUGGUUAGUUAUUCCCCCUAAUGUUGUUGAUAUGGAGAGACAAUCAUCGGAUGAGGAGGUUGGGAUAAGAGAUGGUGGGAUGCGGACUAGGGGUGGUGGGAUGCGGACUAGGGGUGGUGGGGUGCGGACUAGGGGUGGUGGGAUGCGGACUAGAGGUGGUGGGGUCCGGAGUAGAGGUGGUGGGGUACGGAUUAGACGUUCAGAGAUCCACGAGGCCGAUGAGUUUCUUAUUCCCCCCAAUGUCAUUGAUGCGGAGAGACAUUCAUCAGAUGAGGAGGUUGGGAUGACAGAUAUUGGGGUACGGACCAGAGGUGGUGGGGUGCGGACUAGAGGUGGUGGAGUACAUCCUACAGGUGGAGGUGUUCGCACUAGAGGCGGAGGUGUACGAACACGUGGAGGCCAUAUUUAUGAUGAUCCACACUUCCAUAGUGAUGAUGUAGCUAUACAUUUUCCACCAUCAGCUCUACAACAUUCUUCCUUCAAUUUUUCUACACCACUUGACCAGUCAUUGCCUUAUUCAUCAGUUCCAUCCAUUGCUGAGGGGGUGAUACAGGAAGAUGUUGGGACAUCAUUCAUGCAGGAGAUAUUGCAUUCUUAUAUUGAUGGGCCUUCUUUUCAUAUACCUAUGUCGUCUAGUAUCGAUGUAUCAUUUACUCCACCUACAGCACCACUCAUUGCUUUGUCACCACAGUCAUUAGGACAUCCAUUUAGAGAUGAUGUGGCGACACAAAUGCAAUACUUUCCGUCACCACUUGUUGAACAACAGCUAGAGGCACAAUUGCAAGAUGAAGGACGUGGACGAGGAAGAGGUCGAGGACGAGGACGGGGACGAAGACAAGGAAAUGAAGCAACAUUAGAUGGUCCCUCAGAUCAAUCCGAGUUGGAAAGAUGUCACCAACGGCCACAACGAAGAAGGAAGCCUCCUUCAUGUGGCACACAUUGAUGACUUUUAUAUCUUGUAUUGUAAAUUUUUUUUUUUAUUCUUCGUUUAUUUGUAUUAAUGAUGAAUACUAACUUUUAUUGGUUCCUAGUUCAUUCUUCGUUUUUUUAAAAAAAUAUUAUUUUUUUUAAUGGGAAAUCGUCUCUUUUGGAAUUUUUUUUUUUUAAUAAUUUCGGAUUUUUAAAAAAAAUAUAUAUAUUAAUUUUUUUUAAUGGGAACUCUCUCUUCAAGAGACGAGUUCCUUGAGGAUUUUUUUUUUUUGGAUUUUUUUUAAAAAAAAUUUAAUUUUUUUUUAUUUUUCAUGGGAACUCGUCUCUUUAAGAGACGAGUUCCUUUAAGGAUUUUUUUUUUUUUUUUUAAAUUUUGGGAUUUUUUAAUUUAAGGAUUUUAAAAAAAAUUUUUUUUUUNNNNNNNNNNNNNNNNNNNNNNNNNNNNNNNNNNNNNNNNNNNNNNNNNNNNNNNNNNNNNNNNNNNNNNNNNNNNNNNNNNNNNNNNNNNNNNNNNNNNUUUUUUUUUUGGAUUUUUUUUAAAAAAAUUUAAUUUUUUUUUUUUUUUUUUGGGGAACUCGUUUUUUUAAAGGGGGGGUUUUUUUUAGGAUUUUUUUUUUUUUUUUUAAAUUGGGGGUUUUUUAAUUUAAGGGUUUUAAAAAAAAUUUUUUUUUUCCAAAAGGGAAUUUUUUUUUUGAAAGAAGGGGUUCCCUUUUGAAAAUUUUUUUUUUUUAAAAUAAAUUUUUUUUAAAAAAAAAAUUUUUUUUUUAAAGGGGAAUUUUUUUUUUGAAAGGAGGGGUUCCCCUUUGGAAUUUUGGGGAAAGGUUUUUUUUUUUUUUUUUUUUUUUUUUUUUUUUUUUUUUUUUUUUUUAAUAUAUAUAUUUAAAAAAAAUAUUUUUUUUUUACAUGGGAACUCGUCUCUUCAAGAGACGAGUUCCCUUUGGAAUUGUAUUUUUUUUUUUUUUUAAUUUGGGAUUUUUUAAAAUAAAAAAUAUAUUUUUUAAAAUAAAAAAUAUAUUUUUUAAAAAAAAUAUUUGUUUUCCUAAAGGAACUCGUCUCUUGAAAUUUUAUUUUUUUUAAAUAUAUAUAUUUUUUAAAAAAAAUAUUUUUUUUUUUACAUUCAAGAGACGAGUUCCUUUAGGAAUUUUGAGGAAUUUUUUUUUUUAAUAUAUAUAUUUUUAAAAAAAUAUAUUUUUUUUACAUGGGAACUCAUCUCUUCUUUGGAAUUUUAUUUUUUUAUUUUUAUUUUUUUUUUUAAUUUGGGAUUUUUUAAAAUAAAAAAUAUAUUUUUUAAAAAAAAAUAUUUUUUUUCCUAAAGGGAACUUGUCUCUUCAAGAGACGAGUUCCGUUGAGGAUUUUUUUUUUCUAUAUUUGGGAUUUUUUUUAAAAAUAUAUUAUUUUUUUCAUGAGAAAUCGUCUCGAUUAAAAAAAACUUUAAUUUAAAUAAUUAAAUUUUCAACUGGAACUUACAAUAUCAUUGAGCGGUUGUGUUAGAAGACUCCCCUCUAUUAGGACAUUUUCGCCGAUUGUGACCCUCUUGUUUACAAAGCCCACAUCGCAAUUUAACACUUGGUUCUCUCCAAUCCAUUUCAUUCCUAAUCCUUGAAGAUCUUGGUCUUCCUUUAUCACGUACUAGAGUUGGAUUAGGAUGAACAAUUGGAAAAUUAGGCUCUGGCCAAUAGGCUUGAUGUGGAAUUGGAUUGAAUUGAGGUGUAUAGCAACAAGCAUAUACAUCCAUCCUAUAAUGUUUGUCAACAAAUUGCCAACUAUCAAUCCUUGCACGUGCACAUACAGCCAACACAUGUGAACAUGGUAUACCAAAUGAUUGCCAUUUAUUACAAGUACAUGUUCUUUCUUUCAACUUCACAAUUUGUAUAUUGUUUCCUUUAUCCAUAUGAAACCCAUGGGAAGCAGUUGUAACUUCAAAUAUCUCAUUUGAACGGUGAAAAAUAUUGGCAGUGUGUCCACUAGCCCUUGAUUGAUAUUUUGUUAUUUUGUUAAUGGCAUAGGAAGUAUACAAAUCUCCAUUUGCCAUUUGAGUUUGUAUCUCUGUUCGACGAGUCUCGAAAUAUGAAACACAACGAUAGAAAGUUAAUCGAACAAAAGCAGUGAUAGGCAACAUUCUAGCCCCUUUGAGCACUCCAUUUAUGCAUUCAGCAAUAUUUGUAGUCAUCCACCCAUACCGAUGNNNNNNNNNNNNNNNNNNNNNNNNNNNNNNNNNNNNNNNNNNNNNNNNNNNNNNNNNNNNNNNNNNNNNNNNNNNNNNNNNNNNNNNNNNNNNNNNNNNNNNNNNNNNNNNNNNNNNNNNNNNNNNNNNNNNNNNNNNNNNNNNNNNNNNNNNNNNNNNNNNNNNNNNNNNNNNNNNNNNNNNNNNNNNNNNNNNNNNNNNNNNNNNNNNNNNNNNNNNNNNNNNNNNNNNNNNNNNNNNNNNNNNNNNNNNNNNNNNNNNNNNNNNNNNNNNNNNNNNNNNNNNNNNNNNNNNNNNNNNNNNNNNNNNNNNNNNNNNNNNNNNNNNNNNNNNNNNNNNNNNNNNNNNNNNNNNNNNNNNNNNNNNNNNNNNNNNNNNNNNNNNNNNNNNNNNNNNNNNNNNNNNNNNNNNNNNNNNNNNNNNNNNNNNNNNNNNNNNNNNNNNNNNNNNNNNNNNNNNNNNNNNNNNNNNNNNNNNNNNNNNNNNNNNNNNNNNNNNNNNNNNNNNNNNNNNNNNNNNNNNNNNNNNNNNNNNNNNNNNNNNNNNNNNNNNNNNNNNNNNNNNNNNNNNNNNNNNNNNNNNNNNNNNNNNNNNNNNNNNNNNNNNNNNNNNNNNNNNNNNNNNNNNNNNNNNNNNNNNNNNNNNNNNNNNNNNNNNNNNNNNNNNNNNNNNNNNNNNNNNNNNNNNNNNNNNNNNNNNNNNNNNNNNNNNNNNNNNNNNNNNNNNNNNNNNNNNNNNNNNNNNNNNNNNNNNNNNNNNNNNNNNNNNNNNNNNNNNNNNNNNNNNNNNNNNNNNNNNNNNNNNNNNNNNNNNNNNNNNNNNNNNNNNNNNNNNNNNNNNNNNNNNNNNNNNNNNNNNNNNNNNNNNNNNNNNNNNNNNNNNNNNNNNNNNNNNNNNNNNNNNNNNNNNNNNNNNNNNNNNNNNNNNNNNNNNNNNNNNNNNNNNNNNNNNNNNNNNNNNNNNNNNNNNNNNNNNNNNNNNNNNNNNNNNNNNNNNNNNNNNNNNNNNNNNNNNNNNNNNNNNNNNNNNNNNNNNNNNNNNNNNNNNNNNNNNNNNNNNNNNNNNNNNNNNNNNNNNNNNNNNNNNNNNNNNNNNNNNNNNNNNNNNNNNNNNNNNNNNNNNNNNNNNNNNNNNNNNNNNNNNNNNNNNNNNNNNNNNNNNNNNNNNNNNNNNNNNNNNNNNNNNNNNNNNNNNNNNNNNNNNNNNNNNNNNNNNNNNNNNNNNNNNNNNNNNNNNNNNNNNNNNNNNNNNNNNNNNNNNNNNNNNNNNNNNNNNNNNNNNNNNNNNNNNNNNNNNNNNNNNNNNNNNNNNNNNNNNNNNNNNNNNNNNNNNNNNNNNNNNNNNNNNNNNNNNNNNNNNNNNNNNNNNNNNNNNNNNNNNNNNNNNNNNNNNNNNNNNNNNNNNNNNNNNNNNNNNNNNNNNNNNNNNNNNNNNNNNNNNNNNNNNNNNNNNNNNNNNNNNNNNNNNNNNNNNNNNNNNNNNNNNNNNNNNNNNNNNNNNNNNNNNNNNNNNNNNNNNNNNNNNNNNNNNNNNNNNNNNNNNNNNNNNNNNNNNNNNNNNNNNNNNNNCUUACUCUCAAACCGCAAACCCUUAAACAAUUCAUCUGAUUCAUUCCAUAAGCCAGUGCGUGCUAUUAAAUCCUUGUCAGCGAUGGAGUUAAUUACAUCCCAAUUCAAUUCUCUAAAUAUUGGGGAAGGGACAUCAUGUUCACCACCACCUAGCAAUGAUGCAUCAUUUUCUGUAUUUUCAUUAUCCUCCAUGUCCAUAAUAUCCUCAUUACCAUCAUCUUCAUCAAAUAACUCUACAUUGUCAUCAUCAUUUCCAGGUAAAAUAUCAACAUAAUUUCCAACUGUCAUUACAAUUGACUCAGUAACCCCUGCCAUAUCUACCCUAACUGUAGGUUCCAUAUCAUUAUCAUAACUUUGCAUAUACUUAGGGGAAGAUGUGUUAUUUUCUACCAUAUGUUGACUUGGACCUAGACUUUCAAUAUGCAAUGGGGUAGUAAAGCUACUAGGCACAGGGUGAUAAUCAAUGGAAGAAGUUUGACAAUACAUUUCAAUAGUAUUUGGAGGAGGAGAUUGUGCGACAACAGUGAACAUUAUCCUUACAUCACCAUCAUCUCGAAUAGGCAAAGGGACAUAAUUAACAGUACCAUUUCCAUUUGGAAAGGGAACUGGAUAUCGAAACACCAUAUUUAACUUGGUAUAAGUACGAUUAAUAUUCAGAGCAUGACACAAUUUUGUUUCUAACUCAUCAAAUGUUAUCAUACUAUUGAUUAAAACACCUUUAUCAGGAGGACGAUUAUAACUUACCCCAAAUUCACAACCAAUAAUUUCACCCCUGGUAUAGCACAACACCGUGGUGUAACCGUCCAUUAUAAAACCUAUUCAAAAGAUCAACAAAAAAUAUCAUCAUCAAUAAACUUUAUGAUAAUAAACAAUAUAUAUUUUGCAAAUCUAUUUUACUAAUAUUACGGUGCAUUGUCCAUUACAAUAUAUUUCUUUUCUUUUUAAAAAGGGAUAUUUAAAUGUAUUUAAUAUAACAUUUUAAAUGUCCAUUUACAUAUUUAAGAUAAGACCAACUCUCGGAUAAUGUUCUACUUAUAUUUCUUAUAUUUUUAUAUUUUUUUAAUUAAUAUUAUAUGCAAAAAAAUAAUUUAAUACUAACAACCAUUACUAAAUUUAUUUAUUUUCUUUUAUUAUAUAUUCUAACAUUUUACAAUUAUCUAUUUCUUUUCUUUUUUAAAAUAGAUAUGAAAUGUAUAUAAUAUUUGAAUAUUUAAAUAUAUAUAAUUUACUAUUUUAUAUUAUACACAAUUAUUUUAUACAUAUAUAUUAUAUUAAAAUAUCCAAUUAAAUAAAUCAAAUAAUAUUUUUAAUUUAAAUAUACUUUAAUUUAUUUUUAAUUUUUAGCUCUCAAUUUCUUACAAGAAUUUUUUCAAUAAUUUAAAACUAAUGUUAAUUUUUAUAAACUAUAGAAUACAAACUCAAAAUUUCGAAUAAUGUUAUACUUAUAUUUCUUAUAUUUUAAUAUAUAUACAUAUAUAUAAUGUAUGCAAAAAAAUAAUUUCAAAAUAAUUUCACACUAAUAAUAUUAUAUAUUAUAACAUUUUACAAUUAUAUAUUUCUUUUCUUUGUUAAAAUGGACAUUUAAAUGUAUAUAAUAUUUUAAUAUUUUAAUAUUUUAAUAUUUAAAUAUAUAUUAUAUACCUUUAAUACUCACUGUUACUAUGUUAUAUUAUAGAAAAUUACUCGUAUAUAUAUUAUACAUUAAAUAGCCAUUUAAAUAAAUCAAAUAAUAUUUUAGUUUUAUUUCUACUUUUAUUUAUUUUUAUUUUUUAGUUCUCAAUAUCUUACAAGAAUUAUUUCAAUAAUUUAAGACCAAUAUUAAUUUUUUUAUAAUAUAGAAGAUAAAUUCAUAAUUUCAGAUAAUGUUAUACUUAAAUUUCUUAUAUUUUAAUAUUUUUUAAAUAAUAUUAAAUGCAAAAAAAUAAUUUAACACUAACCACCAUUACUAAAUUUAUUUAUUUAUUUUAUUUUAUUAUAUAUUCUAACAUUGUACAAUUAUUAUAUGUUUCUUAUCUUUUCUUUUUUAAAAUGGAUAUUUAAAUGUAUUACACAAUAAAUAUGAAAUAAAGGAAAAAAUAUUACCUAUCAAUAAAAACAAACUGAUAUAAUAAUAAAAAGGCAUAAAUAUUACCUACCAAUAAAAACUGAUAUAAUAAUAAAAGCUAUAUAUCAUAAAAUAAAAUAAAGCAAAAAUAUUACCUUAGAAGAUAUGCUCAAAUUCUACCAAAGGUGAAAAACUGAGAAGUGAAAAUUUCAGUUUCAAGUGGGAAGAGUGGGAAAAUGUAAGUGAAGAAGUUUCAAGUGGGAAGAAUGGGAAAAUGUAAGUGAAGACGUUUGAAGGUGAAAAUGAGAAUGAAGAAGGUAAUUUAUAGUGUUUGAGAAGUUGUAAAAAGGUAUGAUGAGUGGUUAAAAUUUGAGUUUAAAAUGGAAUUGGUAGAGUGUAACGGUAUGAUACCAACGUUCUUCUUCGAAAUAGCUAGCCCGAAAUAGCAAACGGUCUAGUUAUGAUAGCAAACGGGUUACCUAUGAUAGCAAACAGUGUUGUUCAAAAUAGCAACGGUAUUGUUCAUAGCAAACGACUUACCUAUGAAGAGAUGAUUUCCUUUUUGGAUUUUUUUUUUUUAUAUAUAAUUUGGGAUUUUUUUUAAUGAAGAGACGAUUUCCCUUUUGGAAUAUUUUUUUUUUAUUUUUUAUUUAUAAUUUGGGAUUUUAAAAAACAAAUUUAAAAAUAUUAAUUUUUUUAAAGAGACUAUUUUCCCUUUGAAAUUUUUUUUUUUAAUAUUUGGGAUUUUUUAAAAAACAUAUAUUAAUUUUUUUUUAUUUUGGGAAUUUUUUUAAAUAUAUAUAUUCAUGGAAGUUCUGAGGAAAUUUCUUUUUUUUUUCUUUUUUUCUUUUUUUAAAUUUGGGAUUUUUUUUAAAUAAAAAAUAUAUUUUAAAAAAAAAUAUUUUUUUCCCCAUGGAACAUUUUUUUUUACAUGGAACUCGUCUCUUGAAGAGACGAGUUCCCUUUAGGAAUUUUUUUUUUUUUUUUUUAAUUUGGGAUUUUUUUUAAAUAAAAAAUAUAUUUUAAAAAAAAUAUUUUUUUUUCCCUUGGGAACUCGUCUCUUGAAGAGACGAGUUCCCAUUAGGGAAUUUUUUUUUUUUAAAUANNNNNNNNNNNNNNNNNNNNNNNNNNNNNNNNNNNNNNNNNNNNNNNNNNNNNNNNNNNNNNNNNNNNNNNNNNNNNNNNNNNNNNNNNNNNNNNNNNNNGAGUUCCCUUUGGAAUUGUGUUUUUUUUUUUUUUUCUUUUUAAUUUGGGAUUUUUGAAAAUAAAAAAUAUAAUUUUUAAAAAAAAUAUUUUUUUUUCCUAAAGGGAACUCGUCUCUGAAAUCUUCAAGAGACGAGUUCCCUUUAGGAAUUUUGAGGAUUUUUUUUUUUUUAAUAUAUAUUUAAAAAAAAAUAUUUUUUUCCCUUUGGAAUUGGGUUUUUUUUUUUUUUUAAUUUGGGAUUUUUUAAAAUAAAAAAAAAACGAGUUCCCUUUAGGAAUUUUUUUUUUUAAAUAUAUUUUUUUUACAUGGGAACUCGUCUCUUCAAGAGACGAGUUCCCUUUGGAAUUGUGUUUUUUUUUUUUUUUUUUUAAUUUGGGAUUUUUUAAAAUAAAAAAUAUAUUUUUUAAAAAAUAUUUUUUUUUUCCAAAGGGAACUCGUCUCUUGAAGAGACGAGUUCCCUUUAGGAAUUUUUUUUUUUUUUUUGGGAUUUUUUUAAAUAAAAAAUAUAUUUUAAAAAAAUAAUAUAUAUUUUUUCCCAUGGGAACUCGUCUCUUCAGACGAGUUCCCUUUAGUUCCAAAUUUUUUUUUUUUUAAAUUUGUGAAUUUUUUAAAAAUAUAUAUAUUUUUUUUAAUGGGAACUCGUCUCUUGAAGAGACGAGUUCCCUUGAAUAAUUGUCUUUGGGAAUUUUUUUAAAUAUAUAUAUAUAUAUAUUCAUGGAGGAACUCGUCUCUUCAAGAGACGAGUUCCCUUUUUUAAAAAAUUUUAUCCGUUCACCCUCUCUCCUCUCUCCUCUCUCCUAUGUGGCAAAAACUACCAUAUAUUUGUAAUAACUUCUUCUACUACAAUAAUUUAAGCAUAACUUUUUUAAAUUACUGUACUAUUGAGAAAAGUCCUAUAGGAUAAAAACCCCACAGAGGCAUUACAACUUUUCAGUCAGAAAUGUUUGAGGGUCAAUGACAUGGAUAUAUAUAUGACAAUGAAAAACAAUAUGGUACAAUAAUCCAAAAAAUAGAACAGGUAUCAAUUCUGAUCAUAUGUGAAUGGAUAAUGGAUAAUGUUUAAAUGUAGCUUGCCAUGGUUUCUACUGCUAAUCAGCAAAAUUUUCCUUGUCAGUUUCUUUUUCAACAUGUAGUUGGUUCUCCUUUCUCACUUCUUAAUUAUAUGCUAAAAUCAUUUUUCAGUUCUAUUCACUUUCUUAGCUCUAAGGGGCAUUAUGCCCACUUGGUAUAACGUUUAUUUCUCCUCUGAAACUUAUGCCAAAGUCAAGUAUAUACUGAGGUUGGUUUCUGCAGUAGUUAAUCAUAGGAUGAAACCCAAGUAGAUUUUAAUAGUAGUGAUAGAAACAUUAGUAGAUUGUAAUCUCACACUGGAAAACCAAAUAUAGGACUCCACGCAUGCCAUGGUUCCAAAGAAUCAAUAGCUUGAAAGACUGCAGUAAGAUGAACAGACUAAAGUGAUUACAUACUUAAGGAAUGGAGGUGACAAGAAACAAGUUCUUGCCAAGCUUAAUUACCCAGAAGGCAAGUUGUUGCUAAACAGUGCAUUGCUGAGGACUUGUAGGCCAGGGUUUGAAGUACUGAAGCUAGACCAGAGAAGUGCUGGUACCGGACCAGAAUUCACCUGGAAAUGCAGCAACCCUUUAGAGAAAACCAUAAUAUCCCCCUUUUUGAGUGUCUUCGUGUAGGCAAUAUUAUUCAAAGAAAUGAAACCAGCAUUGAUAGAGCCCUCAGGAAUAAGUAAUAUCUCUGAAGCACCAGAGUGACUAUGCAUUGGAAUCACACCACCACAGGAUAGGUCCAAUCGUGCCAUGGCAGACCAAGACCAUUUAGGCCUGGCAAUAGGUCAACAAAUGCUGUGUUGAACGCAGAUUUGACAAUGUCUGAGAAGUUUCCAGCCACAUUUAGGCCUGAAUACACAAAGUCAUCAACUACUACUUCUUCAGGCACCUUGCACUGGUAGCCUGCAGGGCCUUGUGUGGCUUUGAAGUCUGCCACACACAAGUCUUUGGCUGCUGCAAGAGAGGAGGACAAAAGGAAAGAAAAUAAGAGAAGAAUGUGAAGCAUUUUCACUGGUGAUUUUGGUAUCUGAUGGCUUCGGCUAUCAAUACUAGGCUUUGGUGCAAUUGAAGCACUUAGAUCCAGGCCCAUAUAUAUACAAUGAACAAAUGAAAACCACUUGUCAUUUCAGUUCUUGGUAACCCCCUUUUCACAUCAGACAACGAAAACAAUUUGUUUCAUAUCCCUUACUGAUCACAAGUUGGUGAGACUUCAACUUCAUAAUGGCCUGAUCCCCUUCUGAUUAUGUUCAUGGAUAAGGAUGACAACGAAAGCCUCGACUUCCUUCGAAGGAAGAUUUUUUUGGAAAGUUGAUUAUGUUAGAGUUAACAUCAUGACAUAGCAAUAGUAAAGAAGAUAAACCAUUUGGCAAAGUUGUAGGAACACAAAAGCAUUCUUUCAACAGAACUAACUCAUUGAUUUUCUUAUUAGGAAUUUAGGAGACUUGUAUUAGGUUUACAUGGCAUCAUUCCAAAUCUAACACACCAAUGUUGAAUGCUGAGAAACUACAAAUGUUUCACAUGGCUAUAGUACACUAGGGUAGAAUUGAAAGGAUAUAUCAGUGAGAAAAUUAUAGGACUUGUGGGGCAAGAGCACAUGGGGGGAGAGUGAGAAUGUAACAGAUAACAGUUUGACAGCAAGAGCUUCAAGGACAAUAGAAAUGCAACAUGUUCAAAUGCUGGUUCCCUUUGAAUGGGAACCAUGGAAAAAAUCAAGUGGCCUAUAGACAUUCCCUUCUCCCUUUGUAGUACAUGGGGCACUACUCAACAUAUUGUUUGGUCUCAGCAUAUUUAAAAAAAAAAAAAAAGGUUGUAGUUAUUUAGAAGGCUGAUCUAGUAUCUCACAGCCAUUAGUGCAAUUAAGGGUCUUAGGACAUCGAAUACAACACUCCUGAGACUGCAAAUUCACUUCCUUUGAUCACUCUUCUUCAUCUCUUGGAACAGAAUAGUUGAUAUGGAUUAGGCUAAUAUCAUGUGUUGAUUUUGUUCCAGCAGUGUCGACCGACACAAAGUUCCUUUCUGUACACAAAUCACAGGCAUAUUAAUCUAUUAUGCAUUAUGAACCUUGAAUCAGAAGUUUACAUAGUACUUGAUCUAGUUUGAAUCACAUGGAUUUGGCUGGUGAGUAACUUCAAAUUGAACAUUGGAUCCAACAGGGAAAAGACUCACUGAUGGGAUUACCUAUGUGUUUCUGGACAAUCAACAAUAUCAAGUAGGGCCAGAGAGCUCUUUGUCUACUUGUGAGUAUUGAAUGCUAUGAUCAACUAUGCUGGUUCAAUCCAAAUUUUCUCAUCCCAUCUCAAUUUUUCCAUUCUGAAACCAUGAUCAAUUUUCAAAUUCAAGGACAAGCUCUAAAGAUAAACAAAGAUCUGAAACUAAUACAUUCAACUAUGAAGUGUAUCCAGCAGGGGUUUUGGCUCUUGUGAUCAAUUCCCCAACCAAAGACUGCUAUAGAAUUUAUGCCUUCAAUUAGGAGGAUAACAAUUUGGUUGUAGAGGACAUGGCAUUGAAUUUUUCGACAGAUAACAAGUAACCAAUUCAUAUCACUCAAAUUUUCCCUAAAUUAUGCAGUAAUGUUAUUCAACUGAACCCGAAAAAAGAGACAAAUCAGAAGAAUUAGUCCUCCGUGUUAAGUUUCCAAGCACCAUCCCCCCUAAAGCCUAUCAGACAGUGAAGAGAAUGAGCUCCAAAAAUGAUUGUUUCAAGUAAAACUUCAGCCAGGGGAACAAUAAAUUUUCCCUUUUUUUACUUUCUAAGUGCAUCCAAAUACAAGAACAGAAAUCAUAUUCAUUCAGAUUAAAAAAAAAAAAAAAGGAACAAAACAAAAUAUUCAUUUCCACGUACCAAACAUAGCCUUGCGCUAAUCGUGAAGGUCUUAAGCUAGUCAGGGAAUGUUACCCUUUGGUUUUGAGCUUUAAGUUACUUAUAUUCUUGCAUGAAUUUAAGAUAAUCAGGAGAUUGAAGUAAGAAGCCUCUGAAGUAAGGAAUGGUGCCCAAAACGCCAUCAGUAGCUUGGAUCUGGAGAUUUGCAAGGUAUAUCUCCUUGGCUGUAGCAGAGGGUACCCGGUACAGAAACAGUUGCCACCCAAUCUGCUGACAAGUAUUACAACCAAACAAGGAUUCUUAUCCAGGGUUUAACUGUGUGCAUUCGUCGGAUGCCAAAGUUGACGAGGACAAUUUGUAGGAAGAGACUAAGUAGAAUUGUUGCACGACCUCCCAUUCAUUCCGAAGCUUGAGCACACUUACUGGGAAAAUCUGCAUUACUCGCCUCUUCUCCAAGAAAAUCAAACCGCUGGCAACUAAACAUUCAAAAAUACUGGAGCCAAAAAUGAAGACCAAAAGAUGACAUCUGGGAAAAGAAUAUAAUAUAUAAUAAAAACAUAAAAACACUAGCUAGUUACUUGGAUGACUAUGAACUUACAUGGCAUUCCAAUCUUAAUGUCUAAUAAUUGUGACUCUCUGUGCCCAUUUAUAAGGGAAAAGUAGAGAGAAUGAGAAAUCAACAUCCAGUUAAGAAAGAAAUGAAGUGUUACUUUGAAUCUUUUAAAGAAUAGUACUUGGGUCAAAUCGGCAUACAAGGCAUCACCAGCACUCUACAUAAUAAAGCAGAGGCAUAACACUUUGCCUUCAAUUUAUUCUCAAUUUUGGCUUGUGAAGAAUCAUUGGAUAACUUGUGUGUACAGAAGGCAUAUUUAUAAGGGAAAAGCAGAGAGACUGAUCGAGAAACCGACAUCCCAGAAAGACAAGAUCAUGAAGUGUUGCACUGAAUCUUUUAAAGAAUAGAGUUCUCCAGGACUCUGAGCAUGGGAAAGAGUGAGGCCUUGGUCAUUUAUAUAGCUUACAGUAAAGGCCUCACCAGCAAGCCUCAUAACUGGCAGAAGUGCAGAAACACACAGAUAGAAGUUUUGCUUUUCAUUUUAUUCAGGAUGUUCCUUUCUGCAUGCAUGCAGGCAGAGGAUUCAUGUGACUAAUUGAAUGUAUUUCUUUUCUAGUUAAAAGUACUGUUCUCUUUAACCAACAUCAGAGGAGACAGACAGGACUUGAUAAUACAAUGAAGAGUUGGGUAUUCUAAAAUUUGAUGAAUUAAUACUUGAAUUUAAAGACAUGUUGUAGUAUGUGGCUCAUAUUGAGUGAAAGACAUAUAUGGAGAAAAAGGGGCAAAUACCAUAGUGGAGCGGAGUGGAAUGAGGGAAGCAUAGCACACCAAGUGGAACGACACAUUUGUCAUUCAAGCUUGUAUUUUUAUUAUCAAGGACAAACGAUAGGUUGGGGGUGCGGGGGUAACACCCCCUCAUGGUACAGUUCAAGGGCAUUUUUGGAAUUUUUCAAUACAUGACAGUUAGUACAAAUACCCUUUCUUAUAACCCUAGUUUUUGGUUUAGUAAAAGUCUUCAACCCUACUUCCGUGGACAUAGGUUUUCUACCAAACCAAGUUAAACCUGUGUGUUUUAUUUUUUUUCUUUGUGUUCUCUAAUUUCUUCAUUAGGAACUGCUGCAGGGAUAACAACACAUGUUAAGAACGGUAAAAGAGAUCUGGAGCGAUAUAUAUCUUAAGAAUUGUGUUAUUCAUACUACUAAGAUUUUGAUGUCAAAAUCAUCUGAUAGUAUCAUCUUCUCUACAAAUGAUUCACCUCAAUACAGAAUACUAGAGCAUACAGCAAAAUUCUAGAGCACAAUCAUAUACCAUCACAUUGAGCAUCUACCCUUGUAUAGGAUAUAAAUUAGCCCCCACAGAGGCAUUACAACUUUUCAGUUAGAAAUGUUCGGGGGUCAAUGAUAUGGAUUUAUGACAAUGAAAUACAGUAUGGUACAAUCAUCCAAAAAAUAGAACAGGUACCAAUUCUGAUAAUAUGUGAAUGGAUGAUGGAUAAUGUUUAAAUGUAGCUUGCCAUGGUUUCUACUGCUAAUCAGCAAAAUUUUCCUUGUCGGUUUCCUUUUCAACAUGUAGUUGGUUCUCCUGUCUCCCUUCCUAAUUAUUUGCUAAAUCAUUUUUCAGUCCUAUUCACUUUCCUAGAUAUAAGGGACAUUAUGCCGAUUUGGUAUAACAUUUAUUUCUCCUCUGAAACUUAUGCCACGAUCAAGUAUAUACUGAGGUUGGUUUCUGCUGUAGUUGAUCAUAGGAUGAAACCCAAGUAGAUUUUAAUGGUGGUGAUCGAAACAUUAGUACAUGGUAAUCUCACACUGGAAAACCAAAUAUAGAACUCCGCACAUGCCAUUGAUCCAAAGAAUCAAUAGCUUGAAAGACUGUAGUAAGAUGAACAGACAAAAGUGACUACAUACUUAAGGAAAGGAGGUGGCAAGAAACAAGUUUUUGCCAAGCUUAAUUAAUUACCCAGAACCACCAAAAAGAACUUUGAGUUUCUCAACUUCAAGUUCAUCAAGAAAGGUGACCUUCUCUAUCAAUUCAGAAGCCAAGUUGUUGCUAAACAGUGCAUUGCUGAGGACUUGUUGGCCGGGGUUUGAGCUACUGAAGCUAGACCAGAGAAGUGCUGGUACUGGACCAGAUUUCACCUGGAAAUGCAGCAAACCUUUAGGGAAAACCAUAAUAUCUCCCUUUUUGAGUGUCUUCAUGUAGGCAAUAUUAUUCGAAGAAAUGAAACCAGCAAUAAUAGAGCCCUGGGUAACAAGUAGCACCUCUGAACCGCCAGGGUGACUGUGCAUUGGAAUCACCCCGCCAAGGGAUAGGUCCAAUCGUGCCAUUGAAAGACCAAGACCAUUUAGGCCUGGCAAUUGGUCAACAAACACUGCGUUGAUCGCAGAUUUGGGGAUGUCUGAGAAGUUUCCAGCCACAUUUAGGCCUGAAUACACAAGGUCAUCUACUACUACUUCUUCAGGCACCUUGCACUGGUAGCCUGCUAGGCCUUGUGUGGCUUUGAAGUCUGCCACACAGAAGUCUUUGGCUGCUGCAGGAGAGGUGGACAAAAGGAAAGAAAAUAAGAGAAGAAUGUGAAGCAUUUUCACUGGUGAUUUUGGUAUUCUUUGGUGCAAUUGAAGUACUUAGAUCCAUGCCCUUAUAUAUGCAAGGAAUAAAGGAAAACCACUUGUCAUUUCAGUCCUUGGUGACCCCCCUUUUCGAAUCAGACAAAGAAAAUGUACGUUUGUAUCCCCUACUGAUCACAAGUUGUUGGUAGCAGGGCAGGUUAACACACCAAGCAACAGAGAAUAGAGUUGUGCUGCUACUGCUCUAAUUUUUUUUAUUGGAUCAUAAGGUAGGAUUUAUACAUGAUAUUGUAACAUAUAUGACCUCAAAAAAAGCAGCAAACCAAGCUACUUGUUGAACAAACAACUACCUCCUACAAAAUAGCAUCAGAAUUUGCACCAGCAAAACAGAAACAUAAAAAUAGCAUCAGCACUCUAGUAAUCUCGUUGACUUCAACUGCAUGUGGUUGAUGAUUGCAACCUUUCUUUCAGUAGAUGCUAAGGCAUAAGUCUCAACACUCCUCCUUGACUUAGGAGUUGCAAACUCCAAGUCUUUCUCGUAGAAACUCAAAUCUUAUUCUAGGAAGAGCUUUAGUCAGAAUAUUUGCAUUCUGACUUUUUGUAUUGCAGUAGACUAGCUGUAUAUCUCCUUCUUUCUAUACUUCCCUCAGAAAAUAUAAUUUAAUCUUGAAGUGCUUUGUUUUACCAUGAAAAACUGGAUCAUUUGCAAUGGAUAUAGUGGCUUGGUUGUCUUCAAACACCUGUGUACUCACUUCUUGCUUUAUAUCCAAAUCUGUCAACAACUUUCUAAGCCAUAAGGUUUGAUUUACAACUACAACAGCAGCAAUAUACUCUGCCUUAGUUGUGGAUUGAGCCAUGACUUCUUGCUUCUUUGAACUCCAUGAAAAAACACCAAAACCAAAGUUAAAACAAUAGCUUGAAGUACUUCUCAUAUCGUCAACACAACCAGCCCAAUCACUAUCAGAAAAUCCAUGAAAAUUGAAACUUUGAACUUGACUGAACUUAAUGUCAUAAUCCAUAGUGCCUUUAACAUAUCUUAUCACACUCUUUGUUGCCUAGAAAUGAAUUUCACUAGCACAAUGCAUGUAUCUCGAAAGUAGACUUACAGCAUGCAUUAUAUCUGGUCUUGUUUCAGUCAAGGCCCUUUCUCAUGCAGAAGACAUCUUGUCAUCUCCAUUAUUGUUUUAUUUUUUCUUUCCAUUACCACAUUUUGUUGUGGGGUGUAUGGUGCAGUGAGCUGGUGAUCUAUGCCUGCAUCUUCACAAAAUUUGUUGAAUUUUUUUUAUGUAUAUUAUGUACCAUUAUCUGUCCUUAUAAACUUGAUCCUGUAUUCACUUUUAUUUUCAACCAUGGCCUUAUAUCUCCAAAACACAUCAGCAACCUCAGAUUUGUAAGUGAGGAAAUAAAUCCAACAAAAUCUUGUGAAGUCAUCAAUAAAUGCAAUAUAGUACUUACUCCCUUUCAAGGAUGGUGUCUUCUAAGGUCCACCAACAUCUGUGUGAACCAAUUGUAGUUUCUGUGUUGAUUUCCACGCUACUUUCUUUGGAAAAGGAAGUCUUGUUUGCUUCCCAUAUUGACAAGCUACACAUAUAGAAAGUUCUUCUUCUAAAUCAGGGAAUCCUUCUACAAUCUGAUUCUUCUUCAUGUAGAGCACGACAUUGUGAUGGAAAUGCCCUAAUCUUUUAUGCCAAAGCAUUGUAUUGUUCUCAUGUUGUGUAGCAGCUACUUGCUCAUCUUCUGACAUAUUCAAGGCAAAACUUUUGCCUUUCAUUUUUAUGUUAAACUCCUUUCUGCCUUCAACAUCCUUGAUUAUGCAAUUUAUGUCUUCAAACAAACUUUAAAACCUUUCUCAACAAGUUGUCCAACACUUAACAAAUUUUGGUCAAUGUCAGGCAUAAACAAAACAUCAUAAAUGAGUUUUAAACCUGUUAGGCUUUCAAUAGCUACUGUUCAUUUACCUUUUACUGGAAUAUAGGACAACCAUUUCCAAUUCUGACUUUGGAAAUAGUUGUCCUAUCAAUCUCCUUGAAAAGAUCUUGAUCAUAUGUCAUGUGGUUUGUACAACUACUGUCCAUGAGGCAGCUUUCAAAGGUGCUUCCGUUUGCAAAACAUGUUGCUGCAAACAGUUGCUCCUCCUAGUAUUGUUCAGUUGUUGCAUUGGUUUCUUCCUACUGCUGCUGAGUUCUAUAGAUCCUUUCUAUGUGUCCCUAUCUACCACAUUUGUUGCAUUUCACAUCUGGUCUCCACCAACAUUUUUGUUGAGGAUGAUUUGUUUUCUUGCAAUGAGGACAAGGUGGAUAGGUUCCAGUUUUUUCAUUGUUGUUGUUGUUUGGCUUAUUGUUGUUCUUUUUGGUCUUCCUCCUUCUUGUGUUGCCUUCAUUGGUUUGUGUCUUUGCUUGAAAAGCUCCUUCUACAGAACUUCCCUGCCUCAUGAGUCUUCUUUGUUCCAAAGCCUAUAAAGCAUUUAGUAGUUCUGCCAAGGUGAUACUUGACAAAUCCUUUGAAUUUUCCAAAGAAGAAAUUGUAGCUUCAUAUUUUUCAAGAAGUGUGACAAAAAAAUUUUGAACAACUCUUUCAUCAGAAAACUCUUUACCUAGCAACCUCACCUUGUUUUCUAUUGUAAGAAGUUGUUCUACAUAGUCUUUUAUGGUUUGAGACUCCUUCAUCUUCACCAUUUCAAAUUCUCGAAUCGAAUUCAUCACCUGCAUAUUUCUGACUCUUUCAUUGCCUUGAUAUUCUUCCUAGAGAUGCUCCCAGAUUUCUGCGGCAGAUUCAAGUUGCAUGAUUCUGGUGAGAAUCAAUGGUGAGACUUAGAAAAUAAGCAAGCCUUGGCUUUAGCCUUCCUCGUCUUUUUCUCUUUAUGAUUUUUCAUCUGUGCCACAGUUUGGCUCCAAGUGGAGGAAUUUCAUAAUCUUCCUCUAUUGCUUCCCAGACAUCAAGAGCCUGUAGAUGAAUAGCCAUCCUGAGAGCCCAAGUUUGGUCAUUUUCUCCAUUGAAGACUGGUGGUGCAGUUGUGAAGCUUACUUUUUCCAUUUCUGCAAGGUUUUCAUAUUCAGGUCUGGUAUAUGGUGUUUAGUCUCACUCACCUCAGUGGUCCCUAAAGACAAAAAAAAACUAUGAUACCACAUUAUUGGUAGCAGGGCAAGUUAACACACCAAGCAACAGAGAACAGAGUUGUGCUGUUACUGCUCUAAUUUUUUUAUUGGAUCAUAAGGUAGGAUUUAUACACGAUAUUGUAAUAGAUAUGACCUCAAAAAAGCAGCAAACCAAGCUACUUGUUGAACAAACAACUACCUCCUACAAAAUAGCAUCAGAAUUUGACUUGAAAACAAAAAAAAACAAAAAAAUAGCACCAACAAAACAAAAACAUAAAAAUAACAUCAGCACUCUAACUUCAACUGCAUGUGGUUGAUGAUUGCAGCCUUUCUUUCAGCAGAUACUAAGGCAUAACUCUCAACACAAGUUGUUGAGACUUCAACAUCAAAAUGGCCUGAUAAUAUUCAUGGAUAAAGAUGACAAUGAAAGCUUCGACUUCUUUCCAGAGAAGAUUUUUUUGGAAAGUUGAUCAUGUUAGAGUGAACAUCAAGACCAAGUCAUGACAUAGCAAUGGUGAAGAAGAUAGACCAUUUGGCCAAGUUGUGGGAACACAAAAGCAUUCUAUCAACAGUACUAACUCAUUAAUUUUCAUGGAGAAUUGUAUCAGUUUUACAUGGCAUUAUUCCAACUCUAUCAAAUCAUUGUGGAAUGUUGAGUACUUGGUGGAGGUCAAAAUCAGGUUCAUCACCUCGAUGAUUUGAGGAAACACAAAUGUUUCACGUGGCAAAUUACAUUAGGGUAGAUUUGAAAGGAUAUAUAUAUAUAUAUAUAUCAGUGAGAAAUAGGACUUGUGGGGCAAGAGCACAUGGGGGAGAGUGUGAAGUCUAUCAGAUGACAGUCUGACAGCAAGAGCCUCAAGGAAAAUAGAAAUCAACAUAUUCAAAUGCUGGUGCCCUUUGAAUGGGAACCAUGGAAAAAAUCAAGUGGGCUACAGACAUUCCCUUCUCCCUAAGGGUUUUUCAGUAUAUGGGGCACUAAUCAACAUAUUGUUUGAUCUAGGCAUAUUUAGGGAAAGAAAAAAAAUGUAGUCUAUUUAGAAGGCUGAUCUAGUGUCUCACAGUAAUUAGGCCAAUUAAGGGUCUUAGGACAUUAAAUACCACACUUCAAAGACUACAAAUCCGCUUCCUUUGAUCACUCUUUUUCAUCUCUUGAAACAGAAUCGUUGAUAUGGGUUAGGCUAAUAUCAUGUGUUGAUUUUGUUUCAGCAGUGUCACCGACACACAGCUCCUUUCUGUACACACAAAUCAUAGGCAUUUUAAUCUGCUAUGUAUGAGCCUUCAAUCAAAAGUUUACACGGUACCCGGUCUAGUUUGAAUCACAUGGCUUUGGCUGGUAACUUCAGAUUGAAUAUUUAAUGCAACAGGAAAAAGACUCACUGAUGGGAUUAACCAAGUGUUUCUAGAUAAUAUUAACAAUAUCAAGUAGGGCCAGAGAGCUCUUGGUCUGCUUGUGACUACUGAUUAGCAGAGCAAAUACUUUAGUAAUGAUCAACUAUACUGGUUCGAUCCAUAUUUUCUCGUCCCAUCUCUAUUUUUUCAUUCCGAAACCAUGAUCAAUAUUCAAAAUCAAGGACAAGCUCUAAAGAUAUACGAAGAUCUGAAACUAAUACAUUCAAAUGUUAAGUGUAUCCAGCAGGGGUUUCGGCUCUUGUGAUCAAUUCCCCAACGAAAGACUGCUAUAAAAUUUAUGCCUUCAGUUAGGAACAUAACAAUGUGGUUGAAGAGGACAUGGCAUUGAAUUUUUCGACAGAUAACAAGUUACCAAUUCAUAUCACUCAAAUUUUCCCUAAAUUACGCAGUAAUGUCAAUUCAACUGAACCCGAAAAAAGAGAAGAAUUAGUCCUCCAUGUUAAGUAAUUUCCAAGCACCCCCCCCCCCCAAAGCCUAUCAGACAGUGAAAUUCUGAGCUCCAAAAAUGAUUGUUUCAAGCAAAACUUCAGACAGGGGAACGAUAAAUUUUCCCUUUUUUCACUUGCUAGUUCUACAGAUAGAAUGGAAUUAAUAACUGGGAAGAGGAAUUAUUCAGAGUUGGUGGGCUGGUAGGCUCCAUUUACCAGGGACCUUUAUUGCUACUAGUACUUUAGUCGAAAAGGGCAUUGAAGGCUGCAGCUCUCCCUCCUUAGAAGUUACUCGACUCAAACUUAUCAUUUAAUUAUGUAUAUAUACUUUUUUGGUAUUUAUUGAAAGGACUUCGCCGAUCAGGUACUAUCACCUAUAUAUUUUCAACUCUCAUUAUUUGUACCUUACUCUCAGUUGUUUGUAUAUUCAUUUGACGGUCAAGAUCUCACCACACAUCUUCAAUGGUUUUGAUUUCUUGUUCAAUAGGUACCACUAUAAUACCUUAGCAUUUUUCGUAAAAGAUAUGCCAAGUAUCAGAAUUUAAGUAAACUAGGGGCAGGCCUGUUGGCAAUGCAUGCUUCUGAAGGAGUAUUUAUCAGCACUGUCAUGGUAUAAUGGUGAAGGCAGUUGAAGGGGCAGAGUGAAGUAUGUGUCCUUGUGUUCUAAGGUUGGACCACAUUAUGAAGCUUUAGUGAAGGAUUGUGCUGCCAAAACUCAGGAAUUUGUGAGGGGAGAACCAUGGGCUGAAUUGAAUACUGUGGUUGGUAUGACCAUUAAGCUUUCAAACCCUACCCAAUAAAGGCUUGGGACAUGAUUUGGUAACAAAAUUGUCUGUUCUCACCAGUGAUUUUCAGCAAUUAUUUUCAAUGUAUUGACAAAAUGGAGUGGGAUUGUUUGGGGAAGUUUAUAACAAUAAAUUAUCAUAUCAUAGAAAAGGCUAAUUUAUAUAUAAUAUGAUAAUCCUAAAGACUCCAAGACAAGCCUAUAAAUCGCCCCUUACAAAUGUCUGCAACUUCUUCUCUAAGUAAUAUGAUAUAUCACAAAGAACUCAAAUGGAUUAACAAUUAUAGAAGUCAAAACCUCUUUCUUAAACCUAACAAGAGUAUGAAUUUCUAUUCAGAUAUUUUUUUUAGUAUUUCUCACUUAAAAGACAAAUCUAAAUAUCGGCCUUUUUUUAAUUUAAAACAAAGACAAAUCUAAAUUAAAGUAUCUAAGUUCAGAAGUAAAGGGAAAAAAAAAAACCACUUCAUUCGAGAAAAUCAAUAUUGUUCUAAUUAUGAAGAUGACAAUAAAUAUAUACUUCAUAGUAAUUUGAAUUAAGGUUGCAGUUUGGAUGAGUUGACGGUAUUAGAAGGCUACUCUAUACCAGACUCACCAAUCAAUAUGUCCAACUCUUAUCAAACCUAUGAGAAACUUUGAUUUUUACAAGUUUUGAUGGGUUUUCACAAUUUAUCUAACAAAAAAGAAAACUUAUAGUUUUCUAAUAAAUAAAAUAGUUAUUUUAAAAAAAAUUAAAAAAUAAAUGUCUCCUAAUCAUAAAAUAUAUUUAUAAUUACUAAUUUAACAAACAAUAAAUUUAAACCCUAGUUUCAAUAUUUAAAAAUAUUAUUAUAACUAAACAAGAAUACUAAAUUUAUUAGUCUAAUAUCACUAAAAAUGGUAAAGCUUACCGUUACUUCAUUUAUUCUUUUUCUCAUCCUGAUAAUAAAAUAACAACCAUGUAAUAACAUGGCGGUCAGAAUUUCGACCCAUGUCAAUCCUAAUAUCUUCGAUUUGAUAUUUUUCUAACCCAAACCCGAACCCACCCCUUUCAUAUCUUGUCUAGUUUAGAUUCAUCAGAUGCCAAACCCAUCCAAACUGGACCCUAUUCCACCAAUUCUCUCAAGAGUUAUAAUACAAUACAAUACAAUCCAAGUAUGUGACACACACUGACUCACCAAGUCUGGGGUUUUCUCAGUCAAAAACAUCCCAUCCUCCCAGGUGAACUGUGAGCUGCACUAACUCUGCAAAGGAAUGGCUUCUUAAGGAAAGAUGACUAUGACCAAUAUAGGAAAAGGGAGAUGAGUGUUUGAUGGCCAAAAAAAAAUGCAUUUGAUAAUGAAUGAAGGGAAGGGAAGCGAAGUGAAGUUAAUUGAGUUUGAGUUUGAGUAGAGUUGAGUUGUUGGUUGAGGUACAAUAAAGGUGAAAGGGCAUGUGUUUUGGGCCAGAGCAACAGUGGAACAGAGCGAGUGAACAGUCCUCAGAGUGCGCUUCUCCUCCUGUCCUGCCCACUUGAACCAAAGAAAAAGAAAGAAAAAAAAAAUGGGAGUUUUUAAUUGCUAACAAACAAAACCAAACCUCCCUCUGACCUAUAGUCUCUCCCUUGCUCUGUCCUCUCUCCUCACAUCAUCACUGACCCCUCUUACUCAAAUGCCCUUUUCCUCCAAAACCCAAUAAUACUACCACUUCCUCCUUUUUCUCCCCACCAUCAAUCAUCAAAGAUUCUACUCUAUCCCUAUAUCCCUCUGCAUCUGCCUAACUCCUCAACAAAAAAAAACACAAAAAAAAAAAAUAUAUAUAUAUAUAUAUAUAUAUAUUCUUGCUAAGUUUUUUUUUUAAGUAUAUGCACCUUUUCAUGAUUCUAUUGACUAUUGUGAGAGGAGAUUAUGUUUUUAGUAUCUUUGUCACAUUUUUCAUAGCCUUAAUCAUAUUCUUUUUUUCAAAAUGGUUUUCAAUAUCCAGGAAUUGUUAUCAUGUUCGAGCUUUGGGAUGAGCCAUUUGUGGGUUAUACUUUGGUGAGCUUACUGAUAAAAAUGGCAAAUGAAAGCAAUAUAUUUUGACUGAAAACACUUUAAAAUUUUCCAGAGUUGGAGAGGGGGUAGAUGUGAAAAAAGGGGCUGAAGGGGGGAAAUGAAAAGUAAAAGAGGAAGUGGAGAGAACCGUACUAUGAAGGCAGGGUCUCAGCUAUGAGGCCUACACAUAAAUACACACUGUCUAUUACUCCAAGUUUCAAAGACCUAAAACACAGAAGAGAAGGGAUUGCUAUAUCCACUAUGUAUUUUGCAUGUCAAGUGAGCCUUUUCUGAGGGUUUAUGAGGUGUGGAGAGCACUAUUCAAGGAUGCAAAAUAAGGAAGGUGAUAUUAAAGAAGUGUUUUUUUCUCUCUCUCUCUCUCCUUCCUGUCACUAUACAUUUGUUUAUGGAUUUCUGUAAAGGUGGCAGAGACAAGAGCAGCAACAAAGGCAUCAGAGCAGAGGCAGAAGAAGCAGAAGCAACAGAGGUGCAGUCAUUAUAAGAGCAGAGUAAGGAGAGAUAGGGGGAGAGAGAGAGAGGAAGCAGUAGUAUCAUCAGUAUCAUCAGAGCCAUUAGUUUUAUCCAUGCACAGAAGAUUCUGCAACCAAUGGACCCUGAAAAAAUACCCCUCAAAACUCUCAGCCCAACAACAGCAACAACCCCUCUUUCUCUGUGUCUCUGAGAUCUUUUAAGCUGUUCUUCCUUCUUGUUCUUCAUCUUGGGUCUUUUUUGUUUGGGGGGUUGUUUUUCCUAUUGGGUUUUCUUUUUUCUUAAAUGAUGAUGAGUGCAAGAAACAGGUCUCCUUUCACAGCAUCACAGUGGCAAGAGCUUGAACAUCAAGCUCUUAUCUUCAAAUAUAUAGUGUCAGGAGUACCAAUCCCAGCUGAUCUCAUCUGCACUGUCAAAAGAAGCUUGGACUCUUCAUUGUCUUCAAGGCUAUUUCCUCACCAACCCAGUAAGCAUGCAAGGACAUUUUCAUUUUCAUGGUUUUUUAGUGUUUUUUUCUCUUGGUGGGUACUUUUAGAAACUGAUGUUUUUGGUGAAAAAUGGUCUGGGAACUCUGGGUUUUGUGUCUGUGUUUGCAGUUGGGUGGGGUUGUUUUCAGAUGGGGUUUGGCAGGAAAGCAGACCCAGAGCCAGGAAGGUGCAGAAGAACUGAUGGCAAGAAAUGGAGGUGCUCCAAAGAAGCAUACCCAGAUUCAAAAUACUGUGAGAGACACAUGCACAGAGGCAAAAACCGUUCAAGAAAGCCUGUGGAAGUUAUUUCAGCUACAAACCCUUCACCAACCAUCUCAUCAAUCAACUCAAAUCCUUCCUCCACCACCACCAAUUCUUACUCUCUCUCUCCUCUCUCUCCUCUCUCUUCUUCAAUGACUUCUGAAACCUCCCAUCCCCAUCACCAUUCCUACCACAACACCUCUCUUUAUCCCUUCCUCUACCCUCAUCCCUCCUCUUCUAGACCUCCUGGUUCUUGCCUAUCACCUCAGGCCACCAGCAGUUACAGCACCCAUCAUCUGUUUUUGGACUCUGGGUCUUAUUCCCAGGCUGAUAGGGAUUACAGGUACAAAAACAAUAUCUAACUGUUGGCUUAUUUUUAUCAAUAUGUUUACUUUAACAAAUGUUAUGAUUUUUGUUUGUAAUAGGCAUCAUCAUGGAAUGAGGGAGGGUGUGGAUGAGAGAGCUUUCUUCCCAGAAGCUUCAGGGACUGUAAGGGGCCUACAUGAUUCAUAUACUCCAUUAACAAUGAGUUCCUCCAAGGGAUACUCUCACUUUCAGUAUCAAAGCCCCGCUGAUAAUCCCAAACAGCAGCAAGAACAGCAAGAGCAGCAGCACUGCUUUGUCUUGGGCACUGAUUUCAAAUCGUCAAGGCCAAUUAAAGUAGAGAGAGAUGGUGAAGCCCAGAAGCCUCUCCACCAUUUCUUUGGAGAGUGGCCUCUAAAGAACAGAGACUCCUGGCUUGACCUUGAGGAGGAUCCACCAACCCAUGCAUCAUUCUCCACCACCCAGCUCUCAAUUUCAAUCCCAAUGUCCUCACACAAGCUUCUUGCAUCGGAUUCCAGAAUCCAAACUGGUACUUAGACUUCACUUCAGAUUUGGCCUUCUUGCCCUUUAUUUUCCCUUUUCUGCUAAGUCUCAUCUUCUACUUCAUUUUUCCCCCUUGUGCAGAUGGAUGAGUUCUCAAUACUGGUUCUUCUGAUCAUGGCCAAAAAAGUACUUGACUGGUGGGUCAAUGCUUUUCUUGUUGAUUUUGUGACUGAAGGAAGUUUCUUUUGCCAAAUGUGCGGAUGAAUAAUGUAGGGCCUAUAGGAGGAUUCUUGUCUUUGUGCUUUCUGAGUUGCUAAUUUUCAUUCUUAUCCUUAAAGAAACAUGUUUGAAUUUGUAGACUUGUUUGUUUGACAGGAAGCAUCUUGAUAUGGUUUUUGAGUUUGAGUUUGAGUUGUUCUCUAAUCUCUAUGUUGUUUUGUGAGUUGUGGCCACCUUUUCUUUUCCCUUUGGCUUCUGCUUAUUGUACUUCAGAAAGAGGGACCCAACAAGCUAUAGUCAUGCUCUUUUGUCACCAUCAAUGUUAUUUCCCCAGAUUAUGCUGCAAAAGGGGAUGAACCCCUUUUUUGUGUUUGGCAAACAAGACCUGCAUUCUCUUCUCUUUCUGAGCUUCCCCCUCUGCUGGUCAGUGUUGCUUCUUUGGACUGGUUUCUAUUAAUGCUAUUGAAAAUUGAAGACUCUGUUUGGGUGUAAACUUUGCAUGGGCACUUCAUAAUUACACCUUCAUAUACUGAAAAAAAAAAAAAAAAACCCAUAGUUCCCACACUGCCUAAAAAACAUUCCUAUCAUCAAAUUCAUCAUUUAUAGGCAGAUGCAACAAACCAUCUGUGCCACCACAAAUGCCCUCUUUAUAUUUGAGUAUGUCCUUAUUUGCCCUAACUGACUACUACUCCUAGGCUCUCCAUCUUGUGUCCUAGAUGAUGUUUUUUUCCUUUCAUUGGAAUCAUUCUUGUGUGAUUUCAAGACAAUUAGUGGCAUUUUCCAUUAAAUCUUAUCUCAAAGUUCUCCCAAUUUCAAAAGCAUCAUCCUACCAUCCUCAAGUGAAAUAAGGAUAAUUCUAUCUCAAAGUUCAACUAAAUUACUCAUUGAAUUCAUUAAUCUUGACGAACCUUCACUCCCCAUGAAUCCCGGGAUGAUUUUCAAUUUUCAAUUUACCACAUUUUGUUGUUAGGGUGUAACAAUGUCACUCUUAAAAUCGAGAAAAGAUUAUCCAAAAAGGAUGAUUCUUAAAAUGAUAUCAAAUAUCAUAAAAAGAUAAACUACACUUUUCUAAUUUUUAGAUGAAAUGUUCAAAACCUAGAUCAAGGCUUAUUAUUACCCACUAGUCAAUCUCACCAAUCUCAAUUCACCCAUGAUCACCAUUUCAGGUGCAGACCCUCCAUUCUUAGGGGGGUAAUGAAUUCAAAAUAAAACAAAAGUUAAGACUGAAAAUGGCAUAGUGAUAGUACAAGUCUCUUCGGCUUUUCUUUUUCUCCUCCACAGCAAAGACACUGGGUGUAGCUUAGGACAAGAUAAAAGCUCAUGUUUCAGUGCUCUUAAAAUGAGAGACCUACGGCCACAAAGCUGUCAAACACAUAGCUGGAAAAACCUACCUCUCUCUCCUCACACUACCCCCUCCCCCCUAGUUGCCUUUCUCAAGUUUGAUCCACUAAUAAUUGUUGCAGCUACCCUUUCUACCUCACCCACUCAAAGAUGCUACUUGCUAAGUGCAAGUCUUGCCCCCCCACAUCACUCUUUGCAUCCUUGACAGCUCAAAGCAUGCUUUAAAGUAGAAUAGAUUUGAACCCAAAAAGCUCUUUGAUUUGAGGUCGAAUGUCUUUCCAAGGACCUUGACCUACACACGCAUGCAUGCCCACAUACAAUACACUGAAGGCAACAUGUGCUGGUCGAAUCAAAUAGACAAAUGUUUAUCCAAAGUUAGGCUAUAACUGUCAUAUCACACAGCCAAAUAAGGAAAAAGUUCUUAAAACUAUAUAUAUAUGCAUAGGUCUAUUUUAACUAUUAACGCGUUUUAAAAUCUGUAAAGCUUUUCGAAUCCAUUUGAUUGGAAGUAGAUUGUUACAAAUGGUAUUAAAGUUAUUAAAGUUGAUUAUAAUCUCAAUUUGAUAACGAAACAACUUUUAAAGAUGAAGACUUUCGAUCCCAAAGUGGGAGAGCCCAUGAGCCAAAAAGCCUUCUACUUCACUCACUCAAAGAUGUUACUUCCCCCCACCCACCCAAUAACGUUGUUUGCAUUCGUGACACCUCAAAAUAUGCUCUAAAGGAUAAUAGAUUUAACCUACGCAAACAUGCCCACACGCAAUACAAUGAAAGCAACAUUUGGUAGUCAAAUCAAAUAAACAAAUGUUUAUUAGAGGUUAGAUUAUGAUUGUCAUAUCAUACAUCGAGAAAAAAAAGUUCUUAAAAUUAUAUUUGUAUAGGUUUAUUUUAACUAUAAACACAUUUUAAAAACUUUAAGGCUCUUCAAAUCUAUUUAGUUGAGAGCAAAUUAUUAUAAAUGAUAUUAGAAUCAUUAAAUUCAAUUAUAAUAUCUCUAUUUGAUUAGAAAAUGACUUUAAAAAAUGAAGACCUUCGAAUCCUAAAGUGAGAGAGCCCUCUCAACCAAAGCGCCUUCCAAUCAAAGAUGUUACUUGCUAAGAGGUGAAGAGACUUGAGUGGACUCACCGAGUCACAAUGAGUGGCAGUAUCGUGGUUGUCAAAGAAAGAAAAGGGCAACUAGGGAAUAAUGAGAAGAGAGUACGUAGUCACGUACGAUGUGACAUAACUCCGACUGCUAUAUCUGGUGCGGGGCAGCUUCACCUGUACAAAUUUCAAAAAAAACAAAUCGUACGGUCAAUAAGACAUGUAGCAGCACCGCCCCUCGUAAUCGUACGGUUCACAGGCACCCACCAUCGACACAAACUGUACAUCUCUGCUUCAUCCCCCAUCCUUGUGCCACGUGGCAAAUUCAGUUCAGAUGCUGAACUGGAGAUGAUCUCAGCCCUCCAAUGUGCGGGCUCUUCUGCCUGAGACACUUCCGCACAAAAAUAAAUAUAUAUAUAUAUAUAUAUAAUUUACUAUUAUUUUUUAAAAAUUCUUAUGAUCAGGUGGAUGGGUAGUGGGUCAAACCUCAGACACUGUUUUACUUCACUGAUUAGAGACACUGUUCAUUUGAUCAGUCAUGACCUCAUGAUUGUGCAAUUUUGGAGGGCCCACUUGAAAUUCAGAAAUUUUGUUUUUAUUAUUUUUUUUUUUUUUAAUUAUCAAUUUUGCCAAUAGACUUCAUUGGAUGUCUGGGGUGAAAUUGGGUCCCCCAUUGGCCGACCUAUUCUGAAUCCAUUCAAUGAAUUUGAAAAAACAUUUUUAAUAUUGCAAUUAAGUUCAAAUUAAGCUUUUCAUCCUAGACUUAAUUUGGAUUAACUUGAAUCUAGAGCUUGAAUGAUUAUAAUUUAAUCUAAUUUAAUAUUUUAUCAUUUUUAUUAUUAUUUAUAGUAAUAUUUCAUUGAAAUGUCUUUAAAUAAUUUUUUUAAAAAUAUCAAAUCUAAUUACAGCAUAUUAUUUCAUUUUUCUAAAAAAUAACUAAUUUUUUAUUAUUAUCCAAGAAUAAUUAUCAUUUAGUAUUUAAAAUUGGCAUAAACAAAAUUUGACUCAUAUAACCCAAACAACCCAAAUCUAACAUCAACUUAACCUAAAUUUGGAUUGAGCAGUUUGGAUUAGAAGUAGGAUUGGGUUAAGGUUCAAGUUGAGUUUGGGUUGGGCUCGGGUUGGGCUUGGAUUGGAAGCAAACCCCAACCCAACUCAGUAAAAAAAAUGUCUAUAAUUUUCAUUUGAAUAUAGAAAAUUUUCUGAGAUGAAAGCUGUCCCAAUUUCUAGAAUGCAGAUUCAACAUCAGUAAAGAAGAACGCAGAUCUCCUCCUGUUGGCAAGCAAAUACCAGAACCCUAAUCCAUCUGCUUAAUCACAAAAUCAAAAUACAGCUGCAUGCCCUUAACCCUAAUCCAUCUGCUUGAUCAGAAACUCCAAAUGCAUGACUUCGUCUUUCGCCCCGAGACAGCAAUGAAUCCGCAUGUUUCCCAAAUCUGGAUCAGAGGUUAGAGACAAAGCCUACAUAUAGGAAUUUAGUGUGUAUGAUUUGCAGGGAAUUAGGAGACAAACCUGGUACCCAGAACAGUUCCACAAGUCCCACACCUAAUAUUUGCAAGCAAGCGUAGUAAGAUUCAUAUUUCCAAGAGUUUGAACACAAAGGGGACACACACAUAAGAUUCUAGAAGUUCUUUGUUUUCAGAAUGAUCUUUGUAUGGACCAGCCUGGCCCAGAGCCUUUUCUCAACAACCCUAACCAAAACUGUGUUUUCUUUGUGUUUUUCGGGUGCUGGGGCUGUAUAACUGGUUCAUAGCGUGCAUACACUUGAAAAUGGAGACUAGGAUACAGACUUUUCAACACUACAACCACCAAAAGGCAAGCUUUAUUGAAUUCAAAUCCAAGAAAUGUAUCUUUUAAUACUGAAAAAAAAAACAUGAACAUAGCACAAAACUCUGAUCCAAAGUUCAUGAUUCUGUUGUGUAUCUCUUCUAAAGAAGAUAAAAACCGAAACAAUAGCACAAUGUAGAACAAUGAUAUUAUCCGGCAACAUCAGCGCAUGAUAAUAAGAACAACCUAAGAACAUGAUAUUAUUAAUUUUAAACAUGAAUUUGGGUCAUACCCGGUAACAUUCCAACUCAAGUUUGAUAACAUUUGAAAUGGAAUAUGAGCAGGGAGCUGUGAAAAUGCAACAGGUUGUUUAGGAGAAUUGUGUGUGGAUGAAUUAGAAGCAAAGAGAAAUCAUAUACCAAACAUAUAAACAUAAUAGUGAGACAAAUGAACACAAGAACAAAAGACGAACAGAAUCAAAUGUAAUAAAAUGUAGCUUGCUCACAUAAAAUUAGCAAAAUUACAUGAAUGUCAUCACAUAUAGCCUUAAUAAUUUUACAGAGGAUUUAAGUGCUUCUUCUCUUUUAAAAAUUUAAUGCAUGAGGAGUUUAAGAAUAGUGGAGGAAACACACAUUUAACUAAACACCCAUUUGCUCUCAUCUUCAAGUCAUUCAGUCAUGACAAAGUACCUGGACGAAUCUAUUUUCCGAGAAACUGGAAUAAUUCUGACAAAUCUGACCAAAACAAGUAGUAAAUGGUACAUUAAAAGUGCCCAUUGAACAACAAUGGUACAAUGACUAAGAAAUAUAUUCAUUUACCUUUGUAUUGAGGACUCCAGCAUAGUGUGAUACAGAGCCAUCAACCCAGAGAAAUUAACAUCAAACAAGGGAAAUACCAUGAAAAAUGUUACAACCCAGAAACUAUAACAAAGAAAACUUCAAGGUAGUUCUGCUUAUAUGAGAUAUACAACAUAGUUCAAAACCCUCAGGUGAGCUAGAUAAAUGGAACACACUCUUUGUUCCUGUGGUUUUGAAGAUCAGAAACAAGAGAGGGGCGUUAACAAAAAGUUUAUAGUACCCCCAUCUUUUUUCCUUCAAGUCCUAUAGCACAUUAACUCAUCAGGAAACUUCAUUGAUUUGAGUACAGUUCAUGUUUCUAAAAUUUCCAAAUAGUAAACAAUGUACCAAAAUUCGUAUGAAGACCAUUUGAAAACUCCGAUCGGGAUGACAAUUUGUAGUAAAUUCAUAUCAUUUGAUAUUGUUUAAAACAGAACACAUUCACCUGUAAUAAUAGCAUGAACACAGAGUAAACUAGAAGUCAUAUAAAGCUAAUUACAGUUUAGAAAAGUAGAGAUCAUCAUUGAAGAAAAAGGAAGGGAUCUUUUCAUGAUUCCUUAGGUUAGCCAAAACCGAAAAUGGAAGCAGCCACCAUGUCUCAAUAGGGAAAAGAAAGUUCUUCUGCUUUGAAUUACAAAUUAUGUAAACAAAACAAAGAGAAACGAGUAGAAAAUUCUGGGAGAAUGAGAAAAGAAAAUGCCAAUCAACAUUUACUCAUUUACAGUGAAACUGAAAAGAAACCAAUGCUACAAUCAACCAAUCACCGAUUCCAUUCGUAUUCAUCCGCCCACCAAAGAAUCUCAGCUCAAAAGAAUCAAUGAGAAAUGAGAUACAGAAAAUUAAAAUUAUAAAAAUUAAUUAAGAAGAAGAACAAGUUUCAUAUCUGUCCUUGAGCUUUAGAAGCUGUCUUCUCUUGAAAGUCAAGAACCCCACUACACAAAUUUGCAAAAUCCCUGCAAUGCCGACAAACAACAGCCCAAUCGUCUUCCCCAGAUUGAUUUUUUGGUCAUGAUGAUGCUCUGCAGUGUCAUUGUUCAUUCGAUUCGGAUUGACGUUGGAUGUAGGAUCUGUAGCUGCAUUUUUUGAAUGACUAGUCGAAUUCUUCUUGCUAGAGUGAUGAUUAGGGGUCGGCGGCGUUGGUGGUGUUAGUGGUCGUGGUCGUUGUGGCGGCGGCGGUGGUGAAGGAGGAGGAGGUGAUGGCGGCGGAGAAGGUGAUGGCGGUGGAGGAGGAGAUGGCGAUGGCGGCGGAGGAGGAGAUGGCGAUGGCGGCGGAGGUGGUGGUGACAACGGUGUAGGAGGUGGUGGAACUGCCGGCGGAGGUGGCGGAGAGGGCGGAGGGGGUGUUGUAUUGGGUUUCGAUUCAACUUUUGACUGAGCAUCAACGAGAACAGCAUAAAUACAGAAACCAAACCCUAGAAUUACAAACAACAAUGUAGAAAACGGCUGUUCCAUAAAACAACAAUCCAAGAUUCACACUUUUACAAUCAAUGAGGGGUUAAGGUUAGGCCCUCUAAUCCUUUUCUCAUCUGGAUUCAGCCCAAAACUCUUUCUUCCCUCUGCAAAUUCCAGAAAAACAAACACUCUAGGGUUUCAUAAUCAUGAUCAUUCCCCGAUCUGGGUCUUCGAGAUUUCUGCCUCCAGCCAACAAUUAACCAAAUGGGUCAAAUGGGCACCGCCCCAGAUUCUCGAUUUCCUCUUCAAAAUCCAGAUACACUGAACCUUCAAAGAUUAGGAACUAGGGUUCUCUGGGUGGCGGAAAUGGGGCGUGAAUUUGGGGGCUGAAAAUCUGAUCUUGGAUUAGAUAGAGGAGAAAGUCUCCGCUGGAUUCAACGGUUACCUAAAUUGGGUCAUGGAUCGCCAGCAAAGAGUGUGAAUACCUCUCAUUAGGAGAGACAAAGUGGCGAGAAAAUGAGAGAAAGAGAGAAAACUUGCCUCAAUGCCUCACUCCAUGUAGGAUCAUUUGGGUCCCAUUAUUUCCAGCUAAAAUUAUCGAUGGUCCCAAAUCUUACUUUCAACUUCUUCUUCAUCCAUAUUUUAUCUAAAUUCAAACACAUUUUCUUUACAAAUUCUCUCCAAAAAUGAAGCCAUUUCCAUACUUUUCAGUCUGCUUUGCAGUAUUUUCCCACUUGUAAGUGCUAUUUAUUAAUAUAAUUUUUUUAAUUAAUUUUAAUUAUAUUUUAUUUUCCUUCAAAUUUUUCAUAAUAAAUAAAUUCCUAAUUUUUUUUUUACUACUUUUGUUUAAUCAAACAUGGGAACUAAGAAUAAAGGAAUGAAAGCUCAUGUUUUAACAACAUAGUCAUGAUUUGAUAUUUAAAAGAAAAUUAAGAUUGAAAAAAUAAACUAAGAUUUGUGGGCUUGAAUCCAUUAACAUGGGUGACACAUGGUCAAUCAAAGAAAGAAAUUUAUUUUUGUCAUUAGAAUAUUCAAGUCAUGUGGAAUGACUACACAUUGUUGGAAUCCAAUGAAUAAUAAUUCAGAGUGAUCAGGGAAAAAACAAAAAAAUAAAUUAAUUAAUUAAUUUUCCAAAAAUACCACCUUUUUUAAAAAUUUAUUUUAUAAAUAUGCAAACUAAUAACCUACAAGUUUUCUAAAUAAUUGUUGCUUACAACUUUGACCAAAAAAAAAAAAGAAAUAAUUACUUUUAUUAUAGUAAUUGAUUUUAUGUAAGAAAAAUAUAUUUAGGAAUAUUUUAGAAUAGAAUUUAAAUUGUAUGUUUAAUAAUUGAAGGAGUAUAAAUUAUUACUAUAAUAGUGCCAUUAAAUUUUGAGUUCAUGAAUUGUAUUUUUCAAUUAUUUUAUUAUAAAAAUAAUUGUAAUAUUUUAAAAUUUUUAAUAAAAUAAACAUACAUUUAAACAUUUCUUGAAAUUACAUUUAACCUUGGAAAAUUAUUUUUAAUAUUUAAGAAGCUAUAUUAAAUAUGAUUUAUAUUCAAUUUAUAGUUAUUUUAAGAGUACUAUAAACACUUUUUUUUACAAAAACUAAUUAGAGACCGUUUGACAGUGAUUUUAAAAAACUAAUUAGAAACCGUUUGAUAUUGAUUUUAAAAAACUUUUUUAGUUUAAAAAAUGUUUUUUUUUUUAAAUAAAUGUUUGACAUGUGCCACUAUUUCAAAAAACAAAAACAAAGUUGCAAUGAUGAAACUUUUGGGCUUUAAGUUGGGUGGGCUUGUGCAAUGUGAAGCAUGGAUUGGGCUUGGGGUUGAAAAUUUGUAAUAACAUAAAGAUGAAUUCCCAAACUGGGUUUUAACUUUCAACUUUUGACCCAUCCUUCUCUCUAAAGCUUUACAUGCAAAUAGGAAGACAACUUUUAAAAGUAGUAAAUAAUGGAUUGCACUUUUCUCUAAUAAAAAAAUAAUUUCAUUGGAUUGCUUUUCUAAUUGAUUUGAUGGGAUAUUAUAUCAUUCUUUUAAGCCAAAUUUUGAGAGGAAGAUUAAAAUAAAAAAUAAAAAAUAAUGAUUUAGAGGAGAAAAAAUGAAGUAAUUGACCAAAAAAAAUUAAAUUCAAUAAUUUUUUUGGUAAAUACUCAUUUAAAUAUAUUUCUUUUAUUUUCACCUCUUUAAAUUAUUUUUAUUUUUAUUGUAUAUAUUUAUACUUUCAAGAUAAAUCAAAUAAAGAAAAUAUGGAUAUUCAAUGUGAAGAAAAUAUGAAGAAGAAAAUAAAGAUAAAGAGAAUUUAUGAUAGAAUGAAAAAGUUUUGGAAAAUAGAGAAAAGAAAAAUUAUUAUUAUUGUAAGAGUACAAAAAAUGAUGGUGGUUACUUUGGUGUGAUUGGUGGAUAAUGAUAGUAAUAAGAAAACUAAAUUAUAAAGUGUAGAAGGGAGAAAAAAAAAUUAAUUAGGACAGUUGGAAAAAAAAUAUAUAUUGACAUAAUACUGCAAAUUAGGAAAAUUUAUGAAAUAAAUAAAUAAAUACUUAAAUAUAAAAUCAAUUAUUAUAAGAGUAAAUUAAUAACAUGGGAUAUAAAAUAAAUAGGUUUGUAUUAAUGAGAUUUAUCUUAUUUUGCGUAAAUUUUAAGUUUAAUUAAUUUCUUUAUUUUACAUCAAGUAAGAAAAUAUGAAUUUUAAAUAUUUUCUAAAAUAUUAUUUUUCUAAAAGGGUCGUCGACUCUCAUUGCUUAGUUGAAUGAGGAUUGAAAAGUCUGGUUAAUGGGGUAGUCACUUACUCGACAUAUAUUUAAAAUAUAUAUUCAAAAAUAUUUUAAUAAAAGCACUUCAAAUAUAAAUAUUAUUAAAUAUAAUUUUAAAGAGUUAUGUUCCUGUUCCCAUUCAAAAUAUUUUUAGGAGAAGCUUUUUCUUUGAAAGUGCUUUUAAAAAAAAAGUAUUUAUCAAAUAUUGUUCGACAAGUAAUUUUCUUUUACUUUUGAAAUUGUUUUUAUAAAUUUUGUGAAAAGUUUGAUUUUUGUUUUUCAAAAACACUUUUUGAAGUAGACUGCUUUUUAAAAACACUUUAGAAUGGAUAACUUUGAUAUAUAUUGUUAUUUUAUUAUUGCAUGAUAAAUUUUAUUGUUUAAAAUUUGAAAAAAAAAAAAGGGGAAAUGAAAAAUAAAAGGUCACAUGGGGGGGAGGUGAGAGGAGAGAGGAGAGAGAAGUAGAACUGCAGAAGUGAAGGGUAGGGGGGAAGAGCAAGAGGCAUGUUUGGCCGGAUCUAGGGCCACAGCCGCAGCAGUGAGUGGACAGUGCAGUGUCCCAAAAAUGUCAGCUCUGCAAAUUUAUACUAAUCAACAAACAAAGGCAUCUCUCUAGGGAACAAUGCUGGUGUCCCAUCAACACACCUCAUCCCAUCCCCCCUUCACCCCCACCACCCAAAAAAUAAUAAUAAAUAAAAAAUAAAAAAUAAAAUAAAAUAAAAAGGAAAAACCCAUUUGACCCCCAACGUUACAAACUUACAAUGGGUUGGCAAUGAUUUUAACCUUGAAGGGUCAAAUGUUAGGAUUUUUUUUUUUUUUUUACAACCUAAAAACUUUAAGAAGAAAAUGUAAAAAAAAAAAAAAAAAAAAGACAAAGUGAUAAAAAAGUCCCCUUUCUCUGUCAUCUUCCAAGUUUUAUUUUCUUAAUACUAUUCUUUCAACUUUUUUUUUUUUAAUUUAAAUCUCUCUUUUCUUUUUUAGAUUAUUAGAUUUUAUUUUUUAAUUUAUUUUUUAUUUAUUUAUAUUUUUAUUGAAUGAUGCAAAUUGAACAAUGGGUCAAAAGGUAGAUAUGAUACCAGUAGAAUAUCCAAAAGGAAAAGAAAACAAAACCCAUUUUCCCUUUCAAUCCUACAAUCAUGGGUCACUUUGCAGCUUUUCCCCCCCUCCUUUCAAUAAAAAAAUAAAAAAAUCAUAGAAUAAAAAGGUAAUGAUUUUUCCUUUUAAUUAAAUAUUAUUUGUUACCUCAAUUUUAUUUUUAUAUAAAUAUAAUUUAUUUUUAUAUUUUUAUUUAGUGAUGGGUGAUAUUGGAAUGGAAGUUGGACAUGGUACCAUUAGAAUUAAACAAAAAUAAAAAAAGAAAAAAGAAAAAAGAAAAACCCAAACAGACAUUUGACCUUCCAAGGUUAGAAUCAUGGAUCAUCCUGCAACUUUUUCACUUUUUUUUAGAUGUUGGAAUUGAAGAGACAGAGAAAGGGAGUAAAAGUGAAGUAAACGAAGGUGUGGAAUGUGAUGGGCAUUGUUAAAUUAUUAGACUCAUCCACAAGGACAUGGCCUUUUCAUAUUGAUGCUCUCCCCUUCUUUUUCAUCUUUCAACUUUGGAUCUCCUACUCUCUCAUCCCAUACUAUCAUUGAGUACUUGAAAUCAAGUUUAAGGUUUUUUUUUUAUUAUUAUUAUUAUAAGUACAAAAAAAUAUAUUAUCAAAUUUAUCGAAAAUACAUGGAUGAUUAUUAAUAUCGCAAGUUCGAUAUUCAAUUGAGUUGGCAUGAACAAGGUUUGAAUGGAUUAGAGUCGGGGUUAGAUUAGAAAAAUAUUAACAUGAAAAUAUUAGGGUUAACAUGAAUUAAAUGUUCAGACAAUAACUCAAAUCUAAAUCUAUAUAUUAUUAUUUUUAAAUUAUAUCAUUUUAGUUUUAAUGUAAAAAAAUGUAAAAUAAAAAAAAAACAAAAAAAACCCCUCUAACCUUUCUCAUUUUUAAUUAUGUUUGACAAUGAUUUAUUACUUUUUAGUUAUAAAAGCUUAUGUAUUUGUUUAAUUAUUAAAAAUAUUGAAAUUUGAGUUUGCAAGUUGUCAUUUAUAUUAGAUCACUAACUAAUAAACAUAUUUUAAGGUUAUGACAUUUAAAUUUUAAAAUUUUAUUUUAUUAUAUGGUAUAAUAUGAUAAUUUUCAAUCCGGGUUUGGAGGUUAAACAUAUUAAUAAUGGGUUUGACAUGGGUUAGGGUUCUAAUCCAUCCUCCAUCCAAUCCGUCCAAAUUGCACUUUUAUAAGUUAAAUGUAGUGACUCGUGUUAAGUAUGUACCUUUAGCUUAUAUGAUUAAACUAUUAAGAAAAUUAGUUGCUCGAUAUGGUAUCAAGUAAUUGUUUGAUAAUGAGUGAAAAAUAUCCGUCUUUCUGCUAAAUAGAAUGUAUUGAAUUCAUAAUUCAUUAGAUACUUUUUAUGAAUGUCAACUAAGUAUUAUAAGCAAAUUGCUCCCAAUUAUUUAAUCAUUUGAGAACUAUAAUCAUUCUUCGAUAAAUGAUCAUUAUGAAUCAAACUCGAUAAACUUUUAUCAAUCUUUUUUUUGUCGUUAAGGUGGAGAACUGGACAAAGAAUUCUCUUUCUUCAUCAUCAAUCGAACAACAAACAAAGCCUGUAUCAACCAUUUUAGCUAAACUUAUAAGAUUUGAACUCAAAAUGCAUUAUUGUAUGCAUUAUUGUACGUAUUAAUUUUGGACUUAUAAGAUUUGAGCACAAAAUGUAUACCAUACAUUCUAAUAAAUACCAAAAUGAUAUAAUGUCUUUAAUUUUUUUUAAAUUAUAAUAAAUAUCAUUAUUGGUAUAAAAAUGCCCUUGAUGUUUAUAAAAAUUUACAAUACAUGCCAUUAUGAACAUGGGCCAAUCAAAAUGAAACAUUUUCCAAAAUGGAAUCAAAUAAAAGCACAAAAGAAGCAAAACCCUAAAGCUGGCAAGGGGUAUGGUCGUUGAAAGGAGUACAAGGCAAAGGGUAGAACACCCAUCCAUGCAACAAACCCUAGCCCUAAGCUUGGGGGGGCACAGGGGCCCUACAAAGAUUUCAUCCAAAUAUACAAUAGAAAGACAAACCAUAAAAAGAGGUUGAUAGAGAAAUGUCCCUGUCCAUAGUAUCUCGUCCUCUAGAUAUCUUCUCUGUGCCCUUAUGUUAAGAUUUUUUUUUUUUUUUUUUUUAUAUUAAUUUAUUUAUUUUUUCUGGGUUUAAUCAGAUUUUCAUCUGAUUCCGAAUCUACCUCUAAAUUUUCUGUGAGCAUCACUUUCACAGUCCGUACAUAUUCUCCAAACAGAGUUUGAAAACCAAAGCAAGAAUUAAAUAAUAAUAAUAAUAAUAAUAUUAUUAUUAUUAUUUAUUAUUUAAAAAAAAAAGAAGAAAUAGACACUGAAUAAAGAGAUGAGCUCAUCCUUUGACCACUGUAUAAUUCUUGGUGCUGUCUUUUGUGAUCUCCACAAUUUUUUUUUUUUUUUUGGUAUUAAUGCAUUAUAUAAGUUUUUUUUAUAAAAAAAAUAGAGAUAUUUACUGAUUUUAUUUAUUAACAUUUUUUUUAUGAUUUCUUGAAUUGGUGUUUGAUGUGGGCAUUCACUCAUCUACAAAUUUUCUUAAAAUUAAGAAUUUAAAAAUAAAAUUAGAGCAAAAAUAAAAAACAAUCAUGAUAAAAAAUACAAAAUAUUAAAAUUUUAAAAAAAAUAUAAAGGGUUUCUUAUUUCUAAUAAAAGUAUUUUUAAUUUUAAAAAUAAUUUUAAUUAUAUAUAUUUAAUAAAAAUAUUUACUUUUAUUUCUAUUUCUAUUUUCUUCAUUAUGGAAAAGCUAAAAAAAAGGAGGGUGGUGAAGUUCACGCGCCAUAGAAAGUGUGGGCCUGAAAAUGGAAGGGAGACAACUGCAAGGCUUAAGGGCACGCAAUUUAAGGCACCCCUUCAGACGGGCAGCGAGGGAUUCUCACACCCCUUCGCUCUCCUGUCUACAACCUAGAGAGAGUGGGAAAAAGUCAAAGGCGUAGCCCCAAUUCUUGACUUUUUUGUAGGUUAGUGCGCCCGGACACCCCCGCGCACUUUAGCAGACCUUGAAUCUACCACCUGGUUCCCUCUGCUGUUGCCUAUUGGGGGGCACAUCCGAGGUGCCAUCCUCUGCGCCGCCGGUGCAUCGGGCUCCGGUGUCCCGCCUCUCUCACACUUCUGAUUUGAUGUGAUGCGAUGUGAUUAAACCGCUGCGAUCGUGCCACAUCACCAUUGAACGGAUUGCAUCAGACAGAUAAUAUAUUUCCUUCAGUAAAAUUUAUUUUUUGAUAAAAAAAGAAAAUAUAUUUGAAAUUAAUUAGAAACUUUAAUAUUUUUUAUUAUUUAAUUUCUCAAAAAUAAGAAAAAUAAAUAUGAAAAUCCAUAUUAUUUUAUUCUUUCAUUUUCCCCAGAUUUUUCAGCAACAAACACAGCCUUAACAGUUGAGGGCCAAGAAUAUGUAUGUAAGCCAUCUUCUUCAAUUUUCCCUUGAAAAUGUUAAUAGAACAGUCAAGAACAGUUAUAACACAAGAUUUUGAUUUGAACUGUUAGAACUAUUGAAUCCAAUAUUUCUUCCUGUCAAAACAUUUUCCAUAGCUUUCUGUCACCAACACUACUGAUGAUUCACUACUCAAAAAACUAAACCCUUAUCCCCAUUCCCCACUGGUUUCACUCAUUCCAGAGUGCAAACAUGGGCACCUGGUGAUGAACCAUGCCCAGAUUCCUCAACCGGUCCGACCCAGGGUGAUCACCGCCGGCGUUGCUGGCUUCAUACUUGGAGCCAUGCAAUGAGAAGUAUGCCUGAGGGUAAUCAGCACCUCCAGCUCCAAACUGAUCAGCCCCUGGUCCACCACUGCCACCGCCGGGGCAUUUUGGACUGUGCAGACUCGAGGAAGUCCGGCUAGUUGAAGCCACCAGCGCUGUAUCAGUGGCUAUGAUGCUCGUGUUCUGCUGCUGCUGAUGGUCUUCGGUGUUGGAACUCCACACCAUGUCAGGCAAUUCCUCCGAGGGCUCGCCAUUGGUUAUGGCCAGAAGGGGUUGGGGCGAGGUGGAGGAUGCGCAAGAGUUGUAGUCCUCCAGGGCGGGGGGAGCCGAUUCUUUUGGUGACCGUUUGGCAAGGUCGCCGGCAAUGAGGGUGGAGCUCGAGCAAAUCCUCUUGACGUCGUACCUACUGAUAUCGAAAUUGGUCACUGCACCUGUCCCUCUGAACUUUAUCGCAGCAAUAUCAUAGGCUUCAGCAGCCUCCUCUUGUGUGCCUAAACAUCAUCAACAAUUCAAUCUAAAUUCAUACUAAUUAAACUUCUCGAACCAACCAGGAUGAUGAUAGGUACUGUUUUAUUGGUUCGGCCUAGUCAAGCAACAAAGAAUUACGGUUUUCCGCUUUUGCCCAUAACCCUAAAACUCAAAUUACUAAACAUAAUCAAUCUUAGUCUAUGAUCUAACUAUUCAAAAUACAAAGUUGUGGGUGUUAAUUAAAACAAACCAUAUAUUAAAACCAAAUAAGAUGCACAUAUAAUUAACUAAAGGGUUGAAAGAAAGUGGGAGUGGACUCACUGAAUGUUCCUAAAUACAAGUCCUUGUUGCCUGCAACUCUCCCUAUUCGAGCUUGCCACCUUCCAUGCUGAUGGUGUCUGUCAAAACAUAAGGAAAACCAACUAGACAGAUAAGAGGAAAAGAGGAUAGAUACUUUGAUGGGGGACCUUAAAUUUUAUGCCAAAUAUAUAUGGUCAAUCUCAUAUGCACAUGUAUCAUAAUGUUUUGCCUAUUAUUGAAAAUGAUAAUAGCAAAAGCUGCAAACAGCAGUAAAUAAUGGAAAGCUUUAUCAUUAAAGCAAUUUUUAAUUUUUUUUUUUUUUUUGGGUUCCUGCCACAACCUCGUCACUCCUCUGUACACAGACGCCCCUCUUGAAAACCCACUACUUUUCCUGUUCAAAAAACAGUCAAACUUUAUAUCAAAACCCACCAUUUUCAUUUCAGAAAGGAUACAAAGUUUGAAAGAUAUGAUUGUUUAUUAUUACCUUCUUAAGUUGGCUACAAACUCUUGCCUGGUCAUGUUCUUCAUCUCUUCAAGCUCUUUCUCAUAACUACUAAGCUGAUGGAGUUUUAUGUGAGUGGUUCCUCAUACUAUUAAAAUAUCGGAUUGGAACUUGAAACAUUUUCUGAGUACCCAAACAUAUCUUACAGGGAAAUUUAUGUGAGUGGUUGGACCCCAAUACUUGAGUGCCGCUAAAUCAUAAGCCCUAGCUGCUUUUUCUUCCUUAUCAUACCCACCUGAUGAGCAAAUACAUUAACAACAAAUAAUUAAAAAGAAUGAAAGAGAGAUGCACACCAUCCAAUGCUUUUUCUUACAAUUUCAGAAGAGAAUUAACAUGGAGGGAGACAUGGAGAUGGAAAUGGAAAUGGGAGAGAUUCCACUUACCAAGAUAAACUGUUUGAGAGUGGAAUUGGUGAAAAGAGACCAUGCACCACCAGAAAUUGCAUGAAAUGUAACUGUUAGAAUACUCUUCCAGAGAUUGAAAACAAAAUUAAUUUUGAGAAAGAGUGGGUCAUAAAUAUUGUUAGCAUAAAAGGAGAGAACAGAAAUCAAAAUUCAGAACUCUGAGCUCUGAGCAGCUCUUCCCACCUUGCCUUCCUUUCCUUGUUUGUCCUUCUUUUCUGCAACUGUUGUCCCACAAAUGGGCUUCAUAUCUUCCAGUCCAUCUGUGCCUAAAACAAAUUUCAUCACCCACCCAUCAAAAUUUUCUCUUCAAAGAAAAGAAAAGAAAAGAAUUAAAAUUUGUUUCUUUCAAUACCUAGUUACACCACGAUAUUGAGAAGUUCUUUGCCCAAAAGUAUCAAUUGAUUUCCGAGGAACUGGUUCUCUGGUAAGAGCCUUCCCACCAACUUGCCUUUUCCGGUUCUCAGCAGCUUGCAAUGGAGAAGAAACAGCAGUGACCCCCCCAUGUUGAGAGCUGGGACUCAUUGUGAGUGACAGUGAUUGAAAGUUACAAUUGUUUGGCUGAUCAGCAGAAGCAGAAGAAGAAGAUUUUUCCCCAGAAAAUGGUGUUUGGCGCAACCAUGACUUGAACCCAGAAACUGAAGUUGCACUAUGAUCAAAAGGUACAUGAUAAAAACAAUUAUUAUGGCCACUAGGGUUUGAACCACACUGCUGCUGAAUCUGAGUUGUUGUGACUAGGGUUUGUGGGGUCUCGUUGUAGUGAUGAUGAUAAGGUUGGAUUUGUGGAGGUGGGUCUGCUUCAAGCUCUCCAUUGGAGUUGAAGCUUGGUGGCGCAUUCACAUUCACUCUAUCAUCUGAAGAAUUUGAGUAACAGCAACCCAAGAAAUCUUCAAGCUUUGGAGCCUCUCCGCUUGGAUCAGUGCCACCCAUAUCGUUCUCAUAUCUCCAAUCUACAACACACCCAAUAAACAAUAUCACAUACCCAUAUCAAAAACAUAAAAGAAAAUAUCAGAAAAGUCACCAUAAAUCGCACUUCAAAUUUUCCCACUAACCAAACAGUAGAUAACCAACCAAAUAAGCAACAAAAACAGUGAAACAAUAGCGUCAUGCACACCUUCACUUCCACUUGGACGCCUGAAAGGAUCGAUAACACAGAGAGAGCCAUCAGAGCGCAAAGGCAUGACGAAACCUCCUUGUUGCUGGUGCUGCUCAUCUCUCCCAAAACCCUCGUCGAUUCUCAGGUGGGGAGUCAGAGAAAAUCCCAGCCAAUUACUCAUAUCAACCUCGCAAAAAAAACCCCUAACCAAAAAAAUCCUCUUCUCUCUCUCUGUUCCUCACCUGGGGUUUUGGUUUCUGAGCUCAAACUUCAAAGCUUGUGCUGUAAUUUAUAUAACAGCAUCCCACCCACACAAACGGAGAAAACAAAGAAAACGAAACAAACCCUGCUUUUGCUGCAAGAAAACAAAGGAAACAGAGGUAAAAUAUUUCGAAUCUCCCGUCCAAAUUUUCUUCCGUCCGCCUCGGUCUUCGUUCCUCCUUUCAUUUCUUCUCAGUGGUUGCAGAGGGUGGCCAUAAUCAGAGAGAGAAACGGAGGAAACCUACAUGUAUCGCGGCCCACAACUUGGUUUUCCAUCAUCCGCACUCCCGCACCGUCCGAUUAGCAUACUAAUUGGAUGACUCUCUCUUUGGCGGCAGAGAUGGGUAAGAAUGGGAACUUUAGGGAGUGGUGCGAAACACAGGAGUGGGUUCAAGGGGUUUGGUCCACUUCACAGAAGAGGCAUGGGAAGUGUACGCGCACGUGUAGAGUAAAAGCGCCAACUCGCUCCCUGUGAAGAGUACAGAAAUUACUGAAUCACUGAGCAUAUUUAUAAUAUAUAUAUAUAUAUAAAAUAUAAAUUCAGGGUAUUUAUGGUAAAUAUUUGUGAGUGGGGCACUGGAAAUUAGGGAUUUUACCAUAAAUAUUGAAGGACAAAGUGGUCACGUGCUGCCACCCCUAUUUUUCUGAUCAUGGGUGUGACUGCCAUGCAAGCUGUUUCUUCCUCUCUCUCUCUUAUUUUUAUUUUUCUAUAUAAAUUUAAAUUUGUUUAUUUAUUUUUAUGUUGGACAUUGAGAAAAAGUUGGAAAAUUUUGGAAUUGGGAUAAGUGGAAUUGAGAGUUUGAGGGGAAUGUGUAAAUAGUGAAAAAAAUUUGUGUGGAAAGGGAAAGUGGGAAGAUAAAUGAUAGGUUUAGAUUCAACAAAUAAAAUUUUGUUAAGUAUAUUUUUAAAUUAUUUUAAAUAUAUGAAUUUUUUUAUAUUUUUAAAAUAAAUUAAAUAUUUUAUUUUAUUUUUUUCUAUUAUUAAGAGUAUGAUAUAUAUCUUAUAAGUUUUUAAAAAAUUUGAUAAUUUAACAUGAUUUCAGACUUUUAUUUGAUGGAAUGUCUCAUAUUCCUUCUCGUAAUUUAUAUUUUCCUUAUUUGUUUCUUGGAUAUGGUAUGCACAUGUUCCCAGUUUUAGAAAAAUUGAUAAUUCAACACCUACUUAUUUUCUUUUUUAAAAAAGAAUUUUUAUGGAGCGUAAAAAAAAAAUUGCAUGUUAUUUUCUGAUUAUGGUUAUUGAAUUACACAAAAUUUUUACAUCUAAUAUAUCACAUCAUCACUCAUAACAUAUUUUUUUUCUUAACAAAGAAUGAAGAAUUUAUAAAAAAAUAAAAGUUUAAUUAAAUUUAUUUAUUUUGUAUAUUUGGGAGACAUUGUAAAAAAAUGAUAAUAAAUUCAAGAAAAAAAAUUUAAAAACGGAAUAUUUGAUGGAAUAAUUUUAAAGUGUUUUUAUAAUUUAUUGAUAAAAGUAUACUUCAAAAAAUAUAAUUAUUUUUUCUGCCUUUUGUAAUUGAAGAAAAUAUUGCCUUAAAAAUUCAUUUGGGGCUGAAAACCGGGUCUAAUUUAUUGGGCCGGGCACAAAAUUCAAGUCUGGAUCCAAUUAACAUGAGACUGGCGUGGUUCAUCUGAAUCAGGUGACUUGCAUGUGACGGAGGUGAUGGUCACGUGACCACGAUCUUUCCAAUGCGUAGCCAAGGUUUUCAUUGCUUUCACACUCCAUACACCUCUCCGAAGUCAAAACCACACCCAUCCAAUGGAAAUUUUUUUAUUUUUUUAUUUUUCUUUCAUUUAUUUAUAUUUUUUUAAGUUCCAAAAUUACUUCAAAAUAUAAAAUGAUUAAUUAGUGAAAAAAAAAAUUAACUUUCGAGUUGACAACUAAAAAAAUUAAUAUGAAAUAUAAUAUUUUUGUUUCAAAUUAAAGUUAAAAAAAAUCAAAAUAAUAAUAAAGUAAAGUUUUAGAAAAUAAAAUAAUUAACCUUUACUAUUUAAAAAAAUUAAAUAUAACCCUUUUUCCAAAAAAAAAAAAAAACACUUAACCAUUUUCUAUAAAAAUGUAAAAUAUGACCCUUUCUUUAUGGUCAUGUUUGGUUUUAGAAAAAAAACGAGGAAAAGAAAAUAGAAAGAAAAAUUAGAAGAAAAAAAGGAAAGAAAUUAAGAAAAAGUUAAUAAACCAUUCUUAUAUAUUAUUUCAAUUGUUUUUUUUCAUUUAUUUGACAUAAAUUUUUUAAUAAUUUUAAUUAUAUUUAACUUUCUUUUGUAUUUUUCACUGUAAAGUCAAACAUGAGAAAAUAAUUUUCCGAGAAUCAAACAUAACCUAUAUCAAUUUCUCUAUGAUUUAUUUUUUUAUAUAUGUAUCUUACAUUAAAGUACUUUUAAAAAGAAUGACAUUUUUAUAAAAAAAAAAGAAAAAAAAAAGAGAAGUUAUCUUUGCAUAACUUCAUUGAAGAACUUUCUAGUAAUUUCUCCUUUGUUCUUAUACAAUUUGCUCAAGAUUUGGACACACCAUUUGGGUUUAGGCCCAACUCCCAUCUGGGCUUCUACCAAACCUGGGAUCUUGAAAAUGGGCCUGAUCUCAGGCCCAAUUUUAGGCCCAACCCGGCCUGGCCCAUUCUAGGCAUGCUAAAUUGAACAUUUGACUAAAAUGUUGAUCUCCCAAGUCCAUGCUCAGUUGAAGACUAGUAAACGCCAUUCGGCUAUAGGCCUAAAUGACAUCUGGGCUUUUACCUGACCGGGAGUAUCGAAAGUGGGUCGGGCAUCAGGCCCCAGGCCCAACCAACCUGCCCCAUUUGCAGUGACCCAUACUGGGUAUGCUAAUUCAAGACUAAAACAUACCAUUCGGCUAGAAGCCCAAAGCCCAGAUCGGCUCUAACCCGACCUUUCUUACCAAAAGUGGGCCAGAUCUCAGCCUAAACCAUCCUGGCCCAUCUGAGUGUGUAGGUCAGUAGGUGUACCCUUCAAGGGAAUAAGGCAAUCAAGAAAAGAUGACUUAAUACAAGGCUAUGAAUAAAUUAAAAAAAAAAUAUAUAUUUUCAAAAUAAUUAUUUUUGCAAUUUAUCUCUUUUCAAUUUUUAUAUUUAAGAUAUACCAAUUAUCAAAAAUUGGUAUUAGGUGUAAAAAUAAGUGCAAUAAUGUUUUAAUUAUUUUCAGUUCUUCAUAAUUAUAAACCAAUUCGAAAAAAUAUCGUUAUAAUUAUUUAAAUGAUGUUAUCAAGGUACCUAAACACCUGUAAAGUAAGCAAUCAAUAUCGUGAUUUUGAACCAUGUUUUUUGUAUGCCAAAAGGCUAAGAUCGAGAUUAUCUUAAGACUUUUGAGAGUUGCUUUGAAAAAAUAAUCCACUUUUUAAACACUAGUCCAUUGGUACUUCACGUGUGUAUAGUUUCUUUGGUUAAUAUGCAUAUACCUUGUCACUUCACCUUACUUUUUAUUUGAUUCAAGAUAACCACUCAUAUCUUGAGAAUGCUUUGUAAUAGAGAUCAAUCAUAUAAUGUUUCCCUAUUGAACUUCAUAAUGGACCCAACAAUAAAGAAGUCAUAGAUUUGCAAAUCUACAAUAAUGUACUCAAAAGGACACUAGGGAUUAAUAGCGGUGAAACAACACUUUACACAACAUAUAGCAUGAGAUGUGCGCAUACCCGAUAUAUAGAAAUUAGUGUUGCGGCAUAUUUCGAAUUAAUAAACAUUCAACUUGAAUCCUAACUCAAUCUAACCUUAAUGCUCAAUUCAAAUCUAACCUACCCUUAUUAUUAUUAAGUUUGGAUUAGAUUCAAAUUGAUUAGGUUAAAAUCAGGUUAGAUGAAAUAUUUCAAUUAAGUUGUUUGGAUUGUAUAAAUGAAAUUUAAAUUCGGAUUGACUAAUAUACUUGUAAUGAACUUUUUAGCUUUUGUACAAUUACACUAAAAUUUAGAUACUAAAUAACACAUUAUUUUGAGAUAAUAGCAAAAAAAAAAAAAGGUCUUUUUUUUUUCUAAAUUAUAAAAUAAUAUAUAAUUUAAUUAAAUUUCACGUUGUCCUUUUAAAAUCAUUUGAAAUGACAUAAACCAAUCUUGUUCUAUAUAAAAAUAUAAAUAUAAAUAAUAUAAAAUAUUAAAUCGGAUUCAAAUUGGGGUUAGGUUAUCAAAACCCUUCACUCAAACCCAACCCAACCCAAAUUAAGUUUGGGGUUGAGUUUUCUCACCCUCAAGCCCAGUUCAAAUAUUAAAAAUACUUCUUCAAACCGAUCCAAUCCAAACAUUGGGUUGGAUUCGAUUCAACCCAUUCAAGUUACAACCCUAAGAGACUAUAAUGCAUGGAACAGUAGUCCCCUGCUAGAAGACUAGCACACUAUGGUUUUCUUUAUUCUCCCAGGUUGUUCCUUCUCCUUGUUUCUUCCCUUUUCCAGCUCCUUAUUCUUUAUUCUCUCAAGGCUCUUUGCCCUUGCCCCACAGUUUGACAUCACAUGUUUAUUUGAAGAGAUGCAGAUGAAAACUUUCCAAAGAAACCCACCAUAUUUCUUACCUUUCUUACCUAAAAUGUUUCCUAAAACACAUCACUUACACAAAAAAGUAUCAUAUCCCCACUGGCCAAUUUACAUAAUCUUGAUACUAGGACACUGUCUUUCCCCCUCUCUUUGCUAUUGAUUUUACCUAAGGAUCAAAGGGUAAAGAUUCCUUCUGCAGGGAUUUAUUCAGGUUCUCUGUGUUCGGCCUCAAACGAUAAGGGAAAGAAACAAAAGACAUACAGAGAUUUAAGUGAAUUAUAUAUGGUAGAUGGAACCAUUGUAGGCCAGUGGGGAAGGACCAAGUAAAAAAGAAUGGGGUCGCUUUGUUGACAUUCAUGUUGUCUAUGUUAUACACUGCCACAGCCUCUGAUCACCUCAUCUGCAGGAUUACAACUCAGAUGUUAGCAAAAAGGGGAGAUUCACUGAAAAUUUUUCUUGGAUUAUUGUGUUAUAAUUGCUACUAUGUCUUGAUGUAUAUGUUGAUUUAUGCAUAGGGAUGUUGGUGUACGAUCUCUUAACUCAGGUUGAUUGACGGACGAGCCCAACAAUACCUCGCUUAUCUUACUGGCAACCACAUGUAUCAUUGCCUCCUCGAGGACGAUUUCACAAGGAUGGUAGGGCAUGUUACAGGAAAUAAUUCAUUUAUCAUGGAGAUUCACAUGCAUCAUUGCUUCCUCAAAAGGACGAAUUCAUGCACAUAAGGAUAGUAAGACAUGUUAGUAGAAAAUAAUCCAUUUGAUCACGAAGGUAGCCAAAUCCUAUAAAUUUAAGUUUUUAAGAAAAUUGGUAAUUCAACAGAGUAUUAGAACUUGGUUUGGAGGGAGGUUUUAGGUUCGACCUCCUCCGCAAUUUGCAUUUUCUUUGUUGGAUAUGAAUAAGAGAGGGUGUUAAGGAAUCUUACAAGUUUAAGUUUUUAGAAAAGUUGGUAGUUCAACAAAAAUCAAGCAAAGUCGAUUCAUGUACAAAAACACAUGUAACCUUCUCAGAAACUCACGAGAUUAAGGAUGCUUGAAAGAUUUGUCAAUGCUACACUGGCAAUUAAAAACAAGCCAUUGUCCUCGGAUGAUGAUCCCUAAUUGAUCCUUUUACUUAUUUAAGCAUUGUUGAUGCUUUGUAAUAUUUAAAUUUUAGAAGAUCAAACAUGUCGUUUAUCGGAUUCGCUAAUAUUUUAAUAACCCUACUUCAGUACACAAUAUUUUGGCAUUUGUUACAUAUCUUUUCAAAGUCCAUUUCUCUCAAAGGUUCUACAGGUUGUCUUAUUGCAUUUCUUUGUAUUAAGAAACAACAACCAAAAUUUAUUUGCUCUAGGUCAAGCAGGGUAUCUUUCUAUGUUGGCCUCAACUACACUUAAAAUAACUUAGUUUAUUUUUUAUUUAUCCCGAGACAUUACUAUAUUACUUCCAAAGCCACCUCAAUGAUCACUUCGAAAAUAUAAAUCAAUUACCAUUUUGCUUGAUUUACCCAAUUGGGUAUCUCGAUGAUCAAAACAAUUGCCAAAGAUGACCUAUAUCUUGAACACAUUUUGAAUGCAUGAGAGAUCUGAUCUGACUUUAAAUUGAUGUAUAUGUGUGUGUGGGGUGAGUCCCAACUAUAUUGCUAUACAACUUCAUGGGUACAACUCCCAACUAUGUCGAGCCGCUCGAGUGUUCGGACAUCCCUUUUGGGCUCUCCUUAGGCUGAGGUGCUCCUGAAUAAUCUCGCUUAGGGUCCAUUCCGGCCACAACGGGCUAGCCCCAAGGGUGGUGCCCACCUUGGGGGCCGGCCCUAUGAGACUCCAUCCAACUUCUCAUGAUCGAUCUCCUCAUGCAAGAAUUCAAAAAAUAAUUCACCAUUCAAGCUUCAAUGGCAAAUUAGACACCAAGGCUGCCAAAAAUGCAGGAGAUUUGGGCUCAAAAGAAAGGCUGGGUUGAGUCAAGCCAAGCCAGCCAGCCAAGCCAAGAAGCAUUAUUUCCUUCAAUUUCCCAGCAUACCCCGACAAAGAUACACACACCUCGUGGUUCUGCUUUAGUCAGUCUUGAAAAACAAAAUCUUGAAGAUGGCCCUCCACUUUAUCUCGAUGGUACCUGUAUCUUUUAUUUAAUCAAUAGUGGGCGGUCUCUUUGCUUGGCCCUCUCAUGCAGAUUUCAGACUCAUGCGUCAUGGAGUUUUGUCCUCUCAUCAUAUUCCCCACCUUUGUUAGUUAAUCUUCAAAUCCAUUUUUUUUCUCUAUUAACUCAUGUGAUCUUUCUCUCCUUCAGUGUCAGUGGACUUGGAAUUUACGCCUAAAACACAUUAAAUACUCCUUCCUGCAGUGUGAGCCUGACUCGUUGAAAAUAGGUUGAUUCUCAGCAGAUGGAUCAGUUUAUAUUAAUAUUUCAGAGACAUGUUGAUCAUGAUUGCGAUAUCCCAUUUCGGAGAAAAAGUUAUAUGUAUGGGCUCUUCUUGUCUAUGUAUCCGAUUCCAUUGUAAGGGUUUGUUUGAUCUCCUAAAGAAUAUAUUUAUUUAACCCUACAAUUUUAUGAGAUACAAUAAAGAUAAGAAAAAAAGUUUGACAUUAUAUAUGUAUGAAUUUCUCUGUGUUUAAAAUCAUUAUGAUUGAGCCCAAAACGGCCGAACUCUAUUCAAUUGGGUGCAAUCGUUACAAAGAUCAUAAAUGUUUUGUGGCAUGGAUGGUUAGAUGAAUGAGGAGACCCACCAAUUUCUGUACUCGAAUUUAUGAAAGUUCAAACAGGCCAUGCCAUUCCAAGCUGCAAAUAUCUGCAGAGAUGCAACCAUGGAAUCCCCACAGAUGAAUACAGUCAGUUUGUCAGUGUGAUUCUUGGCCCAACCAGUAGAACCCUUCUUUGUUUCCACCUAACCCAUUAAAUAAAACAAAGUUUUAAACCUAAUUUGAAAGUUUCUCAACCCUUCCCACUUGUCUGCUUGAUUCAAGACUAAUUUAUCAGCUAGAAACACAAAUGUGGGGUGGGGGUGGGGCGGCGGGUACUGGUUUAGAGCCCAUAAUGACCAAUCAAAACCAUUUAUGACGAAUAGAUUUGUCUGCUAUAGUAAUGGGGUUAUGCAAAUCAUUUACACAAAAGUCUGAUAAGAGUCAUGUGAAUCUACUAUUGUAGACAUCAGAAUAAUUCUUUAUGGUCUAUAAAACACUAAUGGGGUUUCAUCUUUUCAUGACUCUGAAAAGUAUAUUCUUUCAAGAGGAAGCCUACAAGUUAUAAAUGCAUGAAAGGCACUAGUACAGUAUAGAGUUGAGCUACCCUGCUUGUCCCUUUUGCAAUCCAACAUUUUAGCAACACAGACCUCCAUUCCUUUCAUUGUAAAAAUUGGAGGACACUUCACUAAAAGACGAAGCCAAUUCUCCCAGUCUUACUACACCCAUAUGAUCUCUGUAGUCCUUUUCUUUCAAUGCCUUUUGUCAUCUUUUCCUUUCUUUUUUGUCCAAAGACAGGUGUAAGCGCACUAUAGUAUUAUUAAACCUUUUUUCUUUAGCAGCCUUUGGAGCAUUUAAGUGUGUACACGCUUUAUAGCCCUCUCAUUGUUCAAUCAUGAAGCUGAAGAAAGUUUUUCUCUCUUUUGUGAGCAUUAUGCUGAGAGUCUCCUCCUCUCAUUCACUGUACAUAUAUAAAUAUAGGGUAGUUGGGUUCUUAUCCCCCAUCAAGAAGGGUAGAUGAUACAGGGACCCAUCACCAUCCUAGCUCUUAAAAGUUAAAACCAAGCUGCCAAGCCUUAGAAAACUCUCUCUCUCUCUCUCUCUCUGAGUUUGUUUUUCACACACAAAAGAGAGAAGAAAAUGGCUGAGAAGGAAGUGAAGUCAAUUGGGUCUGUGAAAGAUGUGAGGAAGGAAAUGAAUAGGGGAGCAUGGACAGCAGAAGAAGAUAGAAAACUGGCUGAGGUUAUUGAAGUCCAUGGUGCCAAGAGGUGGAAGAUGAUUGCAACCACAGCAGGUCUUUUUGUUUAUGAUGCCACUGAGAUGAAACCAAUCUCAAUUAUGCUAUAUCCAGUCUUGACCUUGAUGGGGUUCUGGUUUUUUUUUUGCAGGUUUGAAUCGGUGUGGGAAGAGUUGCAGGCUUCGAUGGAUGAAUUAUCUAAGACCCAACAUCAAGAGAGGCAACAUAUCAGACCAGGAAGAGGACUUGAUACUCAGGCUUCACAAACUCUUGGGAAACAGGUUGUCAACUUAAAGCAGUUUUGAUUCAUGUACCUUUUUUAGUUCAGGUUUUCCACAGUUUAAAUCAGUCUAAAUCUUUGAUGUUUUCUUUCUCUUUAGGUGGUCUUUGAUUGCUGGAAGAUUGCCAGGUCGAACAGAUAAUGAGAUAAAGAACUACUGGAAUUCUCAUUUGAGCAAGAAAAUAAAGCAGGAGAAGCAAAGUGGAGGUUCAACAAGAGGCUGCUCCAAACUUCAGAGAACAAGAGUGGUAGAGGAGGUGAAUGUUGUAGAGGUGAAACGAGAGGACACCUCUAAUGGAGGUGAUCAAUGCUCGAAAAUGAGCUUCAAUGUCGACGAAUUCUUUGAUUUCUCCGAGGAGGGUCCUCUGAACUUAGAGUGGGUGAGCCAAUUCCUUGAACUGGAUGAGGGCUUAUGCCAUCCUUCAUAAACUGUAAAGACUUUGUUAUCUCUCCGUGUAUGUGGUGCAGCUCAUGUUAAUCAAUCCAUACUCUACACUUGAUCACUCCCUCUCCUAUGAUUGCAGUUUAUAGAUUUUCUUUGCUUUUCUUUUCUUUUCUAUUCACAAUCAGGGAAAUCAGACAACAGGAAAGAAGAAGUAGAAAACUAUGGGCACCGAUCCAAGACAAUUGAACAGAUGGAAACAGAUGAACAGAAGGGGUUUAAGGACUGCAGUUUUGGCCUGUAGUUCUCACAUAGUUAAGAAGAGAUUCCUUUUCUUUCUGGGCAAGGGGCAAAGAUGACAAAGAGGUGUAAUAAAAGAAGAAAGCUUGUCACCGUUGUUGUGGACAUAUAGGUUAAAAUACUUAUAUCAUGAUGAUAAGACAAAAAGCAAGGAAGUAUUGAAAUAUACAGAGAUUGUCUAGGAAAGUGUCCUUUUUUUUCCUACAAACCAUUCAUCACGAGGCACAGUACCCACAUUUUUCACUACACAUUUUCACCUUCCAGCAAGAUAGACCCAAGUCAUUGACAAAGUAGCUAGCACAUGAUGCACAUAAAGAUACCAAUAAUGUGAAACAUUACAGCACAAAGUGCCUUAAAAAAGACCAUAAAGUUCAUCAAUGGAUUGUCCAUGGAGAAUGGGUAUGAUGAACAAUUAUGAUACUGAAAACCAACCUAGCUACCAGACCCUCUCUGCCAUUUUCGUUAAGGUUUACAAGGUUAUGGUAAUGGGGCUGUUUCAGAAAGAAAACUUUCAACUAAGACUUUUGUCUUCCUCAGCUAUACAUUUACAUGCUCCAAGACUAGUUGAAAAGUUCAGAUUUUGCCAUCAUAAAAGCUUAAACUAACUCCAAAAUGGGCUGCUCAGCUUUGUUUCCCGGGCACCCAAGUUGGGAAACUAGGGUGGCAGACUCUUUUCCAUUGAAUGCCAGUCCUGGGUUGCACAGCUGCUUUGGGAAUUUCAAAGCAUUGCCCCUCCUUUUUGUCUUGUACCCUUGGAAAAUCCAUGCCAUGAUGAACCCUGUAAAGUUCUGUGCUGUUUUGUGUGAGUUAUUUCUCUUUGUUUUUAGAGAGCCUUGGUUGCUUAGAUUUUGCGUAUUCAAAGCAUUAAUACGAGAGAGCGAGAGAGAGAGAGAGAGAUUCCAACAGAAGUCUUAAGGCCAUUCUCAUUGAAUCAAAAGCCAGUCCCUGCCUACAGAGCAUAUGGGAAGGGGAUCCAACACCACAAAAACAUUCAUUUUUUCAGAACCUGUACAAUCUGAAUUCUCCACACAUCCUCUGUUGUGAAAUCUGAAUCUCUCCUACUGAAAAUGAAAGUAAAAUGUACAAAAGACAUUCCAAAGGGCAUUAACCUUCAAGUUGAUUUGAUUUCGUAAGAAGCUAGAGAUCCAAUUUAAAGGCAGUCACCUAACAGAACAUCCAGGGAGAUAGGAGGAAUGCUCAAACUGCAUCAACAAUUUUUCCAGUACUUGAUCCAGGUGUAAUGGGCAUUCCACGUUGCUCACAAGCAUGAAUAUUUUGAUCUUAUCACUAUGAUUCCAUUUCAUGAAAGGUCAUUUUCGACUUGUAAUUAAACCAUGAAAGGCAAUAGCAUGAACAUUUGGUCAUACCUCAUAUACUGAAUUAUACCAUUUUGCCUUGGGAAGUAUUUGACGGAUGACAAGGCCUAAAAGUCUUACUAGCUCGAAAGGGAAUAAAUGUUACAGCAUGAGGAACUAUAAAAUGACUAUGAAAAAGGGUUCUGGAUUUCACAUGAUGUAUUUCAACAGUUGGAAGCUAAUCAACAUCAAAUCACGGGCAUGCAUCCGAAACAUGUGAAUUUGUACAAGCCUUAUCGAAUCUUGUCACACAGGUUUGUUUUAUUAUUGCAUAACUUGAACAUUGCAGUUUGAGGGGGAAAAGGGGGAAAAAUCAUGUAGUGAUUGUACAUGAACCUCUUGCUUUCAAAUCCUCUCACUGUUUCCAUCAGAAUCUUUGAUCUACAAGCUACAUGUGCCCCUUUGUAAGGAAGUGAAUUUGAGUCACUGACAGCAUGCUGGCCCAUCUAUCAGUUUGCUUGUCACCUCUCGUAGACAGCCUAAUGACUAGUCAAGAGACCUAUGCCAGUACCAAGGUUGA